rnacentral:lncRNA from 1 species
UCCACACAGCUCCUUUAUGUGCCUGGUUGCUUUGAUUCCCCUAUGAAUCCUGAGCAGUUGGUAUCCACAUGUGACCAGUGAGGAAUGGCAGACCUCGGAGGUAGAGUGAACCUCUCGGGUUGCAUCACUAGCUAGUGGCAGAACUGAGGUGAGAACCAGUUCCCCUUCCUCAAACCUACUCUGUUCUUAAGGGUAAUUAUUAUGAUCAUUCAAUAUGAUCAUGGGGAGUGAGCACGGGUCUAACGGCAAUUGCAGGACCAUCCCUAAUACUGGUAGGGCUUAGAACAAGCCACUCGGACAGAGCCUUUACACCACAUGCCUACAUAUUUUAGAAGUUAUAAAUCAACCCAUUACAUACAACUAUUACGUAAUAUAUUUUGAUAAAAUUUUUUAAAAAUUGUUAAAUUGCAGUUUUCAGUUGAGUGAAAGUUGGCAAAGUCUAAAGAUGAUUGAAUUUAAUGAUUACUGAAUAUAUCUGAGUAUUCCACUGAUGAGUCCAUAAUGUUUGGAGGAGAGAUAAAACUAAAUGUGCAUAAUUCAUUAAUUUUUAUGUAUUAUAAGAUUAAUUUUUUUCUUUUAUUUCUGAAAAAUGAGUAAAUAUGUUGUUAUUAUCAAUAUUUUUGCAUAGCUCAGUCUAUUGACAGCAAUACCAAACUCUAUAAACUUGAUUAGUCUUUGUAUUUAGUAGAUUUAUUGUUUUUACUAAUUUCAAGUUGGAGAAUCUUUGCUUUCUUGUAGCAAGACUUGUAAUUAUUAAUACAAAUUUUAAGUCAAAUUUUAGAAUUUUAAAUAAAAAUGAAUGUGAAAUUCAAGUUUAAAUAUCAUAUUCAGAUAUUUUAAUAGGGUUUUAUCUUUAUCACAAAGGUAUUAUGAAAUAUUUGAUCAUAUCAUACAAAUCACUGCAAUAUAAUAUGUUUAUUUUUACUAACUUAAAUACAUUUUAUAUUGUUUCUUUUGGAUUUCAUAUCUUGCCUAUAUUAAAUUUAGUUAGAAAAAAACCUGACUUUUACUUUUAAUCUUGUGGACUAACUUGGUCCAAACUCAUUCUCUCUCUUAAAUAAUUAGAAAAAAUGGGCAAAAUACCUGCAAACAAGUGUUAUAAAAGGAAAACGAAUGAAAUGAACCCAGUGAUCAAUUUGCUUUCUGCCUAGAGACAAUUUUGGUGCUGUGGUGUAGGGAGGGAGAUGCCAGUCAUACCACAGAAGUCUUGCUGAGUUGAGGAGUUUGACAUCAGAAUUCAGGGAGGCAGACUUUGCUAAGAUUGUCAAAUCAGAGUACCAGAGAAAAAAGAACUACCAGAGAAAAAAAGUAAGAUAUCUGCUUAAUUCUAGUAUUGAAUAUUAAGAUGCAAGUGAUUAGUGUAAAAAGAACAAUCUCCAAAGCUCACAAGUACUGGGAGAUGUUUGCAUUUUGAUCAGCUAGAGAGGAGAGACUUCAUUGAGCACCAAGGGCAUUCAAUAAAUACAAGAAGGGUAAGGCAUAUUAGAAGUACUAAACUAGUCCUAAAUUAAGGGCUACCCUAUGAAGCUUAAAACCAUUCUUGAAAAGAUUAGUCCACAAGUGGUUUAAGUGCUCUGAGAACAAAUAUAAUACUCACUAAAGGAAGAAAGUAAAAUCAAGCACACCACAAUGUCCAGGAUCCAGCUAGAAAUUAUUAGACACAUUAAUAAAUAGAAAAAUAGAAUUUAAAAAGAAAAAAAUCAGCCAGUUAAAAUGAUCCAGAAAUGACAGAAAAGACAAGAACUUUAAAAUAUUUGCAGAUACAUUCAAGUGUUUAAAGAAAAUAUGGGCAUAAUAAAAAUUAAAAUCCAAGAUAUGGAAAAAGUAAAAUGUAACUUUCAUGCAUGAAAAUACAAUUUUAAAUAAAAUAUUCACAUUUAAUGGGAUUAAAACAGAUUAGACAUUACAGAAGAUAACACUAGUGAAGCAGUAAGCUAUAUGUGUUAGUCUGCUCAGGCUGCCAUGACAAAGUAUCACAGACUGGUGGCUUAAACAACAGAAAUUUACUUCCUCACUAUCUGGAGGCUAGAAGUCCAAGAUCGAGUUGAUCAGUGUUGACUUUCCUGGUUUAUGCAUGGCCACCUUCUCACUGGGUUGUCAUGUGCCCUCUUCUCUGUGCACACAUACAGACAUGUCUAUGGUGUCUCUUCUUCACAUCAUAAGGACAUCAGUCUUACUGGAUUAGACUGAUUAAACUCUUAAUGAUCUCACUUAACCUUAACUUCCUCUCUAAUGUCAUAUUUCCAAAUACAGUCACAUCAGGAUUAAGGCUUCAAUGUAUAAAUUUUGGGAGGACACAAUUCAGUCCAUAACACUAUCAAAAUCAAAGUAUGAUGAGAAAAAAAAACUUAAAAGAAAAAACAUAGAGCUUCAGUGGCCCAUGGUAUUAAACAGGCAGCCUAAUAUCAGUGUAGUUAAAGUCUCAGAAAAGUAUGGGGAGAGAAUAGAAAGAAUAUUUGAAGAAAUAAUAUCUGAAACAUUUUCUAAAUGGGAUACAAACUACAACUCACAAAUUCAGGAAAGUCAAUGAAGUCCAAGCAGGAAACAUACACAACCCUUCUAAGACAUAUUAUAAUCAAAUUAUUAAAAACCAGUGAUCCAAUGAUAAAGAGAAAAUCCUAAAGGCAGCAAAAGAAAAAAAAAAACAUGUUACAUAAAGACAGUAAUAAUUUCUGCUGGCAAUAUUAGUUGAUAAAUGGUGUUAUAGUUUAGAUAUUAGGUGUCCCCCAAAAGCUCAUGUGUGAGACAAUGCAAGAAAGUAUAGAGGUGAAAUUAUUGAGCUAUGGGAAUUUUAGCCUAAUCGGUGAAUUAAUCCUUGAUAGGAAUUAACUGGGUGGUAACUGUAGGAAGGUAGGUUGUGGUGGGAGGAGGUGGGUGCCUAGGGCAUGCAUGUGGGGUAUAUAUUUGGUCCUUGAGCAGAGGUUUUUCUCUCUCUCUGCUUCCUGGAGUCAUGUCCCGAGCUGCUUUCCUCUGCCACACUCUUCUGCCAGAUGUUCUGUUUCACCUUGGGCCCAGAGUAACAGAAUUGGGCACCUAUGGACUGAGACCUCUGAAACUAUGAGCACCAAAUAAAUUUGUCAUCCUCUAAAAUUUUCUCAUCAGAUCUUUUUGGUCACAGCAGUGAAAAAGCUGUCUAAAAGAAAUGAUUAAAGCUUAAGAGGCACAGGAUAUUAGUACUAUCUCAAUGUGCUUUCCUCAAAAUAAAUAUUUAUUAAAGUAAAAGUAACUUUCUGGCAGAGAUGCAGGGACAAUCCUCUUUAACAAAGUAACCAAGGUUAACAUAAGCAAUGAGACACCUCAACAUUGUGAACCCCUGAGAGGAUGUGCUGAGAAGGGCUUUCUUCCUAGUAAUGCAAAACUUCAAUCCAGUUGUGAGACAUUCCAGAAGCCCCAAAUGAAGGCCAUUCAAUAAAGUAAUUGACCAGCGCUUACAAAGUCUCAAGGUCAAGAUUAAUGAAUGACAAGCCAAGGCUGAGGAACUGGCACAGAUUGGUUGAGAUCAAGAAAAUACAACAACUAAGCAGCCCAGAUUAGUUUCUAGAACAUAAAUAGGGCAUUAGUGAAAAGUACUGAGUACUAAUAAAGCCUGUAGUUUAGUUAAUAGUAUCACAACAAUAUUAUUUUUAAAAAGAUUUUGACACUUGUACUAAGGUUAUGUGAAAUAUUAACCUUAGGAGAUGUGGGUGAAGGAUAAGCGGGAAAUCUUUGUGUUAUUAUUUGCUAGCAUUCUGGAAGUCUAAAUUAAGCUAAAAAAAAGUUAAAAAUAAUUUCUUCAUAACACAAAACGUUUUAAUAUGCAGAUGGCUUUACUGGUGAUUUCUACAAAAAAAUUUUAAGAAAGAAAUAAUACUAAUCUUGUACAAAAAUCUUCUUUAGAGGAAGAGAGGAUACUUUCCAAUUCCUUUUAUGAGCCCAACAUUACUCUACAUCCUAAAUAUUAAAAGAAAAUCCAAGAUUAAUAUCCCUCAUGAAUAUAGAUUCAAAAUACUGGCAAAACAUUAUCAAAUAAUAUCCAGUAAUAUCCUGUGUUUUUCCCAGGAAUGUAAGUUUGGUUUAACAUCUGAAAUUCAGUUAUGUAAUAAAAUGAUAUUAAUAAAGAAGAAAACAAUGUUAUCUCAAUAGACAGAAAGCAUUUGAAAAUAUGAAACAUUCAUUUAUAAUAUGAUUUCUCAAAAACUAGGAAUGAAAAGGAACUUCUUAAUUUGGUAAAGAUUAUUUACAGUAAAACCUAUAAUUGACCUCAACUUAGGGUUGAGAAUGAUCCUUUUUCCCUAUGUUUAAGAUAUCCAUUUUCACCAGUUCUGUUUAAUAACAUGCUGUCCUUGACAGUCAAUAAAGCAAGAGAAGAAAAGGCACUAAGAUUGAAAAGGAAGAAGUAAAACUAUUAUUCGUUGAUGACAUGAUUAUACGUGUAGAAAAUCUCAAGGAGACAAAAAGCUACUUUAUGUUUUCUAUUUCUAUCGUGAUCUCAAUCUAUCAUCAUUGUCAAUGAUUUAUUCUACAUGAUUAAAAAUAAAAUGCAGUGGUAUUCAAAGUAUAUAGAGUUUGGAUAUUUUGCCAAUAAAUAUAAAAAUAAAAAUGAAUGCUGUUCCUAUGUUUUUCAAAAAGAUACUCAGGUCAAAAGGCUAAAAACAAAUUAUACUAAAUAUACAUGAAGCCUUAAAAAUACUUAAGGCUGAAAUUUUAAGUAAGGAUAUUUAAAGAUUUUUUAAUGAAAAUAAAACUAUUAAAAAUUCUAAUAGUCAGCGGGCAUCUGGUUGCCCAUGGACACUUUUCACACUUCCCUCAUACCUCAUCUAGAUCUGCCUAUGUACAUGCUUCUAAGCAAGUGAAUUACUUUAGGUCGCAAAGUGUUUUUUGAUGCUGUGCACAUUGUGCUCACUUGCAAACACCUUUGGAAUUAUGGAAUUAUGGAGGCACCAUAUUUUGUGUGUGUGUGUUUGGGAUAUGUAGGGCUCUAUAGUCCAUAGGGAUCCUGGAUUGUUAUGCUUGAUGAGGAACAAAGUAAAGAAAUGGAUUAUGCCUUUCAAGGUGGAAACUGCUUGUCUCACCACAGUGUGCUCUCUGGCAGGCUCCCCUCUCCCCCAGGACUAAGGGGCAAAGUGAGCAGUGGAGGCCUCCUGAGAAGUAGCUGUCUGGGCUCUGCAGAGAACAAUCAGGCAGAAACACAGUGAAGGUUAAGACUUCUUUCAAAGCCUCUGAACUAGAUGUUUCCUAACUGUUCCUUGGCAUCUGGAGCUUAGGUGAAUGACCUUCACAGGCAGGAAAAGUGGAGUGGGGCAUAGCCCCUAACUCUCAUUUAACUUGAACCAGUGAAAUCCCAUUUAAAAAUUUUAAUUCUUUUUGUAUAUUGGACUUCAGACCGUUAUUUUGCCAAGGAAAAAUUUUUUAAAAAUUAUUUUACUAGAAUACGAGCGGAAAAAGAGAUCAGGUGCAAUUUCCUCCCUGCCACCUCAGGUCCCCUUGGUAAUUGGGAACAGUAGGGUCUCAGGAAGGACAGGGACCCGUCCAAGCUAUUGUGUAAGCCAGUGAGCUACAGGCCUGGAGCAGAAGCCAAGCGCUAAACACUGAUGGGAUAAACUGUUUAUUACUGUGUUGGUCCUAGAGAAGAUUUUUAUGAUCUCUUCAGCCUCUUGCCAGAGUUGGCCUGACCUUUGGUGGUUUCAGAGACAUUGUGUUCCUGAGGAGCCAUUAAGGGUUUGGAGGCCAUUGCCAACAUUGGAUGUCUCACGCCCUGUGUGCUCUUGUAGUUUUCAUUGCUUAUAGGUUAUCUGGUAAGAAAAUGGCACACAUCAAAUUUGAGCCUCCUUCCCUCUGUCCAUCUGUGUAACUCUCCCUCUUUGUCUUCAUUUCACAUUCACUCAGAAACCUUCAUUAGCUCCUACUGUGAACCAGUUAGCAAAGUGCAGUUGCUCAGUGACAAGGUCUGCCUUUGUCUUUAGUCUGUUUCACUGUUUUUGCCUCCACAUUUCUAAUUGUGUCUCUCAUCUACAUAUAUAUGUGCGUGUGUAUUUGUAUAUAUUCCUUUUUUUUUUUCAUUUUCAGGGUCAGUGUCACUAUUCUUUCUCUUUUCCUUCUCUCUUUCCUUUUUCGGCAUCUCUCCACCUCUUUCUCAAUUUUCGUCUUUCCUGAGGUAUCACUGUAUCUUCUCUUUCUUUUCUCCUUCUCUUAUGUUCCACCUGUCUUUAAAUCUCUUUCUUUCUCUUUUCCUCUGUGUUGUUGAGUCUGUCCCCUCAGUUUACAGAAUGUUUGUGCACAAAGUAACGGGGGUGUGGGGGUCUGCAAAGGCCUCUUGAAUUUCUGCAAUUCACCCAAAUAUAUGGGAAGACACGGAGGCCACCCCAGUUGUUAGGCAGAUUUAAUAUUUUCUCCUGCUGAUGGCUGGCUUAUGCAAGCACAGUUUGAUCCCCCUGAACAGGAGUUGGGGAACUCACUGACUUGUGGAGUGGGCGAGCAGGGAGAAGAAUUUUCUUUCAGGUUGCAAUGAGACUUGCACUACUUUUAACGUAAGUGAAAUGUCUCUUUGAGGUGUGGAUUCUAGAGGAGUCUUGAAGGAAACUGGGGCAUAUCAAACCCGAGUUUGCUUUUAUAUCCCUCAAGAUGAAAGCCAGAUUGACAAAACAGUCACUGAGUACCUCCUGUGUACCAGGCUGUCUGAUAGGGGCCAGAGACACAGACAAGAACCACAGUCUUAUAGGAACACGGUCCUGUAGAGAGUUUCCUGGGUCACAGAGAGGGUCCUGCACUUGACAAAGUGUUGAAACGAAGGGAAGCACAACAUGUCAUAAGAGUAAGUCAUUAAGCCUGGAGUGACCAGGAAAGGCUGCAUGGAGAUGGGACUACCAGACCUGGACCGUAAAGCAUGAACAUAGUUUUCCAGAGAGAAAAGGGUGAAGGACAUUUUUUUGGGAGGAAAUGGUGCAGGAGCAUAAAGCAAUUUGAGAUAAGAUGAAGCUGGAAAGUUAUGCUGGGGCUUUCAGCACUUGGAUGAGGAAUGUGCCUUUUUUCUCUGGUGGCCACAGGAGGUCAUAGAAGAGUUUUAAGCAAGAGUGUAGCAGUGGGUAGGGCAAUGUAAGGCAGUUUGCAGACUGGAGGCUUGGGAGGAGAGGCAGCGGCCCUCAAGUAGGGGAGGCUGGUGUUGGUGAAAGCCUCCUCUUGUCAAUCACUGCCUUCCCUUAGGUUUGGUUGCAUCUGCCCUGUGCACAAGAGGCUUUGUACUCACAUAGCAGGAUUUAAAAAACCCUAUCUCCUAUCAGGCCCUUGUGAGAUUUGGGGCACGGAGACAAGUAAGAUAUUGUUGACUAAAGCUCAGGAAAUAAUACCAAAAAUUGAUCAAAUCAAAAAACUUCUGCAUAGCAAAAGAAACAAUUAAAAAUGUGAAAUGAGAACCUACCAAAUGAGAGAAAAUUUUCCACUAGCUAGUUUUCUGACAGAGGAUUCAUAUCCAGGAUAUAUAAAGAACUCAAAGAAAAAUUAUCACCCAAAAAGAAACCCACUUAAUAAAUGGGUAAAUGAACCAAACAUAUAUUGCUCAAAAGAAGAAAUACAAAUGGCCAAAUAACAUGAAAAAAUGUUCAGCAUCUUUAGAGAUUAGGAAAAUGCAAAUCAGAAUUGCACUGAGAUUUCCUCUCACUCCAAUUAGAUUGAUAGUCAUCAAAAAAUAGUAACGAUAAUAAAUGCUGGAGAGGAUGCAGGGAAAAAGGAAUACUUUUACAAUGUUGGUAGGAGUGUAAAUUAGUACAACCGUUUUGCAAAUCAGUAUGGAGUUUCCUCAAAAGACUAGGAAUGGAACCACUGCAUAACCCAGUUAUCCCAGUCCUCAGUAAUUAUCCUAAAGAAUUAAAGUCAUUGUAUUAUAACAAUACAUGCAUGCCCAUGUCUAUAGCAGUACAAUUCACAAUAACCAAAUUAUGGAACCAGACUAGGUAUCUGUCAAUGGAUGAGUGAAGAAAAUGUGGCAUGUAUGUGCAAUGGAGUUUUAUUCAGCCAUAAAUACAAGUGAAAUUGUAUCAUUUGCAGGAAAGUAGAUGGAAUUUGAGAGAGCAUUAUAUUAAGCAAAAUAAGUCAAAAUCAGAAAGUCAAAGUUUGUAUAUUUUCUCUCAUAUGUGGAAGCCAGAAAGUAAAAAAGAAAAGUAAGUUAGGUGGAAAUCUCAUGAAAAAGGCAAGUAGAGCAGAGGAAAGGAAGCAGGGGAGAGAAAAGGGGACAGAAAGCUGAAAUACUGGGGAAUGAUAUUGGCCAAAUUAUAUGGUCAUAUUGUGUGCAUGUAUGACUAUGUAACAAAGAAUCUCCCUAUUAUGUAUAAUUAUAGUACACCAACUGAAAGAUAGAAAAAACAAAACUUUUUCAAUAAAUAAAUAAAAUAUACUUGGGAUCACAAAGGAAAAACAAAAGAACAACAAAAAGGGCUGGGGUUGUAGCUCAGCGGUACAGUGGUCGCCUAGCACGUGCGAGGCCUUAGGUUCAAUCCUCAGCACCACAUACAAAUAAAUAAAUAAAAUAAAGGUAUUGUUUCCAACUACAACUAAAAAAUAAAUAUUAAAAAAAAUAGAACAAUAAAAAAACAAGGUUGAGUUGGAAUCCUAAAGGAGCUUAAAACCCAGAGAGGGUACAGACACCUUGACACCUUGACAGGAAACUCCUACAUAAUCCAUUCUGUGCUAUGAUAGAGGAAAUGAUGGAACUGGGGGAGAAGGGAGUCCACAAGGGCAUCUAAUACCACAGGGAGACAGCUGGUCCCAUGGGUGGGCUUCCUGGAGGAAGUGAAGUCAGACUUGAGCAUGAAAGGGAGCUCAUAGUGUGGACCUAGACCAGUAGCACAAGAAUCAAUUGGAAAAUUGUGAGAAGUGUAAAUUUUGGGGGUCCAACCCAGACCUACUAAAUCAGAAACUCUGGGCCUCAGGAGCUAGUGAUCUGUUUGAAACAAGUCCUAUCUAUAUUGCAUGCUUGAGUUUGAGAACCACUGAUCCAGACAAGGAAGGGUGGCACUUGCUCCAGACCACAGGCCAGGAAGGUAAAGGCCCAGAAGGACAGAUGGCUGCUGAGAAGCCAUAGCCGAGUUGGAAUGACACAUGGCAUUUUUGCCAGAACGGAGUGGUUGAGAGGUGACGCUAGCAAGCCAUUGAGAUGAUAAUGGUUAUGAUAAGCUGUGUAUAUUAGACCCCUGCUGUCCGCCUCGGCCUGCUACUUUGGAGUUCUUGCGGGAUUCCCGGAGAGUUCCCAUUGGUUGGGGAAGUGCUGGAGGACAGAUUUCUGGAAGAGGGAUUUCCGGUUGGUGUGUGGUGUGUCCCCGGAGAAGGCCGGGAGUGCGGAGAAUAAAGAAGUGCCUGUUUUGAACCUACAAGGCUGUGUGGUGGCUCGGUUAUUUUGUGCCCAGCCAGACUGUGGCAAUUGGUGCCCCCCCCACUGGCACCAAGGCCAAAUUUGGGGGCCAACAGAGGUGAGGCAAAGAACCUCACCCCCCCACUGGUGCAGAGGCUUAUCCACAAGUAUGGCUGUAUGCUGGACCGGUAGUCAGUGACGGGUAAGAUCCAAUUGCAGUGGUACCAACCUAAGACAGGAGGCUGACGCCUUGAGGUCAGCUCAUGGGAUGACAGGUAAGGACCAUAUGUAGUAUUGGACAGCCUAACAGGCACGGUCCCUAAGCCAUAUGCUUGGUGUUUAAUUAAACAGAAGCGGGGAGAUGGCCAGCUGGGAGCAUUAUGCAGGCUCAUGGUGUAGAUGUGCCACAGGAAAAGCCUAGAGUCCAGCAGGGACAGAACAUGAGGAACCCUAAACGUCAAGAGAGGAAUGUGGACUCUAUCCUAUAAAGAAUGUGGAGCCUUGGAAGGGUGUUACAGAGGAGAUGACAAGCCCUGAUUUCUCAUUAGAGGUCACUUGGUGCCAGGUCCUAGGGGGCAUAUGCAAAGCUGGCCCUCAUCAGUCUGUUGAACUGAUCUGCAAAGAACUGCAAUGUCCCCUGAUCGGAGGACUUGGCGUGAGACGAGGCAGGGCAAACACACUUGCCUUUGUGCCUCCUCUGAGGUAUUGGUGGCAGCUGCCUGAAUGCAGCAUUGUGAAGCAUUCUGCUCUAGGCAAGGGAGGGGUGGGGUGCGCAGAGGCCUGGUGGCUCACAGGCUAAUAUAUUUGAGUUACUUCUGCCAGAUAAAACCAAAACAAAAAAACACAAACAAAAACAAAAACACAUGUUCUCCAGAGUCUAUUUGAUCCUAGUCUAUACCAGCUAGAAUCUAUUCAAAAUUAUGUGGCCUAGAGUCAUAUGAGGGGCAUGUAGUCUCUUCUUCAACAUUUUACCCUUGGGCUUUUCUUUGGGGUAGGACAACUAAAGCCCCCCCCCCCCCCCCCCCCCCCGCCCAGGGGACAAAAGAUGCUACAAGAGAAGAGGAAUCAACUCAUCAUUUGGCCAACAACAUCCAUAGUCACCUGCCACAUGCAGGGCUUGGCUCUCAGGAGGGAAGAGCAUGCACAGUUCAGUAAGGAAUGACAAUAUUAAAAACGCUUUUCUAUCCAAGUUCGCCUCAUGGCAUAGGAGACUGAAUGGGUACCAGCUGGGGGCCCUGGAGCAUGGCCCAGAGCAGCCCUCCUCUGGUGCAAAUGGGUUGCAAGACCUGCAUUCAUCUUUAAAAUUUAUGCAAUCUUCAAAUUCCAUCCAUUAUGUGCAACAUCUGGGGCUUGUUUUAAUGUAGAUGUUCUUGACAUCAAACAACAUUUACGUUUCUUACCAGUAAGUGAAAGGGAUGCUCCAGGUAGAUGCCCUUGUUUUUCUUACAACUCUGUACAUGAGAAUUCAUGCUGCAGGUGGGCAGAAAUGACUGUGGGGAAUGCACCACAGAAGCUGUUCGAUCUGGUUUCCAAAGGAAUCCUUUACCUUCUAGCUGUGUGAUCUUGGAGAAAUUCAUGUACUUCUCUGCGUUUCAUUUCUCUAUCUGUAAACAGGAGAAGAUAAGAGAAUGGGAAGAGAUAAGAUACAUGAAAGUGUGUGGCACAGGAUUUUGCUACAUACUAGGCGAUUCAUGUUUAUCACAACCUGCUUCAAGGAAGAAUGAAACUGUUAAAGGGUAAAUUUGGAUUUUUGGGUGACCUUUGCUAUUUGUCCUCACCAUAAGUAGUGCUGUGAGAACAUAAAAGAAGGGGGAGUCCUGGGUGGUUCCAAGGAGAAGGCACUGAAGUUGGACCUUGCAGAGUCGGGGAGUUUCAACAGGCUUAUGACUGAUCACAGUGAAGGAAGGAACCUAGGGCUGUAUGGAUUGAAUCGAGUCUGAGUCUGGAAGGCCUAGAAUGUACUAAGAAAUCUAGCUUGUAUUCAGUUGGCCUUGGGGAGCUAUUGAGGUCUUCUGAGUGAGGGCAGGGGAAUGACAUGAUAUCAGUAGGAUAUAAGCCCCCUGCGGGCAGGUAUUUUCCCACCUUUGUCCUGCUGUACCCUCUGCCUAAGCACUCUGGCAUAGAGCAGGUAUCCGAUAACUGAUAUUUAAAGUGAUGAUUGAAAUCUCGUGACAGCAGGCAUUUGGGAUGGAUUGGAGAGGGUACACCUGGCGACAAGAGGGUGGGUUCAGAAGCUGGACAAUCCUGGGGGAUCAGGCUGUGAAUGCGGUCCUGGGGGUUGGCAGAGGGGAUAGGAUAGAGGAACAGCUGCGUAGAAACCUGGGGAACACCCCCUCCACUCUCUGUCCCUCUCCUAGAGCAUCGGCCAGUUUUGGGGAAAACUUCAGGGCAGCAUAAUUCAUCCUGACAGCCGGGACCAAAUGUUUCUCCAGAGCCCCUGCUCCCCUCCCCUGCCCGUGCAGAUUGGAACACAGUGGAGGCGUGCUCCAGAGGAAACAGUCAUUUGCAUCUGAACAUGAAACAGCGUUUUCCUAAGCUGCGAGCAGGGCCCAGCUGGUGUGAGCUGGGCUCACUCACAAUUGCAGCCAGCUUGUUUCAAUUUAGGGCCGCUGGGGUGAGGGGACGGACUUCGUACGCCAGCGUCCCGCGGGAAGACACCCGGGACACACCACGCACGCGAUGCAACUGCAAGGAGCCGGCGAGCCUCGCCUUCCAGGCUGCGGAGGGGGCUUCUAGGGGAAGGAAGGUCCCCUAGCUGUUCCCAAUCCCCAGGGCGGCAGCUACUUUUGGGAGUUUAAUCAAUCCACUGGGAGCCAUAGGGCGACCUGCACGUCCUGCGGCCCUCUGGGCAAUUUGAACACCCACUCUGUGGGAAGCAUUUUGGAAUGUGCUUGCUGCAUGGCGUCCUAGGAGGCAGGUGGUGGAGGAAGAAGCAGGCGGGUUGCCAAGCCCUUCUAUUGUUCCAAGAAAAAUGAUAAAUUAAAGUUGAAAAAGUCACUGGAGUGAGAUUUAAGGGGACUCUUUGGAAAUUUUGCUUCUCUAAACCAGACUCUCUGUAUUCUUGUGGCAUCAUCCCUUAAAGUCAAGGCUGGAUACUAAUGUGUAAACAGAUCGAUAAAUGCAAAUGGAGCUGGUUCUGGCCCCUCUCACUCUUUUCUUAGCCUCCUUUCCCUCAUGUCCAUCCCUCUUUUGAUCUUCCCUCUCCUGCUUGUUACUAUCCAGACACAGUCUCCAAAGGCUUACUUGUUCCAGGACCCUCUCCACCAUCCUGCGCCCUUGCCCUACCUGACCUAUAAGGUGUUGACCAGCACAGAGGCAGGGGAUUGUGGAACCCUACUUAGACACAGGUGAGACACCCAAGGCUACCAAUAGACAAAAUGAUGAGAAACCCUUUCAAUGCAAGGAAUGGUAUUCUGGAAAUAUCUCAGGCUUAAAGCUGCAGAGCUAUCAAUAUUUUGGUUGUAUUUAUUUAUUUAUUUAGUUGCUGGUAGAUCUUUGUUUUUAUUUAUUUAUAUGUGGUGCUGAGAAUCGAACCUACUGCUUCACAUGUGCCAGGCAAGUGCACUACCGCUGAGCCAUAACCCCAGCCCCUAUCCAUACUUUUGAUACAAUAGUUUUGUAAGUUAGACUGGUGACCAAAUAGCUCUCCUGCUCCUCGAUGUUACUGCCUGUGAGUUGGGUGUAAUGAUCCUUGGCCAUAGUUGUGGCACUGACUAUGUGAGAUGAUGGGAGAAAGUGGACUGUCUGGCACACACCGAUGACAGCUGAGACUUCUGUGACACACUGUGUACUUUCCCAAGCACUUAGAUUAAUGAACCCAUUGAGCCCUCACAAUAGCCUUAAGAAGUACAAUAGCUACAGGUGCUCAGUGUUCCUAGGGCCUCCCUCCCCUAAUUCCUUUCUUCAAGGAGCCGGGAGUCUUGCAAAAAGCUCUCUGGCAACUGCUGGAACAGUCCUCUUCAUUAAUUAGGUGUUUCAUUUUACUGCCAGCCCUUUGUUUCCCCCCUGGAGAUCUGGCAGAAUUCUCAAUAAAUUGCAUUUCAAGGAAAGAAAUAGAAAAAGACAGUGAGUGGCUUCCAGGUUGGGGACUGCAGGUUUCUUUCUGCAGGGAGAACAAUUUGGCCAUUGUCCUCAUUAAUGGGACUUCCUGGGGAAGCAGCUGUGGACUUUGCUCCCCAGAUUUCUUUUCUUCCCCUUCCCUGUGGUCAGUAGCAUUUUUAUUCUUUCAUGGACCAUUCCUUAUUCCCAUAAAGGAAAUUAAAGUUUUGGUUUUGGGUUUAAAAUAGAGCUGUAGCCAGGGUUUGCUUGUAUCUAAAAAUUGGGACUGAAUGUUUUGCAAGACCUCUUGCUAACUAAGAGUUUCCUUUGGGUGAAUACUCUGGAUCUCCUUAGGCAGCUCCACACUAGCAUCUCAGAGAAAACCCAUGGCAUUGAACCCUGGAUUGAUCACACUACUUAUUCAGUUGUAUGAUGACUCAGGCUCAAAAGUUCAGUCUCUUGCUCUCUGGUUGAACAUCUAAUUCUUUACCAGCAAGACACAUUAUUUAACUUCUUUACCAUGGACAACACCUUUCAACAUCCCAGUUUCAUGGAAUGAUUGGCACUCUCAAGAAUGUGCUGAACCACAGCACAUGCUAUGCUAUACGGAAUGCCAUUUCCUCCUAGCCACGUGCCUCACCUAGUCUUCAAAUCUCAUUUCAAAUGUUGCCUGACUCAUGGAAGCUGUCUAACAUGUACAUAUAUUUCUUUGUAGGAGACAUUUGUCCUUUUUUUGGGCUGCUCAGAGCCUCCUCAGACUUAAUAUGUCUAUUUUAUGAAUCUCAAUAGAAGGCUGACUUGUCUCCCACUAGGAAAGGUGGACCGAUAAGACAAUCUCUUUCCUGGUAUCUCUUUCACCGAGGUUUUGCUAGCCAGAAGAGAUUUUAUUCAGAAGCUAGAAAGAAAUUGGAACUACUAAAGAUGAUCAAUUGCACAGGUGUAACUUUCCUCAUUUCUGCCAGUGACUAUAAGGACAUAUUAUAUUAAAACUGUAUUUCCUGCUAGAUUUAUGAGCUUUUUUUUUUGCUCUCAUUCAGAUACCUCAGUUGAUUAAGAUUCUUUAGCUAAUUGUGUGACCCCAACUUCAGUUGUAGAGGAUCUAAACCCAUAGUAGAUACGAAGGUACUGGAUUCCUAUGAUCUUCCAAUAACUCUUACCACUAGUCAAGUUGGUUCAGUGGUGUGAGGAGUACCAGCCAGCCAGCCAAGUGGCAGUCUUGACUUCAGUUCAUGGAGCCAUCGUUGUGUCCCCUAGCAGAAAUAUUCUUUCUUUGCAAACUAAGACCAGUAAACCAUCAGAGCCAAAUCUUGUACAAUUUUUGCAAAUGUGUCAUUAGAGAUAAUGGUGAAAGAAGCUCCUUUCACUGUUUGGCUCUUACACCCAAGAAUUCUGGCUAUUGGAAAAUGUCAUUGAAUAUGAACUGGUAGUUCAAACAAACAUGGCAUCAUGUAGCACAGUAUUUCAACUUUGAAAGUAUUGUCAUCUAGAAAGCACCAUAUAACUAAGUUUAAUAGAUCAUUCCACUAUUCUCGUAGACUAUCUGUGUUUGAAGUUCAUAGUAAGACUCAUGGUCAUAAGCCCACUGACUCACUUAUUGCUUGUAAAAUUAGUCCUUGGUCUGAAGCAAUAUAUGUGAGGUUCCAUGAUGGAGAAUAAGGUAUACUUAUGCUAUCACCCAUAGAUGGUGUUGUUUCUAGAAACACUGUUGGCAGGGAUGUCAACAGACAUGUAGGAAUCUGUUCCAGUGAGGAUGAAUCAUUACUCUCUACAGGAUUUGAAGGUCUGAUCCUAGUGUCUGAGUGAUCACUAGCAAUGAUGCCACACUCUAGGCUCAGCUUUUGAGGUUUGCUGGUGAUGGGUUAGAUGCUUGCUCCUGUAGGUUCAGUAACAUAGACUUCUCACCAAAGUGGAUCUGGCUAUAACAUUGCCAACCUUCUCUGUGACUGUGACCAUUUUGUUCAUGAACCUAUUGAGUAAGUGUGAAGGGGGUCUGGGAAAGAAGCCAGAACUCUUGAUCCCCCAACUCUUGAGUGUUCCUUUGUACUGAAUUGCUUAUUGGUGAACAUCUACACAGACACAAAUAUCCUCAUGCUUUCUAACCAUUCUGAGAGAUUCACCUUAGACCUCCCUGACACCACAUUUUAGUCUUGUUCUUUCCAACUCCCUGCCCAUCUGGCCAUCUGGAUGGCCUUCUCAAUAAGUUCCAAAUCUCUCUCUACAACUCAGUGGGAAGGGGAUCUAUUUUGGCUAUUCAUAUACUCUGUAAUUUAAGACCUAAUUAAUGGAGAACCAGGAAGCCAAGAGGAUUGAUUUGUUUACUUCUCUCUACCAGCUGAAUUUCCCAUCCUAGCACUUGAGUUUUGAGAAAGGGAAGGAGGCCAAGCACAGGGAAAGCUCCAGGCGGCCCAGCAGGAGGAGAGGUGAGUCAUUUACUUCUAGAGGAAUUAGGUUGGGUAAUGUCCCAUUAAUCUGGCUUCAUCAGGAAAUGAGCUGUGUCACCUAAGUAAAUUUUCCAAUAACUGAAGCUUACCCUUUCAUGUGCCAAAACUUGACUUAAUCAUCUUGGAUGGAAGUCUUUCUAAAACUAAUUACAUGCUUCCUUGCCUGUUUCAGUGGAGGAUCCUGCCCAUAUUCUAACCUUUUCUUGAGGACAUGGGGACCAUUAAUUCACCAGGUUGUAAUUUAAGAAAAAUAAAGUGUGGUUCGCCCCAAUAAUGAAUUUUACCAGCCAUGCUGUGAAUUUGAGUUCUUCUUCCUUCUGUAAUAAUUUUGUUUUUCAUGCUCAUUGGUGACUCUAUGACAGAUAGGAAUGGGUUCUGGAAUCAGAGCUGAGUUUGAAUUCUAGCUCUGCCACACACGUUCUGGGCUCCAGUGUCCUCGUAUACAAUACGGUAUGAAUAGUCUAUCUCUGACCAGAUGUCUGGAAAUUGAUACCACUCAGUGUCAUUGGAAGGGCCAAAUACACAAGGAAAGAGAAGCUCCAGCACUGUGAAGGCCUUAGCACGUUGUCUUUGCAUAAUCAUAAACAUUGCUCCCCACUAAGUGGGUUAACUCCUGAACUAUCCCAAAUUACUGCAUCUGGUUUGUCAGGGCUCAUCUGUUCAUUGCAAGGCAAGGUUGUCACUAUCUUAUUUGCCCAAUCUCAGCCAAAUGGCAUCUAGCACAAAUGGGGAAGAGGCUAGGGACUGGGACAUGUUUUUCUCAUUAUCUGGAAGACACGCGCCAGCAUUUCAGGAGAGGUGGAGCUUCUCCUAGAGUAAGUGUUGAAUCAGUUUUUCCUGUGGAGGUCCUAGGAGAUGCAACAAUUCUCUAGACGUUGGAUCUUUAAAAUGUUGGUACGCAACUGUCAACCCCCUAUUGGAUGCCUGCCUCUAGCUUUUCUGUGUUUAAGGGGAACUGCACAUGUAUUGCGCCUCAGCUCUUGGAGAACGGGGAAGGUAUUUUCUUAUUAGUCUAGUCAUAAGCUUUCAGAGCUGCAAAUAAAAACCACAAAACUGUUCCCACCCACCCCCCUUUCCUUUUCUCAGAAGCAAACAACUAGUAAGUUCAUACAAUUGGUAAGGCAUGAACAGUAAGUGGGACUUUAGGAGUGAUGGUGUACUAUUUACAUUUCUUUUUAAAAAUUUUAAGUCUCUAGAGCCAAGACCAAAGCCACAUACUGAUAGGGCAGGGCACACCUCUAAUAGCAACUUCCUGGCAAGGAUCCUAGGAUGCCCAUCCUUCUUGUGAAAUCAAGACCUCUCUAAAGGGAAGGGAAGAGAAGGGGAGGGGAGGGGAGGGAACUGCUAUAUUUUAAGCCCCUGGUAUGAGUCAGGCUAUAUAUAUGUUGUUUCAUUUAAUGCCAACGAUAUUCCCACCUAUUGCUCACUUCUUGCAAACUUGGAGUACAGUUGGAGAGGUUGAAUAAUUUGUUCAAAUUGGCAGUUCAUACAUGAAGUAUUUUAUUUGGCAGGCAAUAGCAUGUAGGGUAGAUAUCUACCGUGAGACAUGCAGUUCCAUGUCUUUCUCCCUUCUCAUCCUACAGAAAGCUAAAAAAGGGAAAGCAAUAUGGAAACUCUAAAGUAAGCCAUGCCUUGGAGUUUUGAUAAAAACUUAAGCUGGGUAUAUCAGAGCACAGAAAUGACAGUUGUCAGUUGUCAUAACAUAUAUAUAUAUAUAUAUAUAUAUAUAUAUAUAUAUAUAUUUGGGAAAUUUACAAAUGUUUUGCCCUCCCUAUCUCCCGUGUUUCUUCCCUCCCUCUUUCCUUUCUUCUACAACAGUAGUGUGGUUAUAUCUAUUUAUGAUCUCUCUGGCUUUGCUUUUACCUCUCAAAUGGGCCUAACAAUUUGUGCAUUACUCAUGCGAAGGUUUUUGGGAGAUCAACUAAGCCACCAGAGUGAGUCCCUCUGUUAUAUGUUCUUUUAACACUCAAUGUUUGGUAAAAUUGCAAUUAAGUAAUUAUAUAUAUAUUUUUAAAGUCCUUCCUGUGGAAAGCUCAUAGGUUUUGUUCACCAUAUAUCACCAGUAUCUUCAUCAUAGGAAUCUUAAAAGAAGAACAAGGACUUGAAUCCAAGUCUCCUGACUGCUACUAGAAGAUGAGUGGAAAGUGAAAUCAAUGCUUCUAAAGCAAUAAAAAAUGAAAAGAAAAACUGGAUGGAACAGAAUAAUGCUACAAAGAUCUGUGAACCCAAGUUGCCAAGCUGAUACCAGUGCAGGCUCUACCAUGCGGUCCACACCUGCUCUAAUGGGUAGAUUGGGAAGCCUUGGUGCUGAAUGAACAGUUUUUAGUUUGCAAUACUGGGAGGUGCAAAGGGCACCACAUGUGGAGUUUAUGAGUCAUAUGCAUAAUCCCCUUGAGGUUUGUUUUAAGCUGCAUAUUUCCCUGGAAGGUGUCCAUUUUGGAAAUUGUUGGUAGUCAGAGUUCUGUCCUUGGUUCUUCCUGUCCAAGAAACAGCAUGGGUGAGGUUAAUCAGACAGUGAUGCCCAUUGCUCUCUCUGGACAAGGAGAGGACUUGUCCACUGGAGGAUUUUGUGGAGGCUAAGUUAAUGGUCUUGCUAGAUUUUGUCAAGGAAACUGGCAAAAUUCUCUGUCUUUGCACCACAUCUAUGAAAUGCUCUUGAUUUGAUAAUUUAGUCUCAACUCCAGGAGGAAGUGAAGCUGGUUUGGUGUGAUGUGCUUUGAUUAACUUCUCUCUUUUUUCCUAUGCCACAGACACCAGUUUGAUAGUCUCUUUUUUAAUUAUACUGAGGAUAGUUUUCAAAGCUGAUGUCAGUGCAGGUGCCGUCAUGCCAUCCACGCCUGCUCUAAUGGGCAGUAACUCAUAGUAAUUAGGUAACUACCAUAUGUUAGAGCUGGGCACUGGGACGCUCCUGUUAUGCAAUUUAAUUCAUUGGUACCCUGUUUUAGAGAUGAGGGGUCCCAUGUACACUGUCUGGAAGUGGAUAUUUUUGUGGUAAAUACAGACACAAAGCCUGUUUCCUUGGAGGAGUAGAGGAAUAAGGAAAAGGAAACUAGUAUCUAUUGGCAAAUAGUCCUGGACAAAUCUUGUCUCAUUUCGUGCCUAUUGCACACCUGAGGUGGCUGCUGUUAGCAUCUCCACUUUAGAUAGAAGAUAACAGAAAGGCAAAAUAACCUGACCAAAGUCAUGGAUCUGGUAAGUAGGGGCAGGUUGGGAGCUCUGGUCCAUAUUCCACAAAGCUUGUCCAUCUAAUUACCCUGUCUGUAGUGCUGCCUCACAGGACAUGUGCUGGAGAAGCUGGGGAUGUCCCACUGAGCGUCCAGGCAGACCUGGAAGCUGCAGUUGCAGGAGGGUGUGGUACCCCUCCACACCGCCCCCCCCACAAGCCCUGCGUGUCUCUGACCAGUCCGUGUCUGCUAGCUUCCUCCUAUUGUCCCCUGCAGUUUCAGAGCUUUCAAUCUUGCCUCCCUCCCUGUCUAAAAAUAAGAUUUUGUUUGCACACAGGGCAAAGGCCCUGGGACCCUCCUGAGAAAAUCCGCAGAGGAAACAGGACACGGAGUGGACUGCAGAGGCAGAGGCAUUAGCUCCCAGAGCUAGAAGUUCAGAGCGGGAAAUGGCACUUCCCUUGUGAUUUUAUGUUUAGCUGGGGUUUAAUUAAUAACCGACAAACAAGUCUAUAAUUAACUUGACUCCCCUUUCGGCCAGCCAAGGGAAUAAUAAUAACAGUCCUUUUCACGUUCCACAGUGGUGCUGGGAAGAUGGCAGGGAAACCAGGCUCUGAGCACUGAUUGCAAAGCGACAGGGGCCUGCAGUAUUCAUUUCCCUCCCCCUGCACGUUGCAUUAUCUAUACCAGAUGUUGCAUUAAAAGAAGAAUUACUAUACUUCAGGGCUCAAAUUAUAUGUGCCUGAUUUAUUGCCCUGCUUCAGUUUUAAGUGCUACCUUGCAGAACGCUGAUAAAUGAUAGCUUAUUAUUUGGGGCUGAUGAAGAUAUCAAGGGCAGGAAGGGGUUAACUCUUUCCAGGCUGGGACCAUUUGGCUGGUUGGUUUCUCUUUCUUUCUGAUCAUUUCACACACCCCCCACCCUGCCCCCCAAACUCCCACCACCAAAUAAGUGCCCUUUUGGUUGCUUUUAUUUUUAAUCUCUAAAGUGAUGUGCCCCAGGCCCUGCCUUGGCUUCAUUGUACCUCAAAGACAAUUUGAAAUGUGCCAUUCAGGAUCUGCCUCUGACUUUCCUUUCUAGCUCUCAUUGUUUUCCUAUCUACCUGCUUUGCCCUAAAGUCCUCAACAGUUUGGCUCAUGCCUACCUCCCCAGCCUUAUUUUGUGUCCGUCUGUCAUGCCUGCCCUCUUUCAGCUCGUGGCCCAUUCCAUCCGAGGAAUGGUGUGCAAGCUGCUCCCUCUGUCUGGUCCCUCUCCCCUCCAUCUUUUGUCUGGGUAACUCAUGCAUCUUGUCCCAGCACUUCCUGAUUGGCACUUCCUGACUCUUGAUGCUUAUUGGACAGUCUUUUCUCUUUAGGUUCAUGGCACCAAAGAUUUUUCCUUUCUAGCACUUCCCACACUGUAUACCUAUUUGUUACUAUGUGGGGUUAUUUGUCUGAUUCCUCUACUGCAUUACGAACACCAUGAAACAAGGGACGGAGCUUUGUGUGUUCUGAGUUCCAGAUCCGAUCACAGAGCCAGGCUCAGACACAUGGAACUUUUAUUGAGUGAGUGACGAAGCAAAUAGCCAUGCCGCUCGGCCUGCCCCUUUCCUCACACACCCUACUUGACUCCCUCUUGGUGAUUUCUGCUUCUGAAAGGAACUCUUCUUUCCCUCUUUCUGGGCCCACCUUUUCCUUCACAAAAACUGUCAUUUACUAACUUUAGGACUUUGGGAAAACUAGUACUUGACAUCUUGUGCCUCAGUUCCCUCCUAUGUACAAUGAGGAUAACAAUAAAACCAGCCUCACACAGCGUUUGUGCACAUUAAAUGAGCCAGAGGAUGAAGGUACUCAGAAAUGCACUGGCUCAUGGUAGAUCCUGCAUAAAAUAUUUCAAAGAACACAUUCCCUAUAGCCUAUGCAUUUCCUCUAACUAGACUUUAAUUUGGGCCUUUGCUCUGGCUCCAUUUCCUCUGGUCACACCCCUGUGGCUUGGACUCUGCUCUUCUCAGAACACACGACCUCAUAGUGGGCACAGGUCAACCCAAAGGAUGGAUCAGUUGGACAGGAAUGAAUUGGUGACCAGAACAGCAACAAUUCCAGAUGUGAUUCAGGUAAACCUGACUGUAGUAGCAGUCAGGGAAGCCUGUGAAGGUGACUCCCUGGAUUCCAGUGGUUCUGUUCGGUCCAAUAACCUUUACCAAACAUUGGCUGCAUUUGGAGCCCUGUGCAGAGGUGAAGGGUUCAACACUGGAUAAAAUCAAGUUUUUGCUCUUGGUAAGCUCAGGGUUCAAUAGGAGACAAAAAGGGAAUCAGGAGGUGGCAACAGAAUGGGCUGGGACCACCCAGAAUGGGCAGCCAACCUGGAUCUGGGGGAGUCACUCAAGGGAAUCAAUGCUCAAGCUGGUCCUUGGAACACAAAGUUGACUUGCCUCUGAACUGAAGAUGGUGUUUUAAGCAGAGAUAUUGACGUAAAGCAGUCCUGGAGGUGUUAGAGAACAAGGUAUUUUGGGAACAUGGUUCAUAUAAAGACUCAUUGUGGUUGGAUGAGAGAAUUCAGAAGGACUGUAGGGGGAGAGGAGAGUCCAGGACUCAGGGGACUCUGAUGUCCUGCUAGGGAGCUGGGAUGAAUCCUGUAGCUUAUGGGCAGUGAUUGAAAGCAUAGAAAGGAGACAUGCUAGGGUCACUUCCAGAUGCUAUAAUGAAGCAAACUAGGGCUCAUAAUUCUGUGAGAUGAAGAAGGCGAGCAAUGCUUCAGUGACACACAUCCAACUUGUCAUCAUCUGCAGAGGAGAUGACACAUUGUUCCCAGGGGGCAUGUGAACUCCCUGGGAUUCACCAGCCUUUUAAAACCAUGGGCAUGCAUUUACCAUCCCACUGAGAGCACCACCAGCUCUCUAGGUGUGGAUGGACCUGGCUUCUCCACUCUGUUUUAGUGGGUUUUGGGGUGUUCCAGAGUCAUGAGAGCACAAGGGAGGGUGGAGAGGAAAGAAAGUAGCUUUUGUUGAGUUCCUACUUUGUAAGAAAACUUACAUGUGCCUGGGGCAAACAUUUUCUCUUUUAACUCUUGAUAACCCUAAGAAGUAGGCAUCACCACCCCCGUUCAUAGAUGAGGACUGAGGCCUAGAAAGGCAAGGAAAAUGUGCCAGCUAGAGGCCAGGGAACUUUGAUCUCUGUACUCCUCCCAUAUGCUUGCCUUUGCUAUUUUAACUGGUUGUUAGCUUUCUUUAGCACAUGGAGUAUAGUUGGAGUAUAGUGACUCUUUGGAGUAUGUGCUAUUGCUGUACUAGACUGUGAGCUAGAUGUGAGCUUGGUUAGCACCCAACAUUGGCAUUCUGUGUGUAGCUCUCAAUAUGUUUGCUAACUGCCUAGCAUCCUCUAAAACCUACCAGCAGGCACUAGAGGGCAUUAUGGAUAUAUAUUAUGAACAUAUGAAGAGUUAUAGAUGAUUUCAUCUACACAGCUUGUCUUUCCUUCCUACCUCCCUUCCUUUCUCCCUUCUCUCCUUGCUGUCUAUCAUUCACAUAUAAAAAUCAUUAACACUUCACAUGUACUAGGCUCCAGGCUGGAGAUACUGAGGUUAAAACCCUUCUAGUUGCUCACUGUUUUUUGGCCCUCUAUGGGGGAAACACCUCAAGGGGUUAGACCCUAAGGACACAUGGAUGAUCCUUCAUUCGAUUCAGGAGUCAGGAUUCAGGGGAGCCUUCUCUGAAGGGGAAACAUCUGAGCUAGGUUAAGAAAGUGAGUUUGAAGAUUGCUGAGUGUAGAAGGGGAGAGAGCCGGGCACUCUAGGCAGAAAGGCUAGCUGAAGCAAAGCCCAGAAAAGACCAGUAAGGUCUGGGGACUGCAAACAGAUGGGUGAAGGGCAGGAGGUGGGGCUGGCAGGCCUAGAAAUGCAGGUUGAGGACUUUGAACUUCCCCAGUCUUCAGAAAAGUCUGUGGAAGGAUUUAAGCAAGUUGAAGAUGGGAGAGAGAAGAAAUUCCUUUUACGGUGUGUUUUGCCUCUUAGAAAGAUCAUUUUGGUUGUACAGGAGACUAGAAUAUGGUGCCCCAAAAUAUUAACUGUAGGAGACAGAAUCUUUCACUCUCAAAUAUGCCUCUUUGGCAUAAAGAUUAUUUUGAACUGAUAUAUAUAUAUAUAUAUAUAUAUUUCUUUUGAGUACCAGGGGAUUAUUUUUGAGAUUUUGAACUGAUUGUUUUUGAGAAACUGCAGAUACAGGAAAAGCUAUAUAAACAGAAUAGAAGUCAUUUCUUUGCAAGGGAAAUUUAUAGUUAUAAAAGAAAUCUCCACUUGGAAGGGUGUCUCCCUCUCUGUAUCAAGAAGAGAAAGAUGAUUCCAAAUCAUUAGAGAAUCAUCUGUGGAGAAGGCUUUGACUUAAAUCUGCCUACCUGUUAUGGUUUAGAUGUGAUGUGUUCCCCAUAAACUCAUGUGUGAGACAAUGCAAGAACAUUCAGAGGUGAAACCAUCAGGUUAUGAGAGUCUUAACUCAAUCAAUGAAUUAAUCCCUUGAUAGGAUUAGCUGAGCAGUAACUGAAGGCAGGCAGGGUGUGGCUGGAGGGGGUGGGUCAUGGGCCUGCCUUUGGGGUAUAUAUUUUGUAUCUGAUGAGUGGAAUCUCUCUCUCUCUACUUCCUGGUCAUCAUGUGAACUGCUUUCCUCUGCUACACUCUUUAGUCAUGAUAUUCUGCCUCAUCACGAGCCCUGAGGAAUAGAACGUGCUGUCUAUGCAUUGAAACUUCCCAAACUGGGAGCCCCAAAAUUUCUGUUACAGCAGCACAAAAGCUAUCUAAAACAAUAGCAAACCUUAUGACAUCUUAUUCUUGUUUUCCCAUUUUCCUGGGAAACCCCCAUAACCAGCCUUCCCUACACCCUUCUUUGUUUUAGGAGAUAAUGGUAUUUAAAUGCCAAUUCAAAGUUGUCUCUUUGAGAUGGAUCCAUUUCUCUGGGUCUCGCCCAUGUAUGCAUGAGCUACAUAUGUUAAUAAACUUCUGUUUGUUUAAUCUGUCUUUUUUUAAAAGGGCCCCUGGUAACUAAGAAUUAUGAAGACUGGAAAGAAAAUUAUUUUCUCUUCCCCUACAGUUUCAAGGGAAGAAGUAAAAAACUGGAGACAAAGCAGCAGAUAUUGUGAUUGGGAGAACUGAAAAUCUUUAAGGAAACAGAAUAAAUGGAUCUUGGUGCCAAGUGGAGAUGAAAGAAGCAUUAAUGAUGGCUAGGUUUGAGUGCCUGAGUAGAUGGAGGUGACGUUUGCUAGGGUGCAGAGGCAGAGUUAGGAGAAGAUGACAAGUUUGGUUUUGAACAUAGAAAUUUAAACUGCAUCCAGGUAAAAAUGUUCAGCAGCCAACUCUGUACAUGGUUUGGUGUUUAGGAAAAAUCUCUGGGCUAGAGAGAUAGUGUUUCCAAGGCACAAGUUUAAAGAUGGUGUUCAAAGUUAUGGAUUUGAAUGAAUCCCCCUAGGAAACCUUCAAACCUAGUUUUGAAGAAAGAAGAGCUGGAGGGAGAACUUUGAAAAUUUCAGCCAUUAAUAAUCAAGACCUGAAAAGUUGAGUCUAAAAGUGUGGGAGAAAAAUCCCUAUGAGAAAAACCUAAUCCCAGGGGAGAAGAGCUUUAAGAAGGUUUGGUCAACAGUGGCAAAAACUUCAGAGGUUGUAAUGUGAAAGGUCAGGUUCCAGUGCCACCUGAUGAAGCCAGUAAUGAGAGACAGGCUGAUGGGGGGAAGAAACAGCUUUAUUGGCAGCAAGCUGGUGGGCGGAAGGUGGAAGUCUUCCACUAAAAUUCAUCUUGCCAUGAGUCGCAGGUGCAGAACUUAUGUGGGAUUUCUGGGGAGUCUGACUUUAGCCAUAGCCUGGUGGGCAACAGAGUGUUCAUUAAUUUUUGUAGGAAUAAAUUCUCUUGAUGUUAGUUUGUCCACAAGUCACCAUGUGUCCCAGGUGUUCCUGGUUCCUAUAACCCCCAAUCAAGAUCACUGAUUAGAAGGUAUUACAACUGACAUUGUUCUUUGAUGUUUUCUUUAUUCUUCAUUUCAGGCAAGGCUGACUUUAUUGGUUAAUUAUUUGGAGAGUGAGGCAAAACAGAAAUAGUGAAAAACAAGCUUGUUGAUAUUAGUGAAUAACAUUGGUAAAAUAGGAGUCCCUGAGUUACUGGUGUAGAGACCCCAUUUUAGUGGUUUGAGGAAUGAUUAAGAGACAGAGAAGUAAAGGCAGCAAGUGAAGAUACUAUUGUAGGCAUCUUGAGUAUGAAGGCAAGUAGACAUUAGGAAAUAACUCUAGGAGUAUGGAAUUGAGUGAGGCAGUCUAAAUUUAAGAAAAGGAUCUGGGCCACCUUUAUGAAAGAAGAAUGAAUAAAGAGGAAGCAGCUGAAGAUCCAAGAUGGGGAGCAGACAUAGCCAGGCCCAUGGGUAGUUGGUGGAUUGCAGGGAAUGGAGGUGAUGUUCACCUGGGAGACACUUUUAUCCCAAGACACUGAAACUAAAAAGAGGCGAGUGGGGGAAAUGGGGGCGGGGAGAGAGGGAAGAAGAAGGAGGAGGAGGAUCAACUAGAAGAGGAUAUAAACUAUAAAACAAAGAGAUAAUUCCCUCAGCCAUACCUGUCUGAAGCUGGGAAUUUGUCUUGGGUUUCUGUUGCAAGUCUUUAUGGUUUGUUUUGUCUGCUCAUCUGACAUUUCAUUCAGUUUCCAAUCACCUACACACUGUGAUAUACUCACUGGUGUCUGUGACCUAUCCACCUUAGCAGAGUCAGUUCCCAUUCCCAUGUGCGAGAUCAGUCAUGUUCAGUUUAUUAUUUUGUUCUCCGCAUAAAACCCCACCUAAGGGGCCUUUCCAGAUAUUGUUAGAGAUUGAAUAAAUGGAUGAAUCCAUGCAUGCAUGGAUGACUUCUCACUCUAGAUAUCGUUCAUUCAAUCAUUUGAUAAAUAUUUACAAUCAAAUACUAUGUGUAAAGUACCAUUCAGGUAUCAGGGCCAUGAGGCUGAACUCCAUGGAAUAAUAGCACUUGGUGCCUGGAUCCUGGAGAGAGGGUGCCUGGAAAUGGCAUCUCAAAAUGGACAUCUAGCCAGAAUCCUGAGCUCUCCAGCUUGAUUAGAGUUGACUUUUAUAGUCUGAACUGAUGUUUAAUAAGUAAAAAAUAAGAAUAUUUCCAUCAGAAUCUGCUACUCUUAUGAAUCCAUGAAUGAAAGAAUCAAUCCAUAUACUAAUGGGUGAUUUCUUUCAUUCUCUUAAGACUAUUCAAAGUCAUCUAUCUUUGAACCCUUGUUUCCCAGAAAGUGUCGACCCUUAAUAAACAGCUGCUCAGUGUCAUGGGAUUUGUAAAUAGUGACAUUUUGCUGUAGAUAUCCUAAUCCCAUCUUGUUUCUUUCCAAUACCCAAACUUUCUUGGGAAAAAGAAAAUUGUGUGGCUUCUCCUCUGACUAUAAUAAGUUCCUAAGGCAAGGCACUUGACCUUUGGUUGGGGGGACCUAUUUUCAGUUGAGGAAGCUAGGUUCUCCUUCAUCCUCGUGGCCAUUCAAUUGACCUAAAGGCUUGAGAGGGCACUAUUGAAAUGACUGUCAGCGGAGGACGGCUUUGCUCGGAAUCCUGGAGCUGACUGGGACAGAUCAACAGUUGUAGCUCUCCCCUCCCCUGUUUUCUGGCUGGGCCACUCAGGAACAAAUUCCCAGCAAAGAGCACUCUUCUACUUUUGUAUAUCUCCAGAGGAAAAAGAAUCUACAUCUUUGCCAAGGUCCAGUCCUGGCGGGGGGAGUGAGGGUCCAAGGGGUCCUGAAGGAGGAGUGGCAUCUAAGAAGAGGAGUCGGGACAACAGGUUGCAAGUUACGAGCAGCCUCCAGAAGAAAUCUCUGCUGGCCCUGGAGGAACCUUUAUUUUUAUACCUUUUUAUUUACAGGUGUUUUUCAGAUAGUUAAUGGAUAGCUUCAAAGCCCGAAACUUUUUUGAUUUACAAAAUGUUCAACAGUUAAAAUCUUUUCUGACAUACAUUGAUUACCUAAGAUAUUGAGUACAUCGUUCAAAAAUAUUUUUCUGUAACCUUAGACAAUCAUGAUUAAGCUUUUAGGUUUUUACCUCAAUCACUAGGUACUAGGUGACGCAACUAGACUACAUGACUCCUGACCUAUUAUUCACUUCUAACUUUAAAUCCCAUCUAUAAUUAUUUCAUUAACCUUGAACUUUAAAGCAUACUUAUGAUUAUUGGUAAUCUUUCUUACUUCUAAACUAAAAUCCCAGUAAAACACACUUAAAGUAGUGAAAGUCUCUUAUUUUAAAGCCUACUACUCUGAAGUGCCUCUAAAAUAUAUCUAUGUUAAUUUUACAUUAUUCUAUUUUUAAUUUCCAAGGUAAUUUACCUUUUUUCAUAUGACCUAUUCAACUGCUUUCUUAAAGAACUUCCUUGAUCCUUGGUCAAAGCACACCAAUUCUUAUGUCUUUGUAAUCUUUAACUAAAGGGCAGGCUUUAUACCUCAACCCACUUGUCAUUUAUAUUAACUAUGUGUUUUCCAUUUUCAUCAUAAGUUUUUGUGUAAGGCAAAGGAGGGUCUGUUGGUGGCGGGGAAUGAUUUUUAUUAGACUCUUGUCCUCAAGGGAGAUACCAUAAGCUACAUACGGUGGUCCUUGUGCUCUUGGCACAGCAAUUGUACAGGUUAUGGCUUUAGGAUGGGGUUGGGGGGGGCUAGUGUAAAUUGUUAACCAUGGGAUAAAUAUUUCUCAUUGCUUAGGCUUGAGGAAUAACACCAUUGUUUGUAUCCUGAGAGAUAUUGAAAUGCACCUCAUUGUGUAAGGGUCCGGCAAACGACAGAGGAAGAGACCACCAAGAGACCAACUCAUGCAACAGCAAAAGGGGGUUUAUUGAGGAUCCAGUGCGCUGGGGCUCCGUGCUCACUCAAGAAGGGAGAGCGGCCCAGAGCCCCGAGCAGGGGUUGAGCAGUGCUUAAGUACACUUUUUUUGGGAGGGCAGGGACUUUACAUACAUCACAGUCCCCUUUAACAAAUCAACAUACACCACGGGAAAAUCAAACAACAAUUCUCAAACAUGAUUAGUACAUUCAUUGGCGGGAACAGGUCGGGCGGGAGUGAUAGGUCAGUCCUAAGGAGGGGGAUACAUUCAAACUGAUUGGUUUGGGCCCUGAGAUGCCUACGUGCCAAGCUGCACAGGGUCUAGGUUAUUAAACAACUAAAUGGUCAGGGGGAAUAUCUACUGGGCAUUCCCGGGAAUUGUCCUAACAGCUACAGGAAUUUCAGGUUUUGAGUGUAGCAUAGGAAUUUAACAAUACCUGGUCCUUUACAUUUUAACUCAGGCUUUGCAGCUUAGAAACUUUACAAUACCUGGUCUUUUACACUUUAACUUCAAUUUCUUUUACUCUUUCAAUUGGAAUGUCUCAAUUGUAUCCUUAGAUUCAUUCUGGGAAUUUUCCUGCAAUCUCAGGCAAUACAUACUUUUAUUAUUGAUUGACGUAUGCCCUGUUAUCCAUAUUGUAAGUAUCAUAAACAAAACACUUAACAUUCCUAAUAGUUCCGGUUUCCAGAUGGUGAGGCCCUGCCAUAGCAUCCCCCAAGCUGUGACCCUGUCAGACAGUGGGUGCAGGAAUGCCUUCACCACAUCUUGAAUACUCCUUCAUUAUGAUUUUUAAAAAUGAUAAAGGUUAGGAAAUGCUGUUACAGACUGAUUGAUGUCUCAAGGAACUGACAGUGAAGCAGUUGCUAAUAAAAAUAAAAACAAUGUUAGCAACUGAUCAUGGUGUUUACUGUGUGCUUUCCUGGUGGAUAGACAGGUUAUGGGGUCCUUGUCCAAAGAAGUUAAAACUAGGCCAGUCUGCAUGGGAUAGAGAUGGAACAGGCCUACUCAUGUCUUAACAUGGCCACCAGGACCAUGGAGCUAUAGGGGUCACUUGGAAAUGUUCUGCUAAGACUCUAUCACUCUCCAUGUGCUGCAAAAGGGAAUUAUUUUUAGUUAACACAGAAAAAGCACUCUAAACAAUAUAGAGUUAAUCAACCAAUUGGCAAAGGUCUACUAAUUAUUUACUGGGUGCUGUUUGUUAGGAAUGAUAGAGUGAUUAAAAAACUAGAGAGAAUAAUUUUGUGUGUAUGUGUCAGUUAAAACAUAAAUCAAUAAAUAAAGAAUCAAAAACAACUAGAUACUGGGUUGUACAGUUCAGAAUCAGAGGAUUAUUAAGAUUCAGAAGUGAGAGGAUGCAAGACAUGGCCACCAGGAAGCAGAGAGACUAAGAUGAGCUCACAAACUAUAUACCCCAAAGGCAUGUCCCUAGUAAUGACCCAUCUCCUCCAGUCACACCCUACCUGCCUUCAGUGACCGCCCAGUUAAUCCCAUUAAGGCAUUCAUUCACUCAUUAGGUUGAAGCUCUCAUAACCCAAUCAUUUCAUCUCUAAACUUUUUUGCAUUGACUCACACAUGAGCUUUUGGGCGAUCUGAACGAUAAUGAAGAAGUUGCUUAAGAGUCACCUUUUCUGGGAAACCCCUGGGCUGACCACUCCUCCCCAGCGCCAUUGCUCUAUCCCCAGUCAUGUGAUCUUAUGGUGCAUACACUUGCCUCCUGGUGCUCACCAUUCUGUUGACUUGCCUAUCGCAGUAAACAGACUUCCUCUGUCUAGGAGACUUCUAGAAAGUAUAAUUUGCUCUUUGGAUGAUGUUAACCAAAUACCUAUCUUCUUUGCUUCACUUUUCUUACCUGAAAUUAUGAUGAUAAUAGUAAUUUUCCAUUUGCUCCCAGAUCCAUUUUCAACUCUCUUUGCCUAGCUCUUUGUUCUGGAAGAUCAACCCCAUGAAUUGCAUUUCCAGGGCUCCCUUGUUGACUAUUUUCUGGUUGAGUUUGGUCCAUGGGAGGUACUGGCAGGAGGUUGGGCUGUGGAAAGAGAGAGGUCUGGGUUUUUUCUGUCCUUCCCCAGCACCACAUUUCUGGCAGUAUUUUGUCCAUUCAUGUCCAUGGGUGGCCCUUCCUUUGCGUGCACUGGUUUUCUCAGCUUCACUGAUGCUGCCUUCUUUCUUGCCCCUGUCCCUUCAAUAUAGUGGUGGUAACAUCCCUGGUUGUUGCUGGUGCGCGGGUGCCUCAUGGUUCCUUAUUUGUUUCCUGUGGACCUUAGUUCAUACCUAAGUCACUUUUUGCUCAAGUUUUAGUUAUAUUUCCUUUAAUUAUCUGUGGUGAACUUGACUUCCCUGAUGGAUUCAGUUCUCUAACAGGGCGGUUGUGCAGGUGCCUCAAUUUUGUUUGCUUCUUCCUACUGCAAUGGGAUCAACUGAGACUCUGUGGCCAGUCUGGGAAGGAACUUGCGGCACUGAGUACAGUUUCUUCAGGCCUGAUUCGUGGUCAGUGCCAAGCCUGUUACCUGUCCACAGUCCUGGCUGCCUUAGCUUCUGUGUUGGAGGAAUGUCUGUGCAUCUACUCUAGCAGGAAGAGCAAUGGGGUCUUAUCCUGAGAUUUAUUGCCCAACUCCAAUUUCGGAUCUCCCAUUACCUGGCUCCUUAGGGGUAAUUAAGGCUAGAGACAGAUUGGAAGAUAUAUCCUUCUUCCUGUUUGGGUAAAGUCUUGGUUUACUAGGACUGAUGUAAUAAAAUACAGCAGAUUAGGUGGUUUGACCAACAGAACUUUAUUUCUCACAAUUCUGGGGGCUGGAAUUCCAAGAUCAAGGUGCUGGCAGGUUUGGUUUCCCCUGAGGUCUCGCUCCUGAGCCUGCAGAUGGCCUCCUUCUCACUGUGUGCACAUACAGGGGAGGGGAGAAGUGGGGGAGAGAGAGGAGCGAAACUGACCUUUGGUGUCUCUUCUUGUUCUUAUAAGGACAACAGUCCUAUUGGAUUAGGGCCAACACUUAUGACUUUAUUUAACCUUAACUAUCUUAAAGGCCCCAUCUCCAAUCAUCCUCAUGUUGGUGGUUAGGGCUUCCAUAUGUGAAUUUUGGAGGAAUGUAAGUCAGUCUAUAGCAGGCAGUGAUGAAAAGAAAGAAGAAGCAGGUCAGACAUUUUAGGAAGACCAAUGCCUUCCUUCUGGCACUUUCUGUAUAGACAGAUAACUUUAGUCUCUUAUUGAUGCCCACAGAUUUGUCCCAGGCUAACUGUCAACCUUUCUGUGGGCUAAAGGAAAGGCUUUAAACCUAGAAAAUCUUAGCCUGCAUUUACAUGAUGUGCAUUUCAGGACAACUGCUUUACUUCCCUGAGCCCUCAUUACCUCCCUAGACUGGGUUGUUGGGUGAGUCAAUGCGAUAAGCUGUAAGAAUGCCCUGAGCAAACUCUGUUCCUCUAGAGACAAUUUUGGAAGAAACCAUUAGGAGAAUGUCUUCCAACUUCCAUUUCUGUCUCGUUCAUAAAUCAUUGCAACUGUCUUAAUAAUUUGUUCUUUGUCUGACAACCCCCAGCUUCUUCUCCACCAAUAAAACAAAAACAAAAACAAAACAACCCAAAACAAACAAAAAAAUAAUACAACUUCUAUCUGUAAUUCUGAACCUAGACAGGGCAGCCCCUCGAGGGGCAGGGUUCCUGGGGAUGUGGAAGCAGGCCUGCAUGUAGACCUGGUGCUGGGGCCUAGGGAUGAGUCAGGCAUUGGCUUUGCCUUCAUGGAUGCUUGGUGUGGAGCAGGAAAAUAGCUGAGACCCUGAGGAUUCAUCACAGAAAGUGUUUGAGAAAGGGGAGUGUGACUAGGAAACCAGCUCGGACUUGGAGUGGUUCCAGGCCAUUGAGGGCAGAGGCUUGAAGGGGCUUCCUAAAGAUGAUGAUGCUGAUGCAAGUGCUCGCCCUUCAUAGGUGUGGGAGUUUACCUGAAUGAGUGGUGGGUAGGGCACUCCAGCAGAGAGAACCAUGGGACAAUGAGGAACAGAAGUGAUGCCCUCGGACUUCUGGAAGAUUAGGGCUGAACCAAGAGGAUUCCUGGGAUCUAUACUGAUGGAAGGUGAAUGGAAGAAAGGUAUGGAAGUGAGAUGCCUGUGGAAGUGCUUGUCAGCAAAGCACAGCGUCCAAGGGUCUGGAGAGGAUGCCCCAGGAUGACUGGCUUGGUGGAAAUUCUCCUGGGAUCUCCCUGGCCAUCCUUUCCCAGUACUUCCUGACCUACCAUGCCUGUGGCUCUUCAGGUCUCACUGAAGGUUAAAUCUCUGGAAGAUGCUUUCAAGCUUGGUGUGUCCAGAGCCAGGGCCUGGUCAGGGGUACCCCUCUUUCUCUCAUAACCUCAUUUGAGCAAGUAUCAUCACCAAAGAUAAGAUGAAUGCUUUUCUUUAAGAACUUUACUUAUUUCUAGUUACACAAGCAAUAUGUGUAUCAUAGAAAAUUGGGGACCUAGCAAAAAGUAUCUAAGGAAAAGAAUUUAAAAAACUAACCUGAUUUCAAAGAUACCUAAUGUCAGAGAAAAUACUGUGAGCAUUUUUUUGAAUACAUAUUUCAGUUUUCUACUCAAAGUGUAUUUUGUUUGUGUUCAUAUGUAUGUUAACAUGUGUGUUCCUACAACAUGGAUAUUCAUAUAUUUGAGGCACAUAUGCUGGGAUGAAAAUGGGUUUGAUAUUAAUAGUCAUAACUCGUAUUUUAUUGGAUUUUUACCUCUACUUGGAAUUACAGGAUCGCAUCCCUAUCCCCCAUGCAAUAGCCACCUAAAUUAUUUCUAGGAUGCACUAAGAGGUUUCUCAAAGGACUUAAGAACUACUUCUUUAAUUUUUUGCACUUUCAGAACUGUGGCCCUUAUGGUAGCGUGAACUCUGAAGGCCUCCAGAAAUGUAGCUCCCUUCUGCCAGGGCCCACCACUGAACCCUUAUCUCCUGGCCAGAGCCCUGAGUCUUCCAGCAACUCCUUCCAAUCUGUUGCCCUGCACCCUUUCUCCAGGUACAGAAUCCCAGCUGUGCCCUCUGGAGCCUGUAGUGCAUCAAAGCCAUGCUGGGGAGUCUCAUUCCCUUUUGCUUAUGCUUUGAAGUAUGAGUGCCUGCUUCUGGUUUUAUGUAGCAGUGCCUUGAAAAGCUCUUUAUUGAAAAAAAUUAUGAUAGAGAAGCUUGAAUGAUGGCCAUCAUCCAUGUCUUCCUCCUGUCUCCCUUCCAGCAAGUGCCUGCUACUUGUCCCAUUGAGAGAUGCAAACGUAUCCCCUGCCCUUUGAAUCUGGGAUGGUUUUAGUGACCUACCCAGGAUGCAUCCAAAAGGAUGUUCUGAGACUUCCAAGGAUUGAUUAUGAGAAGGUUUGUCACUUCUACCUGGUCUCUUGUAUUGCUCAGUCUUGGGCUACUUCAUUUCAGAACCCAGCUACCACAUUAUGAGAAGACUCACAGAGAGUCCAUGCCUCAGUGCCCUGGUUGACAGUCCUGUCUGAGGAGACAGUUGGAACCCCUUGCACCAUCUUAGAUCAGCAGACAGUUGAGCCUUUAGAUGAUUCCAGCCCAAAUGUCACUAGAGGGCAACCAUUUAAGAGAGCCUGCUAAGCAAAGUCAGCUCACAGAACCAUGAGUGACAAUGACAAACUGGUGUUUUAAGCCAUUAAAUGUUGAGGUUAUUUGUUGCAUAUAACAGAAAAUCCUCCUUUCUCCAGGCUCAGAAAAGUCCCGAGUCCCUUUAAGCUGAGUGACAGGUACCCUGCCUUCCAGAACAACCCCACCCUCUUACUUAAGAGACUCUGUGUCUGGAGUAAGCUUGUCAGCCUGGCCUCUUCCUUCCAGAUGAUGUCUUCCUUCCCACGAUAAUUCCUCCGGAUCCAUCUCAUCAUUCCACCUGCCAUUUCUAGACAUAUUCCAAUCCCAAGGGUAAACAUGGCUUAAGCCCCAACUAGGAACUCUGUGUACAAAAAAAAAAAAAAAAAAAGGAUUUUGCUGUAUAUACAAUGGUAUGUAUUUAUUAAAUUCUUUUUUCACUAAGUGUCAUAUUGUGAUAAAUUUUUCAUGUCAUUUAAAGUCCUGCAGAAUUAGUAUUCCACCAUUUGAAUUUAUAUCAUUACUCAUUUGCCAGUUUCUGGAAACUUGCCCCAUUCUCUCUCUUUUUCCUCAAAUUGUAAAAAAAUGUUGAGCUGAAUAUCUUUGCUCAUAAAUCUUGACCCAGAUUCUUAUGGAAAUAAUCAAGCAUUCAGCAUAGGGUAUAGUUUUUUAAAAGUCACUUGAUAUAUAAUGUCACAUCAUUUUUCAGAAAGAGUGAACCAAGCUACUCACCACCAGUUAGUUUGAUAAGUAGAGAAGGUAUCUCAUUUUGAUUCUAAUUUGUAUUUCUCUCUCAGUGAUGUUUAUUAAAAAUAGUUUUUUAGUCUUUCACAUUUCUCCUGUAAUUUUCCCAUUACUAAUUAUUUUAUUAUUAUGUUAUUAUGAUUAUCAUUUUCUACUGUGUACCAAGAAAUGAACUUGACAUGAGAAAGGGAGGAAUUUUGGUGUAUAGUCCCUAGGAGCUUUGACAGUGGACCCCAUGGCUUGAGAAACAGAGUAGGCUCUAUGAGAUAAGAAGGGCACCUGGCCUGGUUAGCUUGGAUGCAUUCUUGGCUGCCUGGUGGAUCCUCAAUACACUUGCGAGAGUGACACGUGGCCUUUUGGAGAGACAAUGACUUUGGCACAAGACAGGUCAACUUUCAAGGUGGAUUCCACUUCUUACCAGUUGUAGGACCUUGUCAAGUUACUUAAUCUCUUCAGUAUCAGUUGCCUCAACUGUAUAAUGAGGAAAUGCCAUGUCCUAUGUAAGUUCAUUAUUAGCAAAGAGAUAAUAAACAAAAGCAUCUUAUAGAUGAGAUUCAUUCAGCAGUCAUCAAAUCCUGUUCCACCUCAUCAUCUUUUGAGUCUGUUUCUUCCUCCUCACUGCACUGAUACUACCUGACUUCAUCCGGCUCCUACCAUCCUGAGCUCUUUUCUGUUCCAGCCCCACCUAGGAUCCUUGUCCAAUGUCUCAUCUUUCCAAUUCAGUUUGUCACACUGUCCGAUCACCUUUCUGAAACAAAAUCGGAUCAUGUCUCUAUUUGACGGCCUUCACGAGCUCUUCGCUGUGAUUGGGGCCUGGGUACUGCUAACCUACCAGACUCAUCUCUCAUCUCCUGCUUCAUCACACUCUGUCCUCUGGCCACAGAACUGCCUAGAGUCCCUGAAAAAGUUCCCACCUUCUCAGAGUCUGGUGUCUUUGAAUAUACCAUGUGGAACCAUUUUCUCUCCUUUACACACCUUAUGGGUAACUCUUGAACUGACCCUUUGCCCAAGCUGAUGCUCCAAGCUGGACUAGUCACUCCCUUCUCCAAGGUUCCCCUGCUACAGCACGUGGCCAGGGAAGUGCAUGAUCUCCCUCCUUCACUGGCCAUGGCUUACUGAGUGCAGGAAUGACACUUUCACUUCUACAUCCCUUUUGCAGCACCUACCUAGGGUUUCUUAAUCUUGACACUCUUGGCCAGGACUGGCUGCAUAAUGUGUGGGGUUCAGGGAAAGAUGAAAAAUACUGAGUCCUUUGUUCAAAAGUUACUAGGAACUCCUACAUCCUAACAAUGGAGCAUUAAACAAAGUGCAGAGUCCUUGUGAGAGCUGGAUCAUGUUGGCAGUGCAGGUUAUGUGCCCACAAGACAAGCUCUGCUACUGACCAUUUUGGGCAGCACUAUUAUUUGUUUUAGGGACUGUCUUGUAUAUGGUAGGAUAUUUAGCACAUUCCUGGCCUCUAUCCACUAUAUUCUAGUAACAUCUGUAAUGGUGACAACCAAAAAUGUCUCCAGACAUAAAUAAUCUUGGGAGGGUGAGGGAGACAUAAUCUCCCCUGUUGAGAACCGCUGGUCUGGAAGACUGCAGGAACUUGGAGCGGUGCUUAAGUUUCCUGUGCUUUGCUAAAGGUGAGGGCAGUGGUCCAUGGGGAACCCAGCCAGCCUGAGGGAUUGUGUAAGUCAGCUUUCCGUGACUGUAACAGAAUAUUUGAGACAAUCAACUUAUAGGAGGAAAAGUUUAUUUUGGCUCAGUUUCAAAGGUUUCAGCCCAUAAUGGGGUGCCCACUGUUUGGGGGCCUGUGGCGAGAGCAUGUGGUAGAGCAAAGCAUCUGACUUCAUGAUGGCUGGGAAGCAGAGGGCCAGGAAGGGCCAAGGUCCCAUCAUGCCCUUCACAGUCAUGCCUCUGUGACCUAAAUUCCUUCCAGUAGGUGCCUCCUCCCAUUAGUGCCACAGGUUGGUGACCAAGCCUUCAACACACAGGCUUUUGGAGGACACGAAUCCAAACCAUAGCAAGGAGGCUUCCUGGAAAUGGGAUAACUCAGGGCAGGUGCCAGAGGAUAGUCAUAUUUGGCUAGAACUUGCUACCUGGCUAAGUCAGCUCACUUAGCAAGGACUCCAAGGGGUACCAAGGGAGAGGAAAUAUCCAUUAUAGCUGGGAAGCUUCGGAAACCUCCGGAUGAGUCACGGAUCUGGUGGUUUGGCAUGGGUGGGCAGAACUUCCCCAGGCUGCAAGAUUUAUAAUAAGAAAGCAGCUUUGAAGUUCUUGGAGAUUUUUCAGGGCCAGGAGUCAAAGGAGCCUUGAGGAUCACAGAGUGCUCUGGGCUCUAAAACACUGGGAAGGAUUCCUUACAAAUAGGGAUCGGGCAACUGCCCCUCCCGGUCAGGCCUAAUGGGUUGCACAUGUCCCAGCUGUGGCCCUCAGUGGAUCUGGGUACAUGGCCUGACUUAUCAUCUCCUGCAGAUCCUCCUGCCCCUGAAGCUCCCGGGGAUGCAGCAAGCAGGGCACCCCAUUUAUAUGCUGGGGAAGAAUGUGGUGGUGAUGCCAUGGCUUUGGGACUGGAGAAUCUAGGACGAGAUGGCAGGUCAUAUGUUUGGGGGCAAAUGCUGGCAAGCCAGCUGUCAGGUCAGGUGCCCUGAGCACCAUGAGCUUCCAGGACCUGUGUGGAUGAAAGGACUGUUCUUCUCCACAGGCCAGGACAACCUGGUGAACCUUGCUGCCGAUCGGCAUUCUCUAGUUCCCACAAGGACUGCUGCUUGGAGAAAGCAUCCUCCCAAGAGGAAGGGAAGGAGACUGUGAGUCAGAUGAGAUUCUGGAGAAUGUAGAUCACAUUUUCUUGAAGUCUGUGUUCUUGCCUACAGUCUCGCAUUGAGGUUUCCAAUCCUUUAUGUUUUAGCUGUGACUUGAAAAAGUUACUUAACCCCUGUGCUGCAGUUUUCUUCUUCUUCUUCUUCUUCUCCUUCUCCUCCUCCUCCUCCUCCUCCUUCUUCUUCUUCCUUCUUCUUCUUCUUCUUCUUCUUCUUCUUCUUCUUCUUCUUCUUCUUCUUCUUCUUCUUCCUCCUCCUCCCUUCUUCUUCUUCCUUCCUCCUCCUCCUCCUCCUCCUUCUUCUUUUCUUCUUCCGCAGAGCUGGGGAUCCAACCUGGGGCCUUGCCCAUGCUAGGCAAGGACUUUGCCACUGAACUACAUCCCAGUCAAGUAUUCUUACUUUAAAAUGGGUAUAGGAAGAAUAUUGAUUUUAUAGGGUUGUGAAGACAAAAUGAGAUUUUACAUGCAUCAGAGGGAUAAGCCACUUCACACAAUGGUUAGAACAUACACUAUUGUCUGUUUAAAUGUUUCUCUUGACCUUUUUUCUAGCCAGAGACUGCCUGGUGGGUGGCCCAAGAGUAAGGGCUCUCAGUUGCAGGCAAUGAAGCUCGACUGUGGAACCCCCUUCCCACAGACCCACUGGAAGGGCAUCAAAAGAUCCAGAUUCAGCAGAUGCUGGAGGAUUGACUUCAAAACCAGAGAGGAGUCAGGGGAACUUGGACUGUCAGGGAGAAAAAUGGCAAGAAACAAAUCUUAACUUUUGGAAGAUGACAGGUUUACACCAUCACCAGCGCCCUGGCCACAGAUGCUGGACCACACAGAGACUGCACAUGACCCUCCUCCUCAUUCUGCUAGGUGGGAAGGUGGGGGGGGUUCCCUCUGCCCAGUUAGCUUCCAGAGAGGGUGGGCAGCUCCUCAUUGUGGGCUUCCCUCCAGUUAAGAAGAGCCCUUGCUAGGUAGUUGUUGAGAAUUAAGGUCCCCUGUGCCUACCUCUGUGACUGCCCACCUCCACUCAAAUCCUCCUUUCUGUACUAUUCUUGUAACACACACACACACACACACACACACACACACACACACACCCAGAGCCUCUGGAUAUGGCCCCUCUCAAAGGAACAGAAAACCAAACCUAGCCAGUUACUGCAUCUAGCCUAUGCCUCCAGUUUGUUCUGAAAUCUAUGGAUUAACACAUAGACCUCACUGUUUCUAUUACCCACAUGUUUGAUAUCAGGAAGAAUGGGGAGGAAAGAAGAGGAAACUUCAGCAAAGUAUACAGAUCCUUGAUACGGCAAGGAAGAAAACACUGAAAGAAGAUGUGUUCCUCAUUUCUGCAUAACUAUUGUUUGUGGCUUCUUUUCACUAUUUCAUUCCAAUGAUUUUCUGCUUUUUGUCUUCAGCCAGUCCUUUGCUGCUCUGCCUGGUGGGUGGCCCAAGUGUUUAAUUUUGAGGGAUAUGAGCUCUUGAUAUGAGGCUGCAGAAUUUUUCCACUGACGUCUUCUACUAGAUAUGGCAGAAGUUGGAGUUGCCCAGGGGAUCCCUAAAUUCUCUGUUACUUCUCCCAUGUUCCCAUAGUCAGCAAUCUUAUUUUUCUUUCACAACCAGGAUCUAACAUGCUGGCUAGUUGGGGGACUACCCAUCUUCCUGGCCUGUCUUUCCAGUGGCAUCUGAAAUAAGCAGAUGGCUGGGUUAAACCCCAGUUUUGUUCCCCUCGUGGAAGCAAUUGUCCUCAAAGCAUAGCUUCUUCCAAAUCACUGAACUAGCAGAGCCCAGAGCAGUAGGAAUGGGAACAAGAGCUAUAGUGGGGCACAGGAACUGCAAACCUUUCUUCUACCUCUUUGUUCUGAACACUUUCUUCUUACUCUGAUGACUAGAGAACCACAAAUUAUUCCCCUGUUCAGAGUAUUUAUCACUCUGCAGGAUGGUGCCCCACCUGGUAAGGUACUAGUCAACAGGUGUGGGGACCGAUUCUUCAACAGACCCCCUCAUCACUUGGAGCACAAUAGCUCUGGCCAUGGGUGCAUUCUAAAACAAAUGAAUACCAUGCACAUAAAUCCUCUCCCUCCCUGGCUUUCUUCUUUUCUUCCCAAAAGGGACAAAGAAAGGUAUAGCUCAAUGUUUUGCUUCCUGUGUAGAUAGCCUUUCUUGAUGGUUCUUGGAUGAACUAUAUACAAGCACAGUGCUUCCAUCUUGUUCUACUAGUUGGAGGCAUUUCCCUAUGAGACUGAAAGUGUGGGUUGUUGGAGGAGAUAGAUUAGCACAUGGGUGGCUUUGGGGAGUGUGGCCACUCAGCUUGUUCCUUAAGAACCCAUGGCUUGGUCCUUGGAUGAUGGAAUGCUGCUGGGCAUGGCCAACUGUGUGGCUGGGUGGGUUGGAUAACUCCUCGUCCGUGGUGCUGAGCUUGGGGAAGUGCUCAUCUUGUGUCCCAUAUUCAGCCAUUCAGUCCCCAACAGGACUCAAUAUCAAUCCAAAUGACACUUUUUAAAAGGAGCAUAAUCAAUUGGUAGAUAGGGCUUGGAUCUGCCCUUAGAUUCCAAGGACUUUUUACUGACUUCCACUGGGAGGCUUGCCACAGGGUCACACAGCAUUCGAAUCUGGCAUAAACAUGGUGAGUACUGUUGGGUCCACUAAGUCAUUGUGGAGAAAUCAUGGACCUGAUUGCAUUAUUCUGCUUGUUAUAACAAAUACCUGAGAGAAUACAGCUUUUACAGAGGAAAGGUUUAUUUUGGCUCCUGGUUUUGGAGGUUUCUGUUCAUAGUUGCUUGGGUCUAUUGUCUUCGAUUCUCUGGUGAGGCAGAACAUCAUGGUGGGGAGUGUGUUGGGGACCAUGAUGCUCCCCUCAUGGCAGCUGGGUGGGUGCAGGGAGAUAGAGAGACAGAGAGGCCCCAAUAUUCUGUUCAAGGGCACACCCCCAGUGACCUUCCCACCUCCUAAAGGCUCCUCCAUUUUCAGAAGUGCCACCUGCUGGGGACCAAACCUUUUAGCACAUGGGUCUUUGGGGGUCAUUUCAGAUCCAAACUCUAGCAACGUCCUCUACUCAAAGUAAUCUUACAAUCAAAAUGGGCUAAGGUAGCAUGUCCAAAUAAUGUUGCCUCCAAAAUUCUGAGGCCUACCAAUUAUUGUGCUCCUUUUUACAUGGUCUGGAGUAGAAGGCACAGCAACUUAACAUUGAUUUUUGAGAAAAUGUUGGUGCUCAUGGAAUUUGCAGAAGUCAAGUCUGCAUUUCUGUAGGAUGUAUCUCCCACACCCUGGCUUGCAGGUAUUAUAUCAUGCCAAAAGCAUGAUAUAUGCUAUUUCUGUUUGGUCCUAAACUCAUGAUGCAAUUAAUGUAAUGGGUUAAAAUUCUGCUACUGGGGGUAGCUGUAUGUUCAAGGCCUUUGUGGCUUAAAUUGUGACCACAGACCAGGGGUUUUGAUAUUUCCUUAGGAAAAAACAAGUAUGUUGCUGUAUCUACCAGAUGAAAGCAAAUAUCUUCUGCUACUUGUCAGUAUAGAAAAAUUAGUCACUGUACACUCAGUCAGAUGUUAAUAGUUAACUCCAGUAAGCAGCAACUCUAGGACAUCGGAUUCUAUGAAUGAUACCAUUUAAUUCAUUUUCUCCAAAAUCAACAUCGUCUUCAACUGUCUAACAAUGAUGAUGACAUUAGUGCUCAGAAUUCCCCCACUGAGUUCUCUAGAGCCCAAUAAAUUGAUAUUCCUCUUUCUCUUUUAGUUCAAAGUUUGUUAACAGAUAGGUAGCCAUUACAUAUUAUUAAAACACUGUAUUCAUUAUUAAUAAAGCUGAUUGGAGAAUGUGGCUUUUGAUCUGAGGCCAAAUGGGUUUGCUUGAUUUCGUUCCUGAAUUCUGGCUCUCUCGUUGCCAUCGGUAUAGCAGAAACGCCACAGGUCUUAUCCUGAACCAGAACCAGCCACAGAAAAUUUAUGACACAGAGAAAAAAACACUGUGUGAUCCUUUAGGCAGAACUGGUUUGAAAAAAAAAGGAAGGGCUUGUUUAAUGGAGCAUGUUUAAUUCCUUCUCUUAAACUUGAUAAUGACGUAUGUUACACUUCUUCCCAUGGGGAAAAGUUAGUGGGCAAAAGAGGAAGAGGCCAGCAGGGUUGCUCUAAUUGCAAUGCCUCCCCAUGGAGACAUGGGCGGGGGGACCAAAUGGUCCUACCCUCCCUUUGCUCUCACUGUGACACCCCCUUGCUAGAUCAGAUUGAAUGAAUCUGACUCUUCAGCUUUGUACUGCUUGUUCUCCUGCCGCAGAGGCAUCCUGGGUUCCAUGCCUGAGCUUUGGCUUCCAAGGCAUGCCCUGAUGGAGCAUCUCUCAUCUCAGUUGUGGUAGCAAAAAGAAGAGUUCUGUGUCCACUGCUAGAAGAUACAGAGGGAGCUAGGAAUGAGUAGUUAGUUAAUAGCCCGAAGGCAAAAUGUGGUCAAGUUGCUUAACACUGGGGGUGCAUUUUGAGAAGGGCAUCAUUGGGUGACUUCCACCAUUGUGUGAACAUCAUAAAGGGUACCUACACAAGCCUGGGUGGCUUAGGUGCAUCACCUGAUGUGGCCUCUUGAUGCAUUUGAGAUGCAGUAAAUGCAAGACAUUUGAGACCACUGCUGACACGGUAACUCAACAGGCUGUUUUUCAGUAAACAUUUUUUUUUUAAAUAGGAGUACACUAUAAAAUAAUGAAUAAAGUAUUCUAAGGUAAAUACAUAAACCAAUGACACCAUUAUUUAUUAUCACGAUCAAGUAUUAUUAAGUCCUGAACAUAAUUUUCCGUGCUGUAUUUUCCGAUGAUGGGCAUGCAGUAGGCUUUAUACCAGUGCCACCACAAACAUGUGAGUAAUGCCUGUGCUAUGAUGUUAAGAUGGCGUGGGUCACUCGUGUCAGAGUUUGGAUCUGGGAUGUCCCCCAAAGCUCAUAUGUUAAAGGCUUGGGUCCCAGCAGCUGGCACUAGCCAGGCACCUUGGUACAUAUCUGUAAUUUUAGUGGCUCUGGAGGCUGAGAGGAUUGCAAGUUAAAACCAGCCUCAGCAUUUUAGCGAGGCUCUAAGCAACUUAGCAAGACCCUGUCUCAAAACGAAGAAUUAAAAAGUGCUUGGGAUGUGGCUCAGUGGUUGAGUGUUACAUGGGUUCAAUUCCUGGUUAAAAAAAAAGGUCAGCUGGUGGCCCUGUUGGAAGUGUGGAAAUUUUAGGAGGUGGGUGGGGGUUGUCACUAUUGAAAGAAGUUGGUCACUGGAGGUGUGUCCUUGAAGGGUGUAUCUCGUCCAUGGCCCUUUUCUCUCUCUCUCUGCUUCCCAAUCACCAUGAAAUGAGCAGCUGAGUUCCACUCUGUGCUCCCCACCAUGAUGUUCUGCCUCAUCAAAGGUCCAAAGCAAUGGGGCCACGGGACCAUAGACUGUAACUUCUGAACCUGUGAGCCAACAUAAAUCUUUCCUCUUUUAAAUCGAUUUUUGCCAUAAUGCUGAAACACUGACUGGGAUACAAGGUGACAGAAAAUUUUCAGCUCUGUUAUAAAUUUUAUGGGACCACUGUCAUAUAGGUGAUCCACCACCGACCCAAGGGAUUAUAAUUGCAACUGUCCUCCCCAAGAUGUGCACGUCCAAACACUCUGGAUGGGGCACCUCAUCUGUAAUAGUCAGGUUAGAUAUUGGUUCCUUCUUGGUCCUCUUUCUUUAGCACUUGGCCCACUGAUCAGCAGCCCCAUCAUCCAGCUUAAGCUCAAGAUGAGUUUCCAGAAUUCUCCUUUAGGACAUACAUUUUGACUUUGAUUUUCUGGUAUUGCAGAAAAACAAUGACUCCCCUGCCCAGCCUCCACCCAGGGCUCCAUGGAUCUCAUCAGAGCUCACACUCAGAGGAUCAGUAUUUUCCCAGCAUUUGAGUUGUGUUCUACUGAUCAUAGGGCCGAGGAUAACAGUGGAUGGAGUUCUCUAACUGCUUUCCAGAUAGGGUCUGGUUCCACCCACCAUUGUUAUUCUCUGUGCAUCUAGAUGUUACAAUGGAGGAGUAUGGGUAGAGGGGGAUUUGUGCAAGGAAACAGUCAUGAUUUCUAUCAGAGUGCCUGUGUUAAUUUCUUAGGGCUGUUCUAAUACAGUGCCACAAAUAGGUGGCUUAAGACAACAGGAUUUUAUUCUUUUAUAGUUCUGGAGGCUGGAAGUUGAAAAUCCAGCUUUGGUGUAGAGUUGGUUCCCCUUGGAAGUGCUGAGGAUCUAUCUGCCCCUACCCUGUCUCUCUCCCAGCUUUUAGUGGCUGCAGGAAUCCUUGAUGUUCUCUGGUUUACAGCUGUAUACUCCAGAUCCCUCUUCAGUCUUCUCAGUGAUACCUCUUCUCUUACAAGGAUGCAGCUAUGUUAGCUUGCCCUAUAAUCCAGUGUGACCUCACCUCUACUUGAUGAUGUGUUGCAAAGAUGUUAAUUCUAAAUAAGGGCACAUUCAGAGGCAGGGGGGUGGGGCUUAGAAUCUCUCACAUCUUUUCAUAUGUUUUUUUGUUUUUGUGAGACACAGGUUACCCCGUAGCAGUGCUAAAUUAUUAAGUGAUUUCUCCCAACUUCAUUUCCUUAAACCUAAUGCAACUUAUCUCAUCUCUAAAAUGGAGAGUACAUUUUAGAAGCAGCUCCUCUUCUAAAGUUUUCUAUCCCAAUUCUUACCACAUAGCACAAUUUUUAAAAUUCAAGAUUCUGCAGGCUAUGCUAUUAGAAAAAUGUCCUUUAGACAUAGGUGUGGUCUGCUUCAAAAAAAAAAAAAUCAAAGAAACUCUUUGAAUUCUAGCCCAGGCAGAAAUACAAAAUUCCUGAAUUGAAAUACAAAGAGUCCAGGUAGGGUAGGAAUUAACAAAUGGAAAAUCAUAUUUUUAGGGGAAAAAAAAAGAACCAAAGAAAUAAAAUGCCAUUUUUUUCCAGGUGUAUGGCCACGUUUCCAUUAAGGUAAGAAGGAUUCUUCUAAUGUAUUUGUUUCAGUUUAAUUUUUGUGUCUUCAAGGAUCUUGUUAUUUAGUAGAUGAAAAAUCCUUCAAAUUCACACAAUAGCAGUUUACUCAGUGACAUCAUGUAAUAACACAUUUGUGCCUUAACAUAACAGUGAGAGAGGAAGACGAAAGAGACUCCUGCUUUACAUGUUGGGAUACUCAGGAGGAGAGAGAUGAGUUGACUUGUCCAAGAUCAGAUGGCUGGUUAGCCAGAGAGAGGAGAACAUUAGCAGUCUGGGCAAAAUCAUAACUACUUCUUUAGGGCACAUGGUGGAGGGUGUGGGCCUUCCCGUAUUUUAGUUUAAAUUUUUUUUUCUUUCAACUUAAAUAAGAUAGAGCCAUUGCUAAAGAAAUUGCUUUGAGCCAGGACUUUGCUCAGUGCCUGGAUCCUUUGUUACUGCCCCCAUGUGAACCAAUAAUUUCAUCAGAAUUGAUACUCCCAUGAGUCUAAAGGUGGGGAUGGAGAGAGGCUUGGAUGCCAAGUCUCCCACAGGGGGCUAGGGGAGCCCGAGGGGUCAGUACAGCCUGCAGAAGUUAGGGGAUCCAUGCUGAGUCUCAAAGGACAAAGAGAAUAAACCAGGCAAGAUACGAGGUUGGGGAGGGAUGGUGUUUGCAUGCAGGGGAAAGCGCCUGGCAAGGGUAGGGAGGAGUGGGCAUCUGUGGGGCCAGAUGGGUAAGCAGCGGUCAGCUUAUGAGAAUCUUCACUAAAAAGCUGUGUCUGAGGCUUCAUUUGGGGGGAAGUCUUAGAGAGGAAAAGGGAGAGAGGAGAUUGUUUUAAACCAGGGGUUCUCAACUGGAGAUGAUUUGUCCUUUUCUCUCCUCCCUCCCCUGGGACAUCUGGCAACAUCUGACCAUGUCCUGGGGUCUUACAAUGGUGAGGAAAGAGUUGUUCCUGGCAGCCUGUGUGUAGAGGCCAAGAAUGCUGCUGAGCAUUCUACAGUGCCCAGGGCAGCUUCCUACAACCAAGAAUUAUCUGGCUAAAAUGUCAACGGGCCAGGCCUGGGGUUGUGGCUAAGUGGUAGAGCGCUCACUUAGCAUGCGCGAGGCCCUGGGUUCCAUCCUCAACACCACAUAAAAAUAAGUAAAUAAACAAAAUAAAGGUAUUGUGUCUAACCAAAAAAUAAAUAUUUUAAAAAAGAUGUCAACGGGCCAAGUUUGAGAAACCCCCUUUUAAGCAAGGGAAUGAUGUAUUUAUUUACUUAUUUUCCUGUUUUGGAAAUGUUAGCUGCUAGGUAGGAACUUUUAGGGGCAAGCACCUAGGUUUGCAGGGAAAACAAGCUGCUUCUCCCUUAAGUGACUGCUAACGUUCCUUCAAGUUGUUGUUGUUGUUGUUGUUUUUAAUUGUUUGUUUGCUUGUUUCAGAUAAGGCUUUUCUGAGAAAACCACAAGGAACUGGUUUGAACCAGCCCAAAUCAGCCAAAAUAGCUGAAUCAUUCCUCUGGGUGACCUAGAGUAAACUUUGCUCAUUAUAAUCUCGUGAUCUCUCUAAAUUCUCUUCUCCUAGGCCUUCCCCAUCCACCAUUUUUGAACAUGUGCUGUGUGAAGAAGCAUGAUCUCAAACUGAGCAUGUUCUGUGUCAUCUCUGUAUGUGAUGACAAGCUUUCCCAGUAUGAACAUCCUAAGUUUCUCCAAUAAAGUCCCCUUGCUUCCUAAGUUCCGGGAGACACUGCUUUGGGGUUAUCCCCAGUGCCCUCCUUGCUCUUUGCAAGAAAUAGCCUUUUCUUGACUCUUCUGUCUCCUGUUUGUGUUUGUGCUCUCCAAGAGACAAAUACAUGAUGUUUGUUUACAGAAAGACAAAUUAAAAGUGGCACUAAGGGAUGGGGAAUUGCUAAAUGACCCAGCUGCCUUAUUGAGUCUGACUGUUCUUCCUUCUGUACUAGAUUGAAUAUAUAGCUGCCGCAGUCUAGCUGGGCAAAUAACCGGGAGGUGGCAAGCAAAUUGAAGGUUCAAGCGGGAACUACUUUAUUGCAAGUGAACUCAGCAGGAACUGAGCGAGAACUCAAAGUAGCGGGCACCCGAGGUAGCAGUGCCGCUUUAUUGCGGGACAGCAGAGGUAUAUAUACCCAACUGAUUACACACAGCUUGACUCAAUUAACAUCAUCUAGAUACAGCAGUCAGCCAAUAAGGAAUCCUCACCAUCUUAAUGGCUCGCUGGCGUUGCUUCACAAACCACUCCUCCUGGCAAGCUGCCAAGCGCCAUCUUGACUUGAAUUGUAUCCCCAACAUAUGGCAUUUUCAUUUUCUGUUUAGUUUUUUUUUCUCUUCCCUAUUCCAUGAUUACCUAGCAGAGACCCUGGAUGUGAUCAUGAUCCUUGUGAGGGGUGUCCCCUAGAGUUACGCCUACUCUAUGCAGCAGGCUUGAGAGGAAUGAAGUCACUCCAUGAACCCUUUAAGGCUGAGUUGAACAGUAGAGUUGAAAAAAUAAUCAGCCAAGUCCUUCUUCUUAGUGUUCAUCAUGAGCCAGUGCAGGAGCUCAGAAUUUAGUGAAUGACUGAACAAAUGAAUGCAUGGUUGGGUAGUCCAAAGAAUGGGAAAACUAAUUGGAUACCAGGUGAGGCUGAAGGAGAAACUCAUCGUUAACAAUCCCAGCAAGGGAUCAUACCGAAUUUACAGAGCGCGUUGAAGUGGAAACAAACAGCCCCGUGCCAGGGUCCUGUUGGCAGCUGCUUCAGAAUCCUGGCUGCAGAGGGGCGGCUGGAGUGGAGGCCGGGUUUAGACUCUUGAAAGUUACUAGACUUUCUGGUCUCCUGGGUCCUCUGCAGUCUUAUCAGUGAAGCUUUGUCAGUGUUUCCAUCAUAAACCCUGGGUGUGGGGCUAAGUGGCCUAUAAAACCCGACUCCAGGCUAAGGCUGGCAGGCACAGAGCCUGCUAGGAUGCAAUUAGUUUGGCUCAAGGAGGCUCCGGUUGGCUUCUUCGCUUAAUUGCAAGAGUAUGACCAAGAAAUACAGAGGUUGGGUGCCCCUCUGUUUCCAAGGACAGGCACAGAAAAGCUUCUGUUGCAGGGGUAAACUGUGAGCCAAGCACCCACACCCAGCUCUGGAAAGCAGGGUCCUGAAAGGGGUGUGCCUCCAGGAGUAGGAUUACUGAGGGUAAGUGCCAAGGCAGCUCAUGUCCCUCCAGGCCUUUGUGUCCCUGUGUGUAUCUCAUAUCAUCCUGAGGGUCCACUUUGGUACCCGGGUAGUGAUGUUCCGAGGUGACUGCAGUAAAACCAAACAGUUGCUUCAAGUCACAUGUCCCUCACACUUGGGCCUUUCACUCAGUGGUGACAUUCACUCACUAUUGUGUUCAUUGCCUGUUAUUACUGCCUUGUACAGGUUGAGCAGUAGGAACCAGAGCCUGCUCUCAAUGCAGUCACUGUCCCUUACACAGCAAUGAGAUCCCACCCUUCUUAAUUUCCUCAUUUUUAAAGUUGUGAAAAUAAUACUCCAUUUAUAUCAUAGCAAUGAAAUAUAAGUGACAUAAUUUAUAAAAUCACCAUCACACUGUGUCUGGCAACAAACACCACCACCCCCAACCUCUCAAAACCCAGAAAAACAGAAGAGAGAGAAAAAGAAGACAUUCCUUAAAUAACAACUUAUGCUGUUUUUGCUACCAUAAUCGUAACAAUGUCAUAAAAUGCUUCCUUGGGGCAUGUAGACUGCUGUAAAAGCUAAGAGGAGUGAAUGUCUAAGGGUGAUGGAGGUGGGAGGGGAGGGAGGGAAGUCUUCAUAGAGGAGAUGACAGGACCGGAGGGCCUGAAAAAUAGAGGAUGAAUUUCCCAGGCAGAGAAGAGAGGGAAGGAAAUACACCCUGUUGUAAGAAAGGCUCAGCUACUGAAAGUGCAUGGACAUUUAGAGGGCAGGAGAACUGGUCACAGGGUGCAGGGUAGUGGAAGGGCUAUGGUGGGGUUGGGCUGAUGGAACAAUCCUUUCUUCUCUUGUCCUCUCUAUUCCCUUUCUCAUUUUUGCUUUCUGGGCAUUGGUGAUGCUCAGAUUCUCUAGUGCACAGCUAAACUCCAAGCUCAGUGCUGUCCCUUGGAGGCCAUGGCCUCUUCAGAGGUCCUCUUCCUCCAUCAGGGCUGCCUCUCACCUCUCAGAUCUGCUCAGCCUCUCCAUCCUGCCCCACCCCGUUCCAUUCCACCCUGCCGGAGGGCUCACUCCUGUAAAGUUCUCUUUAAAGUCUUUAUGGCUCCUCCGUGCAGCCUCCCAGUCUACCCUGCACCACACGUGGGCUUGUUAAUUCCUUUAAAGGUCCACACCUUGGAGACAUGGGCACCGAUUCCUGGGGAGCAGCUGCCUUCACUCUGCCAAAAAAGCCAAUAGAUAUCCCCUUCUCAGGAAUAGAGACCAGGGCCAAUUGCAGAAACCUGGAAGCAAACAAGGACACAGGUGUAUUUCGAACAUCUACUACUGAAGACUGUGCUGGGGACUUGUACAUUUGAAACCUGCUUUCAAAUAUGACUGUGUUGCUAAAUAUUCUGGGCAACUCCAAGGUUCCAAGUCUCGGUUUCUCAUGGGUGGGAUGGAAUGGUAAUGGUGACUUACUUUGAAGAAGUAGAGCUCUGGCUGCCUUUGAGAGUCUAAGAUGUGAAUAUCUCCUCACCUGCUCAGAUUUGGAAGAGCCUUCUGGAUAGAAUACAGAAUUCCUUCGUUGAAUUAUAACUAAAGCAGUGGAGGGUGGCGGAUAAGCUCUGGACCUGGAGUUAGAGCUAGAAGCCAGAGCUUUAUUGGCUUUGAACUUGGGAGGUUUUGAAUUGACUUCAAGGGGGAAAUCCCUGCUUACUCCCCUAUGUACCUAGGGGAGGGUGUGGUUAGGCUCCAUGAAGAAACUUGCUCAACAAUGAAGUUGGGAAAAGCUGAAGAGACAGGGAGGGCACCCCAAGAGCCUCCUCCUUCCUUACAGCCAGGCCGCUGGUUCUGUCUUCUGCCUGUUGGGGUGUCACCUGGCUAAGUGUUCCUGGUUGGCCGCUUGACAGUUAGUGUGUCCAUCUGUGGUCAAGUCUCUUAAGCCCUAAGCUGUCCUCAAGUACCAAACACCAUUCAUGUUAAUUUCUUGAGGGGCAAAUGACCUGGCACACAAUGAACACCCCAUAAAUGUUAGUUCCCUCCUCCCUCUCCCACCUUCAAAAUACCCUUUUCCCCCAAGGAACACCACCCAGCCUGGGGGCACAGCUCAAUAAAGUCCCCAUAAAAUUCAGCUUCCCUGAGCCCAGCUUUAGAAUUUACAGUGAGUUGAUUCAUCACGUUGUUUGAAUUAUGGCAAUAUGAAAAUACAGAAAACCCACAGGGAGUCAGCCUUUUCCCAUGUAUAAAAUGGGGUUACGAUCUCAUAUAAACUUUUAAAAGAGAAUACUUUAGUUUAUAUCUUCAUGCAUAGGAUUGGAAAAAGAAAAGGAAAGAACAAGAAAAGAAAAAAGUCCAGAUUGGCCCAACACUGGAAUUCAACCCACACCCUUGCCAUGGACGCCCACAGGCCCUUCCCUUACUCUUCAUUCUUCAUCUUCAGGAUUUCCACCCUGGUGUCCUUAUUGCAAUGAACUGGGCUUUUGCUGGAUUCAGAAUCCUGAUGCCUGCUCAGGAUCUGUUGGUUCAUCCAUCCUUCCCCAUCUCCAUGGUCACAGCCUGCAUCCCAGUCUCCAGCAUCCCUGCCCUGGACCAUGGACCACCUUGCAAUGGAUCACCCCAACAGAUGAGGUUGCAGUGAGGAGGCUGGUUGGGUGGGACGCUUGCUGGUGCACAUAAAUCUAUUCUAUUUUUUACCACACAGGAGUUUAAGAAGACCCUAUGAGCUCGCAGGGUGAAGUCUGAGCCCCUGAACAGUUUUUCUCGGCUUUAUACCAUCAAGACCCACCCCUACAGCUUCUCUUGUUCCUGUCCUUUGCUGUGAAUAUGGCCCUUUUCUGCUUUCUUUGCUUGGAAGACUCUUUCUCCCUUCUAAACUUCCCUGUCUCUUUGUUUACUCCCAUUCAUCUCAUAAGACUCCGGUUAUGUACAACUUCUCCUGUACUGUGAUCACCUUACCUUACCCUAUGCACCCCAAACCAGGUCAAAUCCUCUAGCUCUGGAUUACCUUACACGCAUCUGAUUCUUUACACUGGAAAGAAGUGACUGUAAAUAUGAUGAAUUUCUUUCACCUCCAAACUGUAAGCUCCACAAACGCAAUGACUAAACCUUUUUUGUUCAUCCUUAUAUGUCUGAUCUCCAUAAAGUGUCUUUACAUGGUAGGCAGUUGAAAAAAAAAAAAGACUUGAUGAGUAGCUAUGACAGACAUCUAUCUCAGUCUUGGUUCUACACCAUUGAUGUCCAAGAUCACUUCAAGGUAACUCUACCAUCAUUUGCAUCUGCAAAAACCACACUGCUCUGUGAUGUUGGUAUAAGAAUUGGAGACAAGUCUGCAAAGUGUGUAUGCUGUAACUAUUGAUUUCAAUGAAUGAACAUCUACUCCUAUUGUGAGGGUUUGGGGACAGAAGAAAAAGCAUCCUAUAACACUGAUCAUCAGUCAUGAUGAAUUAUUCAACACCAGCUAAUGCCCACCAGAGAUGCACAAUAGCAGAUUCUUGGAUCAGAGUUCUGUUUACACUUGGAUGGUGAAGGAGUAUCAGUUGUUAGCUUUCAAAUGAGACCUCCUCUUGGAUGGCAACACAUGAAAGAAUAUCCUGGGCACUAAUCCAAAGGUCUGUAUAAAACAUGUGUGGAUAUUCAAAUACAAUUUCAUUUACUCGUGACACCGACCUGUCAAGAGCCACAUCCAAGUAAGAAAUUUACAAAUUAUGAAGCUUUAUAGAAAAUGGAAUGAUAAUAAUUCGAUAAAAAUAUAAUUUGAAAUAAUAAUUCAUGAUAAAAAGAAUGUGUAACUUACUAAUUAUUCUAUGUGUCUGUCUUUCCAUCCUUACACAUUCAACCUUUUGUAGGGAACAUAGAGUGGCUAAGGAUUAAACUCUCCUGGAUGAGCACUAGAGAAUUCCCUGGCUGCCAGUCUUCUUACUGCAGCCUCUAGAAUUUUAGAUUUGGGCAAAGCAUUUGAGAGGAAAUCUUAAGGGACUGUUGGCAAAGUGGAUUGGCAGAGAACCCGGAGGCUUAGAGAAUGAACUCAAGCUACAAGUUUCUUACUAAAAGAACCCCUCUUAACAGCAUGCCAUGUUGUGGUAUGAACUAUGUCUACAUAUGUUACCUCGUGUGAUCUUUAUUCAAAACUCUGACACUGUAUGAGGGGGAUUAGCCAAACUGUUUUACAGAUGAGAAAAUGGGUUCAGUAAUUUGUCCAAGGUUGAUCAGCUCGUUAAUGGCACUGCCAGGAUUUAGCCUUGGUUUUUCUACACAAAGUUCUUUUUUUUUUUUUUUUUUUUAAAUUGUUUUGCAUUGACUUCUGUAGGCAGGGCUGGCUGGGUCUUAACUCCCUCAUCUUAUCCUUCCCUUUUCUCUCAGUCUGAAAGUUUUCUGUCCCUGUAAGUGUCAGCCCUGAGGCUUGCCUGGCUGCUUCCCCAGGAAGCUCCUCACCCUUCCCCACAGGGGUUCCCACAGUACUUGUGCUCCUGUGUAACAAGUAGGUGCAGCGCAGUGUGGUCUGAGCCACAGGGAAACACAUCUACUUUGUGGGUUUCUGCUGAGCCACGUGGUGCCGAGGGAGAGGCCUGGAUGGAGAUGCACAGAGCAGUACUCGGGCAGUUUCUAGAUACUUUACUUGUGACAUUGGUGUGUGGGAGGUAUUCUUUUCCCUGUUUUAUGGCUAAUGAAUCACAUCCCAGGAAAAAGCAGAUUUUCUGUGCACAGGAAAAGGUACUAGAGCAUUAACUGCAUCCUCCUGUGUUCUAGUUGUUACAUGGUUACAACUUACUCCAUCCACACAUCCUACAGAGGAAGCUCUGAGUAUCCCAUUCUACAGAUGAAGAGACUGAGGCUCCAGUGAAGUAAUAGAUUCCUCCGCAUCCAAAGGGCACCAUCUGGCCUUUGCUGCCAUUUCAGAAACCUGCCCGGGGCCUUGUCUGAUGCGAAGGAGCCUAUUCCAGCCAGAACAGUCCAACAACACGGGUGAAGUGGUAACAGCCUGUAACUAUUAGACAAGGAAGAAGGAAGGGGAUUAUGAGGUGUCAAACAAAUAGGAAACAAUUGGGAGGCAAUUAUGAGGGAUGUAUAGGCAACAUUCCAGGAAGCCAAACGCUUAUAGAGCUGUUUACAACGGAAGUGGUGGGAAAAGCCACCCUCUGGACCGAGAACCACAUGUUCUGGAGAAAAAUAUCAUAUCGAAUCACAGAAACUCUUGGUGGGGAGAAAACAAAACAAGGUCUUUCAUUCAUUUAAUUAGUCAGUUCAUGAUUAUUGAGUUUCUGUGAGGAGUCAAUUCUAUCCUGGGCACUGCAUGUUCAAAGUUGAACCAAUCCAGUUUCUACCUUGUGGUCACAUGUGGUUGAAAGGUUGCAGGAAGAAGAAUAAAGGUGUCACCAUGGAGCACAGUGUAGAUGUUGAUUGGGGAAGUGAAACAUCAGGAAGAUCAUAGAGGUGUGGGGGAAACUCUGGAGAAAUCAGAGAAGGCUUCACAAAGUGGGUGACAUGAGAAAGGUGGCUUCCAAUAGAGAUCUGAGCCAGGCAGGGGACAGGCAGGAAUGUGUGUAGCGGGUUCAGGUGACAGGAGUAUCCCGGUGAGAAACAACAUGUAAUAUGGCUGUUCUGACUAAUGCCUGUGUCCCCUCGCCUCUGCUGGAAACACAGCACAGACUGUCAACAGAGACUAGUAAUUGAAUCUAGAUGGCCAGAUGUCGAAUGGAGAAUCAAGCACUUUGCUGCUGGUAGAGAUCCAUCCAGCAUUCCUUAUUCCAUAUUUUAGUCAGUGUCAUUGCAGGUAAAGCCACCAAUUGGGAUGCAGCAAGGUGGUGAGGUGAAGCAGGCUCUGGAGCUCUGAGGUCUGAACCUGGCUCUGUCACUUACUAGUCUUGUCACUGAAACUCUCUGUGCCUCACUUUCUUCGUUUGUAACUUGGGGAUGACAAUAGUACUGAUCUAGAAUUGUAAAGGUUGUAAAAAUGUAACUUGAAUUUUGUAUUAAGCAAUGUCAUCUUCUUGUCCAGGUCGUCUUGAAUUUUAAGUCAUAAAAGCAUGGCUGACUUUUUAUAUUCAUUUAUAGUUGAUGACCAACCUCCUGAGUCACAUGGAAUAAUUAUUUGAGUGAAACCUCAGAGGUCUUCUAAGUCUUCCUUCCUGGGUUUGGAAAGUUGGUCAGAUGACUGUGUGACCUUGGGAAAGUCACCUCAUUAUACUCCCUGCCCUGUGAUACCCAAGAGACAUGUGGUAUAAGGUACCCUGUAUCAGUUGUGAUUGAUGGCCACAUGACUGCUUAUGAUGGGCCAUGUCUCCUGAGUUUUAAAACUAGUAACUUGUUCAUCUCUCCCAACAAUCUCAUGAGGUAGAUGUUAUCAUCAUUUCCAAUUUACCCAUUAAGAAACUGAGGCUUUGAGGAGCUGAAUACUUUUCCCCAAAGGCACCCAUUGAUGCAUGGUGGAAGGAGGAUUGGAUCCCUGCAGGAUCACUCCUGAGCUGUGGGAUUCUCUAUGCUGCUGAGACCCCAUAGAGCAAUUGAGCAACUGAAAGAAUAUCUACCACUAUGUUACCAUUAUGUCUUAGGGAGGUUAGGUAUGACCUUGGAUCUAAACCUCUCCUACAUAAUAUAUGCAGUUAAAAUCCACAAAGUGCUGCUGGCAUGUGAAAAUGUAUAAAAUAUACAAUAAACAACCUGGGAAACAAUAUAAAAUAUCAUCUUAGAUAUCUCCUUUAUUUUUUCUUUUCUAAAUCAUUUUAUGUCCUUGGAUUGAACCGAGAUUCUGUGUCCUGAAUUGCUGAGAAGGACACAGCAGGAUUUCAUGGUCAAUGUUUUCCAACAUCAACACAGUCACUCCCCUGGCUGCAGUGGUGGUUCAUAGGUGGCUGGAAACUUGCUGUCUUUUCUGCUCCUCCAGGCCUCUGUGCUCUCAGCCCUUCUCUAGAGGGAAGCAGCUGGCUCUGGGCCCAAGACUGCUCAUAGUAGUUCCUCAGAAUCUCUACUCCCAUUCAUUUUUUCCCUAUUAUCCCCCAAAUCACCUCCUAUGGACCUCUUUCCUUCAUAGUAACUCCAAUCUGGUCUUGGGAAAGCCCUUGUGUUAUUCAGCUUUCUGUCACUGUGAUAAAAUGCUUGAGAUAAACAACUUAAAAAGAGGAAAGACUUAUUUUGGUUCAUCAUGUCAGAGGUUUUAGUCCAUGGUUGAUUGACUCUGUUGCUUUGGGCUGGUGGUGAGGCCAUGCAUCAGAGUGCAAACAUGUGACAGAUGAAAACUGCUCACCUCAUGGUGGCUGGGAAGCAAAGAAAGAGUGGAAGGGGUCGGGGUUCCAAUAUCUCCUUCGAGGGUGUGCUCCCUAAGACCUUCUGCCAGGCCUCCCUUCUAAGGGUUCUGCCAUCUCCCAAUAGAAUCACAGGCUGAGGACCAAGCCCUUAGCACCUGAGUCUUUGGAGGACAUGCCAUAUCCAAAUGAUAAUAGCCCCAUUACUAGCAGCCCUACAUGGAAUACUGGGAGACGUUGUGGCUCCAGAGUCAGGAAAGCAGCAUCCUGGCAGGGUUGGGAGACUGAGUUGUUAGAGAGCCAUUGCUCUUCAAUGAUCCCCAGCUUUCCCUUCUGUAAAAGAUAGAUAUACAGCAAUUCACAUACACAGUGGAGCAUCCAUCUAUUGGCAGUACACAGUGCAAUGUCAAACAAAUCUAGAACAUAGAAGCUUAAAUUGGGGUGGAAUAUUUUACCUUAUAUAAAUCUCCUAAUCAUCUUCAUACUAUACUUCAUAGACAUUUCUGAUGGUAGUUUGGGUGGUGGUUUUAAAAUAGAUCCACAAAUUCCUCGACAGGUGUCCCACAGAUAGGUGGAGCUUAAUUCCCUACCCUUGCGUGACUUCCAAGGAGAGGUCAUUGUAGAAGGCACCUCUGCCUUCUCUUGGCUCUUGUGUUACUUGCUCUUCGGAAGCCAGCUGCCAUGUUGAGUGGAUGCUCAAGCAGCCUUAUGAAGGGGAUGUGAGUGAGCUACCUUGGAAGCAUAUUCCCAGCCCCUAUCAAACCUUCAAAUGGACUUCUUGAUUGUAUCCUAAGGAGAGACCCUAAACCCAGGACAAGCUUCUCCUGCAUACCUGACUUUUAGAAACUGUGUGAGAUGAUAAGUAUUUAUUUUAUAUGAUGUUAAAUAUUAGGGUAAUUUUUUACAUUUGUGGGGUUACUAUUGGUAGGAAUGACAGUGGUAGAACAGUCAUUACCUAGAACUUGACCUUGCCUCACUGUAAAUUUCAUGUCUGGGGACUGAUGGGAUGAUUGAUGUAUAUUCUUGGUCCAGAAAAGAUUUUAAAAGGCAUAGUCUGGGGCUUCUUAACUUCCACAAUUUAGGGAAAAAUUCUGUCCCUGAACCAGAACCAGGGAAUAUAAUUGGCUCUGCCUGCAUCAGUAGACUGAUAACUUAGCAUCAUAUGAAUCUUGAUCACAGUCCCUUCUCUGAGCUUAUUCCCUGAUCUAGUGAUGGCUUCUCCCAACUCUGUCUCUCUACCAUCAUAGCCACAUGGAUUCUUAUGACCUCAAGAGAGGUCUGUGAUGAAUUAGGUAUGUCUGCCAUGAGAGAGAGAGAGAGAGAGAGAGAGAGAGAGAGAGAGAGAGAGAGAGAGAGACAGCACAUAUACCAGGAAUCCCUUGUUGUUGUUUUUAGAGGGGGGGGAGGGAGGGAGGAGAGGGGGGAGAGAGAAAAAUUUUUAAAACAUUUAUUUCUUUUUUUUUUUAGUUUUUGGUUGACACAACAUUUUUAUUUUGUUUUUAUGUGGUGCUGAGGAUCGAACUCAGAACCCAGCACCCCCGCGCAUGCCAGGCAAGCACGCUACCGCUUGAGCCACAUCCCCAGCCCGGGAAAUCCCUUGUUUUUAACAUGAAACCCAUGUAUUUAUCUCUUAAUUCUUCCCCUGAGCCAGCUACCAUUAGGUCUCCAUGGUGUGAUGUAAAGGACAUAGUUUCCAUUAUUAUUGGUUACAUGUUAAUGAAUGAUUAAAAAUAAUUAGUGGUAUUUGCAGUUGUUAUAAUUUCUAAUUUCCAGAAUCUUACUGUCUUAGUGACUAUGGAGUGAUCUGGGGUAGAGGAUAUUGUUGACUCCUUAGUGCAUGGGAAGGAAAACUGAAGCUUAUAAAAGGCAUGCACUGCAAGGGCUAUUUCUGUCCUCUGUUUAAUGAGUGGAGGUCUGUCUUCAAUAUUAUUCUAUAGAGAUUCAGGCACAGAGAACAUUUCAAGGGUUUGAAUCCAGCUCAAACCUAAAAACUUCCCCAUUACCACCACAGUGCUUGAGGUGGCCGUGCACAUUUAUAAGGAGUCCAGAACACUUUGCCAAUCCAAGAUGGGAGGAAGAGGGCAAAUGUGUAAGACCUGCAGGUGGGUAUGCACGGGAGCUCUCUGCCUUCUACCUGGGUGUCAUCAUUAUUACCCUUCAGCAACAGGUGGCAAGCCAGAGUGGUGACAGGACUCCUGGAUGCAUAGGGACCAUAAUCCAUUGUUAAAACUCUGACUUUUACUCUGAGCAAAAUGGAGAACCAAUAUAGGAUUUCAAAUAGAGAAAUAAGUUCUCCGUUUUAUUCAUUGAAUGGAUCAUUCUACUAGCCCUGUUGAAAGUGAACUGCUGGGGCAGGGAUGGCAGCAGGUAGGAGGCUGUUGCAUGAAUCUAGGCUGGAGAGGAUGAUGCCUCAGACAAGGAUGGUAACGAAGGGGGAAGAAGUGGUCAGAUCCUGGAUCAGCUUUAAGCGUAAGCCCAGCAUGGUUUCUGGACAGAUUGGAUGAGGGGUGUGAGAGAAAGAGAAGUCAAGGACUCUGAAUUACCAUUUGUCUGCUUGGAAGGGCAGAGUUUCCCUCAACUGAGAUGAAGAUACGUGGGAAAGAAGCAGGGUUUGGGAAGAUCAGGAGUGCAAGUUUGGAGGUGCUGAGUUUGAAAUAUCUAUUAGAUACCUAAGUGGAGAUGCUGAGGAGUCAGAGCAGGUAUGUGGGUCGGGGAUUUAAGUGAGAGGUCUGGGCUACAAAUGCUUAUUUAGGAAUCAUCAAUACAUGGCACAUAAAGCUGUAAAAUCAGAUGAGUAAAGUAUCCACCAGUUUCUCCCUCUGCCUCUCUGUGUCUCUUUCUCUCAUUCUCUCUCACAUCUCUCUCUCUACGAAUGGCAUACAUGCAGAAAGAAUGUAAGAGAAGAAAUUUGAAGAGGACCAAAGACAAAGCCCGGUAGCCUUCUAACAUUAGGAGGAAGGGAGAAGAGAAGAAGCUGGCAGAAAAGAGUGGAAUGAGCCAUCAGUAAGAGAUGAGGAGAAUGAAGAGGAGAUUAGAAGCUGAAUUAAGAAAGAGCAUCAAGGAGGAGGGUGUAGUUGACUGCAUCCAAAGCUGCUGUUCGCUUGAAGCAAUUGACCAUCAGGUUUACCAACAUCAGCAUCAUCUGCAACCUGAACAAAAGCAGUUUCCCUGGAAUGUGGGGUGCAAUCACGCCUGGACAGGAACCCGAGAGAGCGGGGCAUGGUGGCCUGGUGCAAGAUCCAUAUGGCAGGGAUGCAUGUGCGGUCAGCUAUCUUAGGAGUGUAUCUGUUUUCUCAAGACAAGAGAAGUGAGGCCAUCAGUUGAGAGAGGGAGGGGGGGAUGUUGGAGGUUGGAGAAGGAAGAAAGUGUGCAGGAACUCAUUUUUUUCUUCUGGUUCUUUGCAUAGGACUUGGCACAGGAGAAAUCUGAACAAACUUUAAACUAGAUUUCUUUGAUGUGCCCUGCCCCAGGGCACUGGCUUAUGGAAUCUGACAAGGUCUGAAUCUCAGCUACAUCCCUUACUGGAUGUGUGGUCUCCAAAAAGUCACUGUGCUCUCUUUGCUUCAGGGGAUUGAAUGAGGUCACACAGGUUAUGUGCCUAGCUAGUGCCUAACAGAUAGUAGAUGCUAAAGUAGGUGCUGGUUUCCCCAACAUUGUCAUCAUCUCAUCUUAAUGACCUUGGACCCUAAGGAAUUUGGACUGGACAAUUUUUCCAUUUCUAUACUUCAAUAAACUUCAGAUAAUAAAAUAGUCUUAAACUAACCAUUAAAGACAAGCUUGUAAAUUUUCUGUCGCUUAAAAAUGGAAGGAAAGAUUCUGAGUUCAGAUUUACUAUCUUCUAAGCAAAUUGACCUUUUUCUCUGUUUCCAAAUCAAUAAAUGGCAGAGUGGAAAAAUCACAAAAGAAAGACAAGCUGGGCCAGCUAUGCACUGGCUGGUAACUUUGUGUAAGCUACUCUGCUCCUCUGGGCCCUGGAUCCUUUGCCCCAUGGGGAGCUGCCAGACCUUCCUUGCAGGUGGGGACUUGAAGGAAAUAGUGACUGAGCAGCAAAUGUGAAAAUAUUUUGUAAAGUGUGGAGUGCUCGCAAGCAGUGGGGAUGGUGGUGGACGCCUCUGCCUCCAUGAGAGCUGGGGUUCCUGCCCAGCAGAGCCAUUCAAGACCUUCAAGUGAGGCUACAGCAAGUUGGAGCCCACAGCUGCUGCCCAAGAAGUGUUCUAGAAGGUCCAGGGCAGCCUCGCAUGCUCCCUUUGGUUGUGACUUUUGCAGUGUUUCCCAAUUAACCCUGGACAUGUUGCUUAUGCUCUGGACUAGAGAUAAAGUAGGAACAGGUCAGGUUGCCCAGACCUUAGCAAGGAGCAGAUAAACUAGAGUUACAUACUCCCUCUCAUCUCUCCUAAUCCUGAAGGAGACACUCUGGCAGGCAGCAUUCAGAAUCACGGGUCCCCUGCUUUCCCCAGGCUGACAAAAGGAAGCAGAGUUUCAGGGGUAGAUUGUGGAGGAAAUCAGACAUCAGAGGACACAGAGGUCACCUUUAGCUAGGUGCUUCUCUCUUCUCCCUUAUGCCCAGUUUUGUGUUCCCCUAGGAGGCAGGCUGCACCCCAGAAGAGCUCAGGCAGCACAUGGCUCAGACAGCAUUUGAAUUUCAGCUCCCUCCCUUUUUAGACAGGAAGGCCGAUCAGAUGUCCCGGCUCAGACCUACUGACCUUGUGUAAUUAUUGUUAGCAUCUUUCCUGUUCGAAAGUGUUCUUGUUUAAAUAAGGAGUUACAAGAUCAUCCGGUGAUGUGUGACCUUUGCUCUAACCUCCUUGAACCUCAGUUUCUACAUCGGAACGAUGGGAAUCAUUGUUUCUCUACUGCAGAAUUGUUGAUUAUUAUACCUGAUUUAAAUAACUGUGGUUCAAUAAGACAUAAAAGCUAGUUACUUAAUAUUAGCAUUGCCCUGAUUUAAGCUUCCAUCUUGUCUCCCAAGAAUUUUAGUAAAAUUCUGGCUGGCCAUAUGUCCUCAAGUCCAGUGGGUCUCCAAUCUUAGGAGACACUAAGAUCACUGCAGAGCUUGUUAAAACAGAUUGUUGGCCCACGCCUGGCAUUUUUUAUUCAAUGGGUGUGUGUGUGGGGGAGCUCUGGCUGCUUUUUAACACACUCCAAGGUGAAACUGAUGCUGGUCUGGACCAUCCUUUGAAAACCACCAAUGUAGUUUCUCUUUUUGUUCAUAAUUAUUAACCAGUAACAGUGAUAUCAGGAAAACCAGGUCUAUUUCAUGUUUUUAGUUAUAUUAUAUAAUGCUAGGUUCUCAUUACUAUAACAAAAUAUCUUAGGUAAUUAAUUUAUAAAGAGAAAAUGCUUAUUUAGCACACAGUUUUGGAGAUUCCAGUCCACGAUUGAAUUGUCCCACUGCUCUGAACUUCUGGUGGGGGUGCCAAACAAUGGUGGGGAGUGUGUAUCAGAAAAAAAGCUGCUUAUAUCACAAGCCAGGGAGCAAGGAGAAAGAGGAAGCAUCAGGAGUCCCACCAUCCUCAUUUGGGGCAUGCCUACAGUGACCUAAGAAACUCUACUAGGCCCCACUUCUCAAAGGCUCCUAUUAGAUCACUGAGGGGUGUGCCCUUGAAGGAAAUAUUGGAACCCUGUCUCCUUCUAGUCCUCUUUUGCUUCCCAGUUGCCAUGAGGUAAACAGACCUCCUCAGCCACAUGUUCACCAUGUGUGUCACCACAGGCCCAGAGCCACAGGGCCAAGCAACCAUGGACUGAAAUCUCUGAAAUCAUGUGUGAAAUAAACCUUUCCUCCUUUUAAGUGGAUUAUCUCAGGUGUUUUGUCACAGUAAUGGAAAGUUGACUAAUGCAACCCCCUUCAAAUAAUUCUUUCCUUGAGAGUGUUCCCUGCCGCUGGUACUUCAUAGAUUCUGUCAGAAAGAACCAUUAAAAGUCAGAAGAAGGCAAGCAGAAAGCUAGGGAGGCUGGGGCUUUGGAGGCUGAACAUAGAGACCAUGAGGGGACAUUCUGAUUGAGCCUUGUGUUCUCCAGGCGGUUCACUUACCCCUCCCAGUUCCACCUGAAGGAAAGAAUCCUCGAUCUUGCUAAGGCAUGCACAGGGAGGAACAUGACAGCAAAGCACAUGCCAGCGCUAAAAUGCAGCCCGUAGUGCAGCCUGCCUCACCCUGAGUAUUUAAUAUUCCUAUUUAAAUCAAGUUUCUGUCUCUACUGGACUCUGAUACAGAUAGAAAUGUAGUGUAAUGAAGCAUGGAAGCCAUAAAGCCUCAGUUUGCUCUUUUAUAAACAAAAAUAUUAAUAGCCAGAGCUUUGUAAAUUGCUCAAGUCUCUUGGUGGCUUGUGGGGACCAGUCCUUGGGCUCACUAUGGGUGGCUGGUGUCUGAGUAAAUUAUGGAGAAAUUCUGAUUUAUAUUUGUGUUUACCAAGUGUGAAGACCUUCAGGGCUGUCAGAACCUCCAGAGCAGAGCUUCAUUAGGGGAGGAAUCCAAACAACACUGAUUGCUUGGUAAGAUCUUGCCGCAAGAUGCCCCUGUCCACUGUGGUACAUGCAGGGACCUCACAGGUGGGGAUGGCAGCAUCGGGAUAAAGGGUAUUCAGAGCCAGGCUCUGAUGAAUGGUAGUUACCCACCCCACAACGGCGUGUCAGUUUUUUUUUCCAUCAGCAACACAAGGAAGCCAAUGGGUCCCACAGGAUCUGAGCCUAUUCAUAUGCAAGAACAUUAGUUCUUUGGUGUCCAGGUGCUACUCUUGCCAAUAUGGUAGUCUCCGGCACCACCCCACCCACUCUUCCUGGACUCCAUUUCCAGGUUCACCUUCAAAUAACAAAUAUUAACUGUGCUCAGCCUCUUCCCUGAGCUGACUGGGAAUGUAGGACAGGCUUUCCACCCCUGAAUUGGUAACAAGAAAGCCUCCCGUAGGGGACCUGAAUACUCACCUGACUAUCCCCAAAGUCCCAGAAUCCCUAGAAUGUGAGAAUCACCAGGGACCCAGGCUCUGCAUAUAUUGUGGGGGGUUUGCUCUUGUCAUUGGUUUCUGAGUAAGUUGUAGAAAAACUAUGGAGUGGAAAACUGAAGCUGGAAGAGGAGGUGACUUACUCUGCCUUGCAGAGUGCAGUCCCCCUUCCAGCCCACUUCCUCUCCCAGGUGUCAGGUUGGUACACCUGUCAGAAGACUUCGGCCUUCUCCCACCUUUAAACACUUAUGAACAUUGUCCCCAGCAUCCCAGUUUUAUUUCUAACAGUGUCUGCUUCCUGGAGGAUCUGGCUUACAAAAAUAUCUCCAUCAGCUGUUAAGUGUGGAACAGAGCUAGGGCACAGUGGAUGGUAGACAUGAUAGUAACAACUGUCGUACUACUAUUAACACUAUUGUUUUCCCCAGCCCCUCUGGUCAAGAGAACGGAGUGACAAGCAACAGGAUGUCAAUUCUCAGUCUCAACAGAAAUUGACAGAGGAACAUGUAUUCUUCAAGGCUGGUGUGUCCUGCAGCUCAUGACCCUUGGACUUGCUGCUGACGCUCUCCUAGUUCUUCUCACAAAGGGCACAGGGCACUCCUAUGGAGUGUAUGAGGCAGCUCAGGUUCCACAAGGAAACAAAUGAAUUGUAAGGAGAAACAUUUCAUAUUCGACAUGCUCAACACUUCCUCCCAGAUGCCCGUAUGGAGAGAGUAGGGGACAAUUCAUUACACUUGUCAAGACUCAAGGACAAUCUCAAUACGAGCUCUGCUGCUUCAAGAUUUAAGACCCUUCAGGAUAUUUUGCAUAUUUGUUAUAUUGCCACCUUUGGUGUUUUAACAUUUAUUGUCCCCCAGGGCCAUAAAAACAUCUUGCCUUUUAUAGAGUGCACAGAUUCAGAGCUCUCCCACCAGCCAGCCAAAGUUUGAAGGGACCUUAGUGAAGUUUGAGUUCUUGAUGUGUAACUGGAGUUUGGCUGUGCUGUUAAGUCGUCUGGUAAGGGCACUGGUGAGUUACAAUAAGAGGCCCUCCUUCCUGUCGGCAAUACUGAUGAAGUUUACUGAGACACUAACACUGGCAAGCUCACCAGCUCUGAAAGCAACCCAUUCUGUGCCUUGGGUAUAUGUUUUUUUUUCUAUUUGACUUGUAGAGUCAAAAUUUGUUUUCAAUUUUUUUUCUUUCUUUCUUUUUUAAUUAUAGUAGACAAAUUGAGUUCUGGCUUUUCAGAACUUUAUCUGAACAGGAACUAAAAGUAAGAUGACCAUCUGAUCUAAUUUGCCUCAUAUGUCAUAGUUUAUGCCUAUUGCCUGAGUAUAGAUAUUAGUACACACACACACACACACACACACACACACACACACACUGGUGAAGGUUUGGAAUCAUGAGCCAUGUACAAAAUUACAAUUUACAGAAAUGAGGUGGAUUUAAUUCAUUCAUGAUUUUUUUUUUAACUUUGACAUUGUGGUAGAGAGCUCUUCAGUGACCCUCAUGAAAAUCCAAAUAAGCUGUUAUUGUGGUGGAACAUGGGCUUGCUUGGAGUCAAGGGGAUGGCACAAGUAACUACUGAGGGCUCCCUUCAAUCUUAUGAAUGUUUGAAAUAGAUUAAUGGAAGGUGACAUAUGGUGAAAUAGAUCAUAGCUUUUGUGGUUAAAUGAAGAUGAUGAUGAUUAAGAUAGCAAUAAUACAUAUAAUAAGAGCUAAUACCUGAUAUGUGUUCUGUGUUAGGCAUUAUUAUACAUAUUUUAUAUUAAUAUACUGCUUUAAUCUUAUAGUAACUUUAAGAGGUAAAUAUUAUCAUUAUUUUAGAUAAAGAAAAGCAGACACAAAGAAGUUACAUAACUUUCCCAAGGCAUAGAAUUAUUAUAUGAGAACAUAAAGCCUUACCUUGUAUCCUAUGGUUUGGGCAGACAAAGACUGCAGGUAUAUGGGUCUCCAGCUUUGACUUUCUUUCUCCUUACUAAAACGACCACCAAAGUGCCUUUUAAUUAGAAUGCUUAUAGAGUUUAUUAUCCAAAUGGGGACAGUUUUGAGAAUGAAAAGGGGUGUUAUUAAUAGUUGCGUUGGGACGAUCGGCAUAAAUGAAAUGAGGAUGUGGUACAAACUAGUUCAUACAGUCACCAUACACACUCAAAUCAAGUCCUUAAGAGUCUGAGAUACACUCUAGUUUAAGUCUACUCUCACAACAGCAACAGCAUUAAAAGAAGGCAUUUUGAUGUUAUUCAGAAGUAGCACAUAAACACUGUGCAACCAUAGAAUGGGUUGUCUGAAAAAGAGUUGGGGAAAACUGUGAAGAUUCUAAGAUUUUAUCUUGCUUCCCAACUAACAAGUUAGCCUUCCAUGAUUUCAUGGAUGCUGAGAGAAGGCAAAUGAUCCUGGGUUAGAGACAGGACUUCAUUACUUAUAGAAGGGCAAGCAGCAGAAGCCUCAAUGUGUGUUGAUUUUCUCCGGUUCUCCCAGUCCCAUGGGGUGGGCGGGGGGAAUGCAAGAUGGCCCAGUCAGAUGCUGCACAGAGUGGGGGUUUGCUUUACAGCUGAUCGAGGAACAUAGAGCUUAGGAACCCAAACCUUUUAUAAUGCAUGGCAAGAAAACCCAUGUGGACUUUUUCUCUAGAGAGAGAGAAACAUAUCUUUUUUAUAUGGGCAGCAAAUGAACCAGCCUGUUGCUCCUAGGAAGGCUCUAUCUCUGUCUUUCAAGGAUGUUUGUUCUACAAACAUCUUUAAAAAGUUAGCCAGUGCCUGUGUUAUGGUUUAGAUAUGAGGUAUCACCCAAAAGCUCAUGAGUAAGACCGUGCAAGAAUGUUCAGAGCUGAAAUGAUUGGAUUAUGAGAGCCUAAUCAGUGGAUUGAUCCACCGAUAUGGAUUAACUGGGUGGUAACCGUAGGCAGGUAGGGUCCGGCUGGGGGAGGUCACUGGGGCAUGCCUUUGGGGUUUACAUUUUGUCCCUGCUGAGUGGGGCUCUCUCUCUGCUCCCUGGUGCCGUGUCCUGCACUGCUCCACACCCUUUCAAACUCAGGCCCAGAGCAGUGGAGCUGGCCAUCUAUGGAGUGAGGCUUCGAAACUGUGAACCCCAAACAAACUUUUCCUUCUCUAAGAUUGUUCUUUUCAACCCUUUUGGUCAUAGUGAUGAUAAAGCUGACUAAAACAGUCUGUGUUUUUAAAACAUGAGAAACCCAAGAAGGACUGUCUCCCACACCAGGAAGAGCCUCAACAUCAGGAGUGCGUACAAAGCGUUUUGCUGGGAUUUCUGUGUUAAAUGGAGGACAGAAUAGACAACAUCCAUAGUGCCUGUCAAGUUGAGCUCCAGUGAGGUUCUAGUUCUCUUUCUCUUGCUUUUGGAAGAAGCUGAGGUUAAGAGAGGGAAAAUGAUGGGAAUGAGUGAAUCACAAGUCCACCAUCGUCCUUUUUCCAUUCGAUUCUUUUCCCUCAUUAAUACUGAGCUUUUGUUAGCAGAGGUUGGAAAAUGAAUACCCGAGUUGCUCAUGGUGAUUGUUUUCCAUCAGAAGAUUGGUCAGAUGAUUAUUAGCAGAAGGACACAGACUUAUUAGAAUUACUAUUAGUGAAGAUGAUAAAUAUACUUUUUCUACCAUCAAAAGAACUUACCAUGAGAAUUCUAAAAUGUUUGAAAAAUAGAGACACAAAAUAAAAUAAUCCUUCUAAUCUUACUACUCUAUUGUGACCACUGGUAACAUUUCACUUUCAAUUAUUUUGGGGAAGUGUGUGUGUGUGUGUGUGUGUGUGUGUAUAUAUAUAUAUAUAUAUAUAUAUAUAUAUAUAUAUAUAUAUAUAGCCAUAGUUGUCAUUGUGAACAUUCAAACCUCUUCUUAUUUUUCAUUUUCUCUGGAGUCUAUAGGCAGUUUUUAUAAACAUCAUUUCCAAAAGUCAGGCAGUCUUGUAUUGAAUUCUAGAAUUUAUUUAUUUAGCUAUUCUCCUGUUUGAUCUUGAGCCUAGGGUGUAAGAUCACUGACCCUGGAGUGGGAAUUCUGUCUCCAUCACUGAUGAGCUCUGUGACUGUGAACUAGUUAAUCGCCUUUCUGAGCCUCAAUUUCCUCAACUGUAAAGUGGGAGAGUGGCCUUUUUAUAGAGUUGAUAGUGGAAACUAAUGAAAUUAAGAUGACAUUUAAAGUACCUAACACGGUGCCUGACAUGUGACAGAGCUAAUGAAUGUUUAAAUGUUAGUUUUCUGUAUUAUUACUGCAUGCAAUUCACUAUUAACAACAGCAGUUCAGUGAACAUCACAUAUGCUUUUCUAAGACUGACAAUUAUUUCUUUGGAACACAUUCCCAGAAGAGCAACGACGGUGUUAGAAGCAGGGACAUUUAUGACAUCGGUGACUCCAGAUUUGUGUUUAGGAGGUGAUCAUUCAGUCACUGGUCCCAGGCAGAGGGUGAUCUCUAUGGCUAGCACCGAGGCAAAACAAUUGAGUAAUUUCAGUGCUGUAUAAGGCCUCUCGUCUCCCAGAUGCACCUAAAUGCACCUAAAGCUUGAGUAAUGACCACAAUCCUUGACUGAAAUACCAUGAGCAUUGCAGAAUAAUGGACAUGAACUCUUUGGCUUAUGUGUCCCUUAGGCAAAGAGGGGCUCACAUCUGGUAUCUCAGUGACCACACAGUUAAAUGCUGGUUCUAAAUAUGCUGUGAUUUUUUUUUUGAGACAGAGUGAGCAAUUGGAUCUGAAUGUCUUUGAAUUGAGCACAGACUGUCCUCUGCACCCUCUUCCUCUCCCAUAUUUUUGUCUAUGACAUGACUUCAGGCAGUGGAGUAUUCGCUGAGCCCCCAAGACCUCUCUUGUCCUGCACAUGAGCUUUUUAGGGCAAAGGCUGGGUCUCAUUGCGUGUUAUUCUGAUGUCCAUCCUGGAGCCUGGAGCAGCUCUAAACAUGGCUGACAGAGAGUCUCAGGGAAAGCAGCCGGGCACACUUGACUUAACUCUUUCUAUGGACCUUCACCACCUACUUUUCCCCUCCAAGUCUCAGUUCCCUCAUUUAUAAAAUGAAGGAAUUUAACUAGAGACCUUCAAAUAUCUCCUCUAGUUGUGGAAGUCUACAUGUCUACUACAUAAUUAAGUUAUGAGUGCCUCUUUUUUGCCAGGAGAUAAGAAACAUGAUACCUCCUUUAAGGAGUUUAUGACCAACCUGGGGAAUUUAUUAUUGUCUACUACUUUAUGUACACAAAUUCCAAAAAGUGAUACUGAGUAUGUAGGAUUCAAUCCCCAAGGAACAGCAAGGAUAUAUGGCAGAGGGAUUUAUCCACUGAGCAUUUAUGGAGUACAGACCGUCUAUGAGCCAUGUUCAGUUCUUCAGUUGAAAUGGGCCAGAGGAAAGAGCCACAAGGACAUAACCAGGACCUAAAACCAGCAGCAUGAUCUUGGGAAAAUUAUUUAAUCCUCUCAAGUUGUACUUUCCAUUUACGUAAAAUGGGGAUUAAAGCGCUAUGGAGAGGAUUUAGUGAUUUAGUGAGUUUGUAAAACUCUGGGGAAAAUUGAAAGUGAGAAAAGUAUUAGUUGCCAUUAUUACUCAUGAUUUUUGUUGGCUCAUUGAUUUUCCAUGCUUAGCAUUAAUCUAUUUGCUAAGCAUUCAACAAUUAAACAUUAAUUGCAUUGAUCCAUUUUGUGUUGCUACAACAAAAUACCUGAAGCAGAGACUGUGAACGAAAUUGUGAACGAAAUGCUGGCAUUUGUUUGGUUCUGGUGAGGGCCUCCUAGUGGAUGGCCACACAAUGGUGAGAAUGUGUGCAGGUGAGGUUACCUGGUGAGAUAGGAAGCUGUCAGCACUGGAGUAGUCAAACUUAACGUUAUAACAACCCAUUCUUCAAAGAACUAAUUUAUUCUAUGAUACCAGUAUCAGUUUCUCCCAAAGAAGAUACCUUAUGACUUAAUUACCUUCCAAAAAACCCCACCUCUUAAAGAACCCAACACCUCUCAACACUGCCACACUGGAGACCGAGGGUCCAGAGCAUGAAACUCUGGGGGAAUGAACUUAGUCUACAUCCAAACCAGAUAAAAGGUGCAGGUUAGAACCACCAUGCUAUUGUCUUUGGUCUGGAUCAUUGAUCACCCUCCUAAUCUGAGCUGUGUGUCUAACAUUGAUUCCUCCAACCCAUGUAGUAGCUAGAAUGAGCUUCUUGACAUUGUGGCUUCACUCUGUCACUUUCCUCUUAAAACCCCACAGGACACAUAAUUGGAAAAUGGGAGAGGGGCCAGAGAGCUUCUGUUUACUCUGCAACGUUUGAUGUUCUUGCUAGGCAAUGGCUUCAGAAGUAUUAUUAAUACUAGUUGUGUGUUUCUCACCUAAAAAGCACCUGGGGAGGGACCAAGGACAUCGUUGUUUAUUGAUGAUCCUGAUGACCUGCAAACUGUGUGGAGGGAGACAGCAUCCUCCAGGGUGGCAGCUCCAGGAGGACUUGGAAUCCAUUCUCAGGGUCAUCCCAGACUUCACAAAGGCAACGUGGUCCAGAAAGAAACCAAAACUUGUGUUCAUGAAUCGGGGUCUUUAUUUCCCAUGUAGCGUUUGACAGUUUUCCCAAAGAGAAAGAAAACAAGUAGGAAAAAGUGGGAAAUUCUCCAAUUCCCAUUCAGUUAUAGCAAGGGAGAAAACUGGUCUCCAUGCUUAGUUUCUGGAUUUAAAUGCACGGGCAGGUACUAAUUGUCUCCCAGGCCAGAGGCCCCGUUCUAAUUUAUGGAGAGAAGGGCCAGGAGGUAAAUCUCUAUGUCAUUUUCUAAGCCACCUAAAAUAAGCCCAUUAAACUACCGCCCAUGAAUGGAGGUGUUUUUCCCGGUGUUACGCUGGAACCCCCUCUCCCAUCCCCAGCAGCACCCAGGGCACUGCAGCCCUGAGAUCCCGAGGGCACAUCUCACAAUGGGGCAUUCAGGAUAGCCUUCCUAGAUGGGGUAGGAAACCUGUUUUAUGCCCUGUUAAUUACUUCAACAAUUUAUAAAAUUCAUGACAAACAUAAAGUCCUUACAGAGAUUGUAUUUCAAAUGGUAUUUACCUGUAACAGAAUCUCCUUUGUUUGUAAUUCCUGGAUUUAUGAGCUGUUGCACAACAAAAUGGAACUGCCCCUUGUCCCCAUGGGGGGCACUGGCAAGGGGACCUCAAAUAUACCAUGGAGACAGAAACAUAUUCAGGUUCAGAUAUAGGAACUGCAGUUCCAGACCUAUCUCUGGUCCCCAGUGCCUCUCAGUCCACAGCAUGGGAACUUGGGGUCUUGAAGGGCAUGGAGUUGCACCAGGACAGGUUAAGUUUUCUGCCAGGCCGUCUUGGGACCUCUGGACAUAAGGUAUUUUGACUUUGUAUCCAUAUGGGAAUUUUCUCUUCCUCUAUCUGUUUGUAUACUCCAGUAACAGGGAGCUCCUUACCUGGCAAGGCAGCCAGGAUGAUUCCCAUUAUCUCUUGUCUUAUCCUUUUCUUCUCUUCCCUUACCUUUUCCUUGGCUGCAAGAGUGAUUUUUAAAAAAUUUAGAUCUGACAUUGUUUUACUUCUGCCUAAAAACUACUCAGUAACUUCUCUUUGCUUCCAUAACAAAUCCAAACUCUUUAAUGAACCCUGCAUGUUCUUCACAUGGUUGUCCCUGCUGUCUUUGCUGGCCUCCAGCUACAGUGGACCUUCCUUUUGCACCAAGCUACUUCAGUUACCUUUUAUUAGUCAGAGUUCCAUUAGUGUAACAAAACACCUGAGACAGGAAACUUAAAGAGAAGAAAGGUUUAUUAUGUGUCUCAUUUGUGGAGAUUCCAGUCCAUAGUUAGUUGGCCCUAUUGCUUUUGGACUGGUGGUGAGGCAGCACUCACGGCAGAGCAAAAACUGCUCACUUCAUGCUGAAGAAAUGAAAGAGAGAGAGGAAGGGGCAGAGUCCUACUAUUCCCUUCAGAGCCACACCCCCCAAUAACGGGAAGACUUCCUACCAGGCUCCACUUGAAAUAUUUCAUCAUCUUUCAAUAGCACCAAGUUUGGGAUCAAGCCUUCAAUACCCAGGCCUCUGAGGGACAUUUCAGGUUCAAACCUCUGAUCUCUUUUGCAUUAAAACCCCUGGUAAGACUCAGAAGGGUCAGGGUCUUAACUUCAGGGCAGCAAGUGUGAGUGUGUUUGUGAAGGUAAAAUGCUCUCCUUCUUCCUCGGUGUUCAGCAUCAGGGAUGAGGUGGUUAGAGCUGGACAGAGAGGGGGGAGGAUGCUGGCAGUUCCACAGAAGAGGAAAAGCAGUUUGAUCCCUAGGAUCCCUGCAAGAAAGAACAGGGAACCUCAGGAGAAUAUAAGCCCUGGAGAAUGGAAAGGCCCUGCUGUUCUCUCAGGUGACCUUUGAGUUGCAGGUUGAAGUCUGCUGCAUCAAAGGAGCUGGUCUCAUCUGACUGGGCCCAGAGACAGGGGAGAGGGAACCUGAGCUCAGCUCAGCUCUCCUUUCCUCUGCAAGGCAGGUCUGGUUUUCAGUUUCCAGGGAAAACUCCAUCUAUGCAACGUUAGCACAUAAAGGUGCUAACUUUAUGAGUCUUGGACAAGGAGUUGCUUUCACUUCUAUUGGGUGUCAGAAUAUAUGUCCUCUGUGAGAUUUGCAGGGGACUCUCAGGUAUGCAUCUUCUGAAACAGCCAAACUUCUUAAAGAGCAGUUAAAAUCUGGAGUAACUGUGUACUUUGACUUUUCAAAGAGUCUAAUUUAAAUGCUCAUGGGCUAAUUUUUGAAUAGAGAAUUAUUUUGCACAAUCUAGAGUUCUAAAGAAGAGAGCACGAACUUCAGAGCCCAUCAGAUUUCAGCUGUUCUGCUCGUUGGUGGGUGAUCACAGGCAGAAUGCCUCCGUUUUGGGAUCUUGGCCUAGGUGUCUGACAAUUGAGAUCACUGCUUGGAAGAAGACCUUUGAAUGUUUCAGUGCUCAGGACUUGAAAUUCACUCCUUAGUUUUCUCAUCUAUACGGAGUAGAUGGCCCUCCCUAUGUGAAUGGCCUCAUGGACCAGUUGAAGAACUGAAUAAAAUCAAAAAAGAACUUGUAGGGGACAUAGGCAAUUAUGGGAAAUCUGAAAAUUGUAAUUAUUUUAUUUCCUUUCUGAGGUAUAACUGCCGCUACUAUGCCUGCCUCAUUGUAGUCAAUAAACAUUACUCAAAUGAAUAAAUGCUUACCUCUCUGGUCCACUAUUGAUCUGUCAGGUGGACAUGGUUCAAUCUCUUCACUCUGUAGACUUCAUUUUACAGAGAAGAAAACCAAGCAACGUAGCACACCUUAAUUCACAGGCAUGGUGUGGGAACGUGUGUUGAAAACUGCAAACCGCUGUAUAAAUGCAUGCACAGGUUCUGAAGUUGGGCUGACAGAGACAGAAGACAAGUCCGCCAGGCAUUGCUUGUGUGACCUUGGGUGCUUAUUCAACACUUUGUGCCUCAGUUUCUUUAUUAGUAAAAUAAAAAUGACAAAAAAGAGUCCUCUGUUUUGGGGUGAAUAUAAUGACAGAUAAUCUAAGAUACUGGUUGAUCAUCCAAGUGCUCCAUACAUGCCAGGUAAUAUUAUUGUUUGGCAAUUGUUUGGUUUAUUUUGCUCAAUUCAAAUCGAAAUCAUGAAAAAGGCCAGUUGCAGGUCCCUUAGUGUCACAGAUUCUAUGACAGCUCUCAGCAGAUAGAGUUAGUAGCUCGGUCAGUGUUAAUAGCUCUCAGUGCAACUUUUGCAACUGGAGAGAGAAAGUAAGAUAAAACCAUCCAAAUGAGGCCUGAUUGGGGCUUAUGCUGCAGCACAAGGGAGGCAGUCCAGGGGAAGAAUUCCCACAUCGGCUCCUCAAGAAGAAUAGGAGUGGGAAGUGUAGGUUCAUCGUCAUCUGUUAGCUGUAGGAUUUUUACACACUCAUACUGGUCUGUGCAUGCUUGCUGGGUCCAGCCACUCUUGGUUGUCUUGGGGGAGGGGGAGGUGCUUAGAACCAGAUACUGUAGGAACUUCCCACAAGUCCCCAAACUGGCACAGUAGCUGCAAGGGCAUCCUGACCCACAGCUGGAGUGGUGGUGGCUGGGGCAUCUGCAGGAACAACUAGAGGUGCGACAAUGAUAGCUGCAGUGACCUCCAAAGUGGUGGCAGUGGUCAUUGGAGCAGCGGCUGCUGUCAUGAUGACAACCUGAGAGGAAGCUGGAGCAGUGGCAGUUGAAUGGAGUCUCUGUGUAGGCAGCCACAGAGGCGGGAAGGUGCCAGGGCCCAUCAUCAUCAUGCCUUCCCUGACCAUCCUGGGAACUGGGGCGGGUGUCCAGCAUUGCAGGCGGUAUGUGGUCCCAACUCCCCUCCUCCAGCCAGUGAAGGCCCCCGCAUGGCCUUCUGGCGGCAUCUUAGCUGUGGGGCAUGGGGGAGGGGCAGAGCAGUUGUCAGUUCAACACCCUCUCCCACCAGCCCCAGGUGGCUUUGGUGGCCUUCGGAAAACAACAACCUGUGUAUAAAAAGGCAGGGGGAAAAGAAAGGCAGAAACACACCUUUCUGGGGAGGGCAGGGCCCUGCUUUUCUGUCUCAAUAUCAGGAAAAGAAUCUUCUCUGGACUGGCGUCUUUCCUUUUCUCCUCCUUGCCUGUUCCUUUUUCUUCGGGUCUCUGGCACUCACUAGCAUUCUGGGAUCCUGUCAUUUACAGCCUUAAAAAAUGAGUUUCCUCAAAUUGUAAAUGGUCUCUUACAAAGGAGAUGACCCCACCAGGCAGCCCUCCCCACCCUUGAAUUCAGGAAAUCUGAGCAUCUUUUUUUCCCACCAGAGGAGGAAAAGAGGUGCUAUUUGGCAGCUUGUGAAAUGUCUGGCUUCUCCUACCAGACAGCCUGGGAAGGAGGGGCUGCACCUGGUGAGAACACAGAAUGGAGGUCAUCUGUGGAAACAUCCUAGAACUAGAGCCGUUGAGACCUUGAGGGCAGAACAGGAUCCCAGGGUAGACUUCUCCUCCCUCCAAGAAGGGGCCAGCAUAGAGUCAGAUUCAACUAAAAGGCACCCCAGCCCCAGACAGAAGUGGAGUGAGCUCUCCCAUGACUGGCGGAGUGAUUGCCUCUUUCUGGGCUCAGUAAACUCAGGGAUGGGGACUAGAUGCUCUGUAAGGUCUCAUUCAUCUCUAAAUUUUGGGGAUUCUAAAAAGUGGGGCUUGGUACAGUAAACUCUUUCCUCUUGGCAUUCUUGGGCAAGUGACAUCACCUCUUUGACCUUUGAGUUUUAGCUGAAAAAGGGAACAGACUAUUGGCAACAGAGGUUUGCUGUAAAUUAGAAACUCACUCAAAAAUAGUCCUGUGGUGGUUAAUUUUAUAUGUCAAUGUGGCUGGGUCCUGGGUGCUCAGACACUUAGGUAAGGAUGGUCCUGCGUGUGUCUGCAAAGGUAAUUCUGAGGGAGGUUAACAUUUGAGUCUGUAGACCCAGCAGAGCAGAUGGCCCUCUCAUCAAGGUGGGUCUCAUUCAAUCGGGUGGAAGCCUGAAUAGAACAGGAAGGCUGACCUUCCUGUGGAAGAGGGAGCUCCUGCCUUUGAGCUGGGACCUUCAUUAUUUCCUGCUUUGGUACAUCAACUGAAACAUGGGUUCUUCCUGGGUCUUAAGCCUGCUGACCUUUGACUUGGAACUACACCUUGGCUCCCCUUGGUCUCCAGAAUGCUGACUGCAGAGCUUGGGACUUGUCAGCCUCCAUUAUCAUGUCAGCCAAUUCUACAUGCAUGCACACACACACAUUUAUAUACACAUAUACAUGUACACACAUAUAUGCAUACACACACACACACACACACACAUACAUCCUGCAUGCUAUUGGUUCUGUUUCUCUGGAGAGCUCUGACUUAUAUAGUACUCUUCCCAUCUGCCUUUGACACUUUUUAAGGAAAAUCUUCAUAUUUUCCUCUCAUACAUCUUUCAGCUUUUACUGUUUACUCUUAAAUAAGGCAAAGGCCAUUCACAGAGAGUAAAAGUCACUAGCAAUAAAAUAUAUUUCAUUUGUCCUCUAAUUUUUGUUAUUUCAAGAAUUUUAACAAUUAUUAUUUUAAAUCAUAAGGAUGUGACUAUCCAGGGAAAUAAAUAAAGCAGAAAUCAUUCCUUUUCCUUUUUUUUUUUUUUAAGAACCAGGGAUUGAACCUAGGGGUGCUCAACUAGUAAGCCACAUCCCCAGCUCUUUUAAAAACAUUUUCUUUAGAGUCAGAGUCUUGCUAAGUUGCUUAGGGUCUCACUAAGUUGUUGAACCUGGUUUUGAACUCACCAUCCUCCUACCUCAGCCUUCUGAACCCCUGGGAUUAUAGGUGUGUGCACCAUGCCUAGCGGCCCCCCAUUUUAAUAAGAAACAUUACUGAGGUAUGAUUGGCAUACAAUAUUCUACUUAUUUGAAAUGAACAAUUUGAAGAAUUUUGAGAUAUGCACACACCCUUUGAGUCAUCCAUACAAUCAAUACAAAAAACAUACCAAUUGCCCUUUAUGCUUCAUCAUAAUUCAUUCCCAUUCUGCACCCCACCCAGUUCCCAGUGACCACUACUGAUCUGUUUCUGUUUUUGUAAUAGCUGGGAAAACUGAGGUUCUGAAAGACUUCAGGUGACACGCCCUGCCCUUAUCAGGGCCACAGCAGUCAGUCCAUUGUGCACUCAGGGAGGCCACCUUGAUUCAGACGGGAGGAGAGAACCAUUUGUUGAGCACCUGCCAUGUGUUACACUCCCGCCCAGAUGCCAUCUCUGUAGCUUACAGCAGGAUUGGUCCUCACUUUGGCUUUAGGGGCCUGCUCUCUAGAGAAUGUCCAAGUGCAACUCCUUCCUGAGCUCUCAUAUCCCACUGUGUUCUUGACACCUCCCCUUGGACGUUUAAACAUCUUCAUCUGAACUCACUUGAUCCAUAACUUUGUUCACAACCUUCUCCCCCAGCUCCAAUCUGUUCUUUUCCAGUCUUUUCAUUCAUUGUCUGCUCACGUCAAAACCUUCAAGUCAUCUCUGAUAAUUCCUUUCCCCUUACCUGUGACCUCUGACCCAUCGACAAGCUCCGCUGUCUUUGAGAGAAUCUUAUUCUGGCAUUUGCUUUCCAUGCCUAUUGCCACCACCCUGGUCCUGGUCACCAUUGUCUCCCACUUGGUGGCCUAAUUUCAUUCUUGCUCUGCAGUUUACAGUCACACUUCAGCCAGUGAUCUUAGGACAAAUCAGGUCAUGACACUUCCCUUCUUUAAACUCCCCAGCAGCUUCUCAUACAUGUACGCUAAUUCCACAUUCUGACUGAGCCUGGUGAAGUUCUGGGAGAGCUGGCGCCCCUGUGAACUGGUAUUGUGACCUCCUCUCCUCCACCUGGCAUGCAAACUCCUGUCUCUCUGACCUUUCCAUUGCUUGAACACAGCACACUUUUCCCUCCCUUAGAAUUAUUGCAAGUUUUUUUUUCUUGCCUAGAAUAAACCUCUCAUCUUAAGGUGGAUGAUUUCUAUUUUCUCCUAAGGAACAAAAGUGGUAGUUCUCUCCCUCUGAAAGGAUUUUGCUUAAUGACCUAUACCUUGCCUGUUGUUUCUCUUAACAAUGAGAGUAGGAACCUCCUCUGUUUUAUUUACUGACCUGUUUACUAAUAUAUUCCCAGUUCCCAAGAAACACACCUGGCAGAGACUGGAUGCCCAAUAACUUUUUGUUGAAUAAAUGAUCAAAUAACAGGCAUCUUAAUCCUCACAGUUGUGAACCAUCUUUACGGUCAAACAUUUCUCUGUUGCUCCUUAAAAAUUCAAUAAUUCUUCUUAAUUCUUCCCCGUUCAGUGUUUGGCUUGGCUUUGUGCUCUUUACACUGAUGAGAUCUUUAAAUGCUUUAAUUUCUUCAUUUUUCUGCUCCCUUGUGGGAUCUCCCCCCUAUAUCCCCCUCCUCGUACACAUACCUCCUGGGUUUGCUGAGUAAAUUCAGAAUGUUCAUCCCCGUAUCCCAUAUUCUCUUACCAAAUACCUCUUCUGUUUCAAUAAGUCUUAAAUCACUUUACAUUCCCAGUCAGAUGGUCAUCGCUCUUUCAGAUUUAACUAUAAAAUGUUACCAAAAGUGUUGUUCACUGUUCUUUCUUGUAUUUGUCAUCUUCUAUACCUUGAGACUUUGGCUUUAAUUUAAUUUUCGUUUGAUUAGCAUCCUUCCUCAAGUAUUUUCCUCAGCUAGGGGCAUGGACACAUAUUCUUUAAAUUCUUUAAUGUUUGAAGAUGCCUUUCAGUGAUAACAGCAAAGGCAAUGACAUAUACUUACAUAUGUAUAUUUAUGUGUAUGUAUGUAUACACACAAAUAUACAUAUUUAUAUAAUAUGACAUUAUUUCAUGUUAUUCCUGGGCCCAGGGUGUGGCAGACAAUAGUCAAGACCCUUGCUCUUCUAUUGCUAACAGUUUGCCUCCAGGUUUUGCUUCAGGGAUCAAUAUCCUGUCAAAUUUCAAAAGCUUCUAAAAAAGAGUAAGUACCAUUUUUUUUUUUGGCAUGCAGUUUGCUGCUGGUCCCAGGAGACCCACCAGGAAAAUAGGAAAGCUGUCCUCCACUUGACAGCUCUGCAUGGCACUCUGUCAACAUAAACUUUCCAUAUGACAACAGCAAGGAGAGAAAGUUCUGGAAAGACUUAGACCACCAUUGAGUGCUUCUUCCCUGAAGUGACACUCUUGUUUUCCCUCACAUGUCAUUGGCCAAAGAAUGUCACAUGAAGAUGCUAAACUGCAUAGCGACAGAAUAAUGCCAAUCCCCCUGAGUAUCCAGAAGGCAGAAAACUGGAAAUAUUUAUGAGCCUCCCUAGCACUGCCCUCUACCUUAGCUAAACAGUGAUGUCUUGGCAGAAUGGAAUUUGGUUUUAUUACUGUCACUAUCACCAUGCUUUCCUUUCCUGCAGGUCAGAUUCCUUCUCUGGGUUGGUACUUUUCUGUCCUAAGUCUGGUGUCAGGAGCUAGUGUGAGCCUUGGGAGUUGGCACCUAGUCCAUCAUUACUGGAGUAGCCCCUAAAGGAAAGAUGGGCUGGUAGGCUUGGGCCCAGUGGGGAGUUUGCUCUUCUGUGGGCAGAGGUUAGGUUUGCACAGAGAGCAGCUGAUGUGAUAGUGGUGUUUAAGUUUCUGUCUUGGUAUCUGGCAACCAAGAGGUGUCAGGGAGAGCAGUGUGGUCAAGCCCCGUACAAGGUGCGUUACACGUAUUUCUCGCUCUUUCCUCACGACAUCCCAGUUGCUCCCCUCAUGUUAUAAAGGUGUGACUAUGGCUCCAAGAGAAGAGGUGGGUUAGAUGGCAGAACUGGCUUGGAGGUGACCUGGGCGAUUCCAGGGUCCCUAUGCUUGCUGUAGACCACUGAUCUAUGCUCCUACCCGGCCCAUGCUAUUUAAUUUUGAGUUGGUUUUUGAAGGGGAAGCAAGAUUUCACUAGCAAAGAAGAUGUGGAGGGCUGUCCAAUUUGAGAUGCCAACACAUGAAGAGGCAGGGACUAAAUGGGAAGAGGAAGUAGUUCCCUGUGGCUGGCUUAUAAAUUAUGCAAGGGGGUUUGUUAUAGGGAAGAAAUGAGAUUUAAAAGUCAGGGUAAUGCCAGAUGGUGAAGGGUCCCGUAACUUCCAAGCUGUGAGAUCUUAGGCUUAACCUAUUUGAACCUUAGUCUUCUCUUGUGGGAAGUGGAGAUGGAAUGUCCUUUAUUGUUGUGUGUGUGUGUGUGCAUGUGUGUGUGUGCGUGUGUGUGUUCUUAUGUCCAAAGAAGUGUGUUUGUGUAUAAAGCACGUAGCAAGUGCUUAGUGAGCGUCCUCCCAGUCUCAGGAGCUAGCAGCUGGCUGGCGGGCUGGGGGAGAGCUCUGUGGCUGUCAUGGAGGGCUGGCAAUGUUUUAGCAGCUCCUGAAGCCCCAGGUUUCUUUCAAUUCCAACAACCUCUUCAUCAUUUCCAGCCAUCAGCCUCGGGACCAUUUGGUGUUAAUUACAGCAACCCAGGCUUCUCUGUGUGAAGGAAAUCGUCCCUCAUUUCUCUCAUUAAAGUAAAAUAUGACCCAUUUUUAUGCCUGCGUAUUUUGUUGCUGAGAUUACGAGAAUCAUCCUUUCUGUUUAUACAGAAUGAAGAAACGUUACACCAGGAGGGCGCCCGGGCCCCUGAGCCUUGGGGAAUAGAAAGCAGAUGUUGUCCUCACUCUAUUUUCUCUUCCAGCGCCGCUCCUGGUCUCCUCCUCUCUGUCUCUUCAUCUCAGAGGCUUAAUCCUCAUUUCAGAUCAACACAGAGUAAGCAGGCUAUAGGAGAAGAAGCCUAAGUUAUUGAGCUCUUUACCAGGUGCCAAGUCCUAUAAACAAGUUCCCCCUUUAAUUCUCCCCAGAAGCCACAGGGGUAGUUGGCAUUAAUCCCUUUUUAUUGUAUAUAUUUAAGGUAUACAACAUAAUGUUUUGAUAUAUGUGUGUGCAUAUAUAUAUAUAGUGUAUAAUGUAUAAUAUAUAUAUAUAUAUAUAUAUAUGUAUAUACGUAAUACAUAUACACAUAUGAUUUCUAUAGUCAAGUAAAUUAACUUGGCCAUUGCCUCACAUAGUCACCUUCUUUGGUGUGUGUUAAGAGCAUCUGAACUCUGCUCUCCAAGCAAAUUUUCAGCACAGUCUGCAAUCUAGCAUUAUUAGCUGCCUCCUCGCACUGGACCUUCAAACUCUGGACCUACACAUCCUGCAUUUACUGUGACUCUGUGCCCUUUGACCUAUGAAUCCUUUCUCAGUCUCAGUUUCCCUCAAAUCAAGAAUGCCCAAGUCCUGCCGCUGCCCAGGAAGUGGUAGGAAUGAAGCCAGCUCAUGACAGACGCAGCUGCGGACCUCUGUGCUCCUCCUGGAGGGUCCCCAGAGCUCAUACGUGUUGUCCUCAUCAUGCUCACCACCAGGCAGCUGGGGGCCAGCGGGGCUCAGGGACUUGUGAGAAGUCUGUUGAACUGGCAGGUGGCGGGGACUUGGAAAGGCUUCAAGCAGAGAGUGAACAACAUAAGAUGGGUGGUUUGGAAGACUCCGUCUGGUAGGAGACUGGAGAAUGGGUAGAAAGGAAGCAAGAGUAGAAGAGAUGUUAAGAAAAGCCACUCCGAACACAGAAGCAAGGUGAGGAGGUCUGUGUGCCUCUCAUUGUUACUUGGCAGCGUCAGCGACGGGUCCACUCAAGGGUUAUCCAAUUCUCUAUGGCAGGGCUGGACAAGCAUUUUCUUCUUAGAACCAGAUAGUAAAUAUUUUAGUCCUGGGAUCCAUGUGGUCUCUGUCACACUUAGCUAACGACGCCAGGGUAGCGUCAGAGACCAUAUGUAGAUUAAUGAGCAUGAGUGGAAUAAAUAAAACUUUAUGUACAAAAACAAGAGGUGGUGGCCAGCCCCUACUCUAUGGGAACGUGCUUUAGGUUGACAUUUUUUACUAUUGAUUAGAAUCCAGGCUCUCUGAAAUUAUGUGUUGAUUUGUGUAUUUUUGUCAGAUUGUGAUGCAAAUAAUUUCUAUCUGGUAGGAAAACACCCCGAACUCCAAAGGGUAUGGUUUUAUAGCCUCGAGGCCAUUAACCAGUUUUAUAUCUAACAAGAAAUCUUAUUCCAACAUUUUUUUCUGCAGUGCUUAUGUAACAUAAAUACUCAGCUCUUCCAAUACUCUCUAAGCCAUCUUUACCAUCUGGCUGGUUCCUUCAUUAAUGAGUUAAAUAAAUCUUUAACACAUGUUCCCUUUAUAUUUGUAUGACAGUCAUUUUUAUUUUAACCAUCUGAAAAUUAUACUGUACUUUAACAGAGGAGAGAUUCAAGGCAAGGCUGGAGGAGGAGUCUGGGAGGGAUACCGAGGGGAGGAGCUAGCUGAUGAGCGAGGACACUGAGGAGCAUAGAAAAAGGUAGAGAAUGAAUGGUUCCCAAGUCCAGCUUGCUAAGGCACCCAGCAAAUGACAUCGCUAUCACAGAGCCACAGAUACUGUCACAGAAUAGUUACAGAAGAGUCUCUACCUUUCAUGGCAUCUCCAGUAAUCCAUGAUUCAAUUAAAAUUCUCCCACAGGUGAACGUUCUCAGGCAGCCCAUAUAAGAUAUCCUCUUAUCUGACCACACUGGCAAAUCGCUUGUUUUACACCAUAUUUAACAGUGCCAAAAAAAAAAAAAAAAACCCACAAAAAAAACCAACAAGCUUUUUCUUGUUUUAUCAUCACUUCCUCUGGGGAUAUUAUCUGAAUUUCUUUAUUAACUCUGUUUUGAUGAGAAAGUUUGAUGACUUGGCUAAGAUUACAUAACAUAGAAGAACAGAUCCUAGAACCUGGACCUCUUGAGUCCUGGUCUAGUGAUAUUUUGAUGAACAUCUGUAAAUAACCUCAGGGGCCACUUACUAGACUACAAACUCCUGGAGGUGGGAGAUCAAGCCUGAUCUGGGUCACCAUUAUGCCUCUGGCACUUGGUAGAUGCUCACCAAAUAUUUGUUAAAUAAAGGAAUGAACAAACUCAGUUAUGGAAAAAAAAACAACAACAUUAUUUCAAAAGCCAGGAGAUCAAGGUCUGUAACUAGUAUCUCAAAAAUCUUUUCCUUUUUCUCGACCCUUUUCAUGCACUACAAGAUGAGGUGAGCUGGAGUAGGCAGCACUGGAGGUCUUCUUCUCAGUCCAAAUAGCUAGGAAUUAGGACAAGAGGGCAAUACUCACCAGGCCAAGUGGAUUUUGGAGAAAAUGAUCUUGCUGUGGAGUUCUGAGUGAGAGGUAGAGGGCAUAUUUUUGAGAUGAGAUGCUUCCUUGUCUGAGAUUAAAUUAUCACUUCUGGUGCCAAAGGUUAUUGGAUCUCUUAGACCAGAGAACAGGGGUCUUUCCUUUGUCUUAAAAUAGAUCAUGAUUAUUCCUAGACCUGGUAGGGACUCUAGGUUUGGAGGUAACACUUAUUGCUGUCACAACAGCUCAUGGCAUUUCCAACAGCCCCUCAUAGGAGCUGGAAAGGCGUGUCAGGUAAAUAGGUGUCACUGAGAACUGCCCUUGGUGGAGCCUGUCUGGGCAUGACCAUGAGGUCUGCAGAUAUAUGAUGGAAUUGGCAGCAUCCUGGCAGAGACUCAGUUUAUUCUGUAUUUUCUUUCCUCCUUCCUUCCUUCCUUGUUUCCUUUUUAUUCUUUCUUUCUUCUCUCCUCCCCGCCCCCAUUUUUUUUUUUAAAUCUCAAGUCAGUUACAUGUUACCCCUGUGACCAUGGUCAUGACUCUUUGCCUCUGAGAACCUCCACUUACUCUCUGUGGAAUACAAGGCAUUUCUGUAGAAUACAGGAAACCCUCACCCUCAGUGAGGGUCCUGGAGGGAAGAGAGGUUCUGGUUUGAGAGGUUAAGGGAGGAAAUACUGAUGGAGGUGGGCAGGCUAAGGAAUCAGCAUGGAUGCUGACGUGCCUGGCGAGGCGUCAUGGACAGAGAGUGAGAGGCUGACACUGGCCCAGCCUGGACAGUGAGGGAGGAGGACAGAACUCUGUAAAUCCACUAAGAGCUGGGGAAGGGUCUGCCCUGAGGAGCUGUGGUCAGGGAAGGGUGUAGCCUCUGCUGGAAACGUGUGCUAGGCAGGGAAGGAGCAGAAGAGGAAACUGGUACACUGCCGUCUCUUGCAGGAACCUUGGAGUGGUACAGGGCCAGGGUCCACCUCAGCAGCACCAAGCAGGGAAGAGUAGCAUUGAGAAUAGAUCUGGAAGGGGGCCGGCCAGUGACAAAGAACCCAUCCAACCUCUGAGGCCCAUUAUUACCUGACUAUAGUACAGUUCAAUGGAGCCCUAAGCCUCUCUUCCUGAGCCAAUCUCUAUAUUCCCACCAGACCACAGGAUGGCAAGUUUGUAGGGCUGUAAGAUACUUAGCAUCUCUGUCUAGGAUGCGGAAAGGUGAAAGGGUAACUGAUGACCUUUUCCAGAGGCCAAUUCAGGGUUGAGUGUCCCAGAGUGCUUUUUACUGUUUUCUAGACUGUUAACUCACUGAGGAUGGGCUAUGUCCAUACCUCCUAGCGCUAGUCUGGUCCAUACCUGGCUCUUGCUAACUACUUGUUGAAUGGAUAAAUAAAUGAAUGAGUGGUCAUAGGCUUUGUGUCACUCCCUGCCUCUGGCCUGAGGCAGGAUUGCUGGCUCCCUCGCCUGUGCAGCUUCUACACCCUGUGUGUAUGUUCUGAAUCCCCUGGUCAUGCUGCAUUAGAACAGUUGUGCCUAAGGGGCUUGUUUAGGGCAACCCGGUUUUCCCAGUUUGCCUCAGGGUCUGGCAGAGAUUGGGUGCUCAUCACAUGUUCCUUGGAUCGACUCUGAAAAUAUUGAUGGAGUUGGUCUGGCUCCAAAGAGAAGCUGUGAGCUCCGUUCCUGACUCUGGAUCAUCUCCCUCUCCUUUCCCUCUUCUCUGCCCACCCGCCCCCAGGCACCAGCUUGUCGGAAAUUCCAUCUCUUAUAUCUUGAUAUGUUAGUCCCUGGCACCUGACCUGAGCAUUCUAAUAAAUCAUUUCCUGGAGACGUGAGGUGCCCCUGGGUCUUGGUAAGGAGGUGGCUGAGUACAGCUUAUGGGAAAAGGGUUGUCCCUUUCCAAGGGCAUGGUUGAACAGGCAGGGCCCUUGUGUGUGCUGAUCUGGGCUUCAUGGUGGGGGUACAGAGGGAGAGACAUGUCCUAGCCUUCAUGAGGCUUCCAUUUGAAUGAGGAAGAUAUUAUACCUGCCUUUUUAAAAAUCACUUCUAGGAUUUUAUCAAUUUAUUCUAUAAAUACACCUGCACACCUACAACUGAACAGCUAUACAAUCUGCAUUUUCAUCAGUGGGGACUGGAGAAGGCGAGGUGUCAUGGACAGAGGGAGGAAGCCUCUGGAUCAGGACAGGGAGUGACCUCCAGAGUAGGGUAUGGAAUGACCAGAACCAAGUAACCAGUACAUUGUGUGAUUUUACAUACUGAAAAAAAGAACUUCUAUUUUCAUGUCUAGGGACUCUAGGAGGAUCUGCACUAAUAUGAGCUGUUAACUGCUAGGUGCGUGGAGGUGGAUUAGAUGGGGAGGGAUUAGAAAUCAGAUUUUCACAGCUUACCGUUUUGUGUUGUUUCAACUUUUUUUUUUCCUUUUUUUCUUUGGUGGUGCUGGGAAUUGAACCCAGGGGCUUGUACAUGCGAGGCAAGCACUCUACCAACUGAGCCAUAUCCCCAGCCCCAUCAACUUUUGAAACAUGUAGAAAGAUGACUCGAUUACCUUUGAAGUGACGGGGUAGGGAAAUGGACUGCCUGUAGGAGAAUCCAGAACCCAGUCUGAAGGUAUCAGGGAAGGCUCCAGGAGGAGGUGCCAUUUAACCUGAGUCCCAAGAGGAGACAGAGGGACAGCAGUGGAGAACUGGGGACUGCUUCUCCAGGCAGGUUGAGCAUCCCUGAAAGUCACUGAAAACCUUAAGAUGGGGAGGUUUAAGGAUCCUAAAGAAGCUCAUUGGGUGGAGACUGUAAGGUCUGGGGCUAUAGCAGGGGGGAAGGGACUGACUGCUGUUGAGGGCUGACCCUGCAGGUGCCCUGGGUUUCCCAUGCACCGGGCACCUCCCUGACCCUGCCACAUGCCUUCUUAUCCAUCCUCAUCUGAGCUGAGCACUGAUCACACUCACUUUCCAGACAGAGACAGAAGCUCAGAUGGUUAAAGUAGCUUUCCUGGUCAUGUGGUCAGUGAGUGGCAGAUGGCUGUCUAGGCCAUGUGCUCCUCUGUCUGGUCAUUUCUAAUGGGAGGUCAUCCCUAACAAGUGAUGGGUACAGGAAGCAUUUAUUCUGUGGCUGGCACAUUAUGACAGAUCCCGUGGACUGCACAUGAAGGCUCCCCAGUCCAGGGAGGUCACUUGGACCAUUCUGCAGUGUGCUGGAGAGGGCUGGUUCUCAGAACACAGAACCCAACCACCAACCUUCCUCAUUAAGAAUCACAAAGCUAUUCUGGAGAAAGGAGGGGGUAUUUCAAUGAAACCAAGCCUUCUAAAUAUAAGAUUCCCAAACCCUCCUUUUUCUGAGGCCCAGGGAAGUCCAUUUAAUGAAGUGAAGCUGAGCAGUUUGCAGUUGGUGGCCAGUUCCCUGCUGACCCUUCUGCAGGUGGUUGUCUCCUAUGUGGUCUCAGCUACUUAUCACCCCAGUUGGCUGAGGUAGACAUAUUCUAUAUCCCCAUUUUACAGACACGAAAAUUGAAGCUAAAGGAGGUUAAUUGGUUUGUGAAGGUCAUAGAGGCAGUAAACUCUGAGCCAGGACUUGAAGCCUGAUUUUGGAGGGAUGACAGAGGUUUUGCAUGUUAACACAGACCAGAUGAUUAGGCUACAGAAUAAAGAGAGUGAUUUAGCCUCAAUUCCUGGCUUGGUGAGCACACAGAGAUGGGGCUCAUAAUGUUCUAGAGGGACAACAAGGUAAUCCUUGAUUUGAGUCCUGAAACACAUGUAGCUGUUGGCUACAGGUGAAAAGAGGUGGAAGAGUGGAAAGGUAGAAGGGUGUUUCAGGAAGAAGGACAACAUUGGCAAACUUUGUAGGGAACAGUGUCUGGGGUACAUUUAGAAAGUAAAUGAUCUGACCAUUUCACCCAGGUAUCCCACUCCUUGGCAUAUACCCAAAAAGGUUAAAAUCAAUAUACUAUAGUGAUAUGGCCACAUCAAUGUUUAUAGCAGCUCAAUUCACAAUAUCUAAGCUAUGGAACCAACCUAGGUGCCUUUCAAUAGAUGAAUGGAUAAAGAAAAUUUGGCACAUAUGCACAAUGGAAUAUUACUCAGCCUUAAAGAAGAAUGAAAUUAUGGCAUUUGCUGGUAAAUGGAUGGAACUGGAGAUUAUCAUGCUAAGUGAAUAAGUCAGCACCCAAAAAACCAAAUGUGGAAUGUUCUCUCUGAUAUGCAGAUGAUCACUCAUAAUAAUCGGGCGGGGGAAGAAUAGAAGUUCAUUGGAUUAGACACAGGGGAAUGAAGGGAAGGGAGAGGGAACGGGAAUAGGAAAGACAGUAGAAUGAACUGGACAUCAUUUUCCUAUGUUCAUAUAGGAAUACAUGACCAGUGUAACUCCACAUCGUGUACAACCACAAAAAUGGGAAGUUAUAUUCCAUGAAUGUAUAUGAUAUGUCAAAAUACAUUCAACUGUCAUAUAUAACUAUAAAGAACAAAUAAAAAAAAUUUAAAAAGAGAAAGUCUGGACAGACAGGAGAGAGUAAGAGGAAGACAGGCAGUUAGCAAUUGGACUUGACUUAAAACAUGCAAAAAAGUCAUCUUUUCCUGUAGCCAGUCCUUCGUCUUUCUCUAACCUAACCACUUGGAGAGAGAAGCCACUGCAGAGUGCAUUCCCAUUUUAACCAGGUUUGCACUGAAAGGCUCCAGAUGGCUGGUGCCUCAGGGAGGAUCCUGUGUCAGGUCUGGAAGGUGUCCAAGGAGGGGUCUUCCCAGGAGGCGGCUGAGGCAUGACCCGCGCUGCUCCUCACCUCCGCCUGGUACCCCACCCCACUUGCCUUAUCAUUUACUUUGUGUCCAGUUGCUGUCCCCACACCUCAUCAAUCACCCGGGGUUCUCGGAGAAAGGCCAACUGCACUUUCAUGGAGUUCCUGUGCCUGGUGCUAACAUCAGAGAGCUGGGCCCUGUCUGAACUGAUGAUGUGGGACAGAUAAGGGCCAUUAACGCCUUUCUUAAUUACAGAACCCCAAAGCAGACCUCCGGUGAUAGACCUGCAGGGCCGGGAGAGACAUGGAGACCCAGGCCUUCUCCUGUUUUACUUAUUUUCUUCAAAUGCACUAGUUCAUGACAGCCUUUGGAAGAGUGCCUGGCUCAUAGCAAGGGCCAUGCAAGAGCUGGCUACUAUCGUUAUCAAUGCUGUCACGGUUGUAGGUGGAGAAGUGGAGGCCCAGGGAGGAUGGGGCACUUGCCCAGUUACACGUCUAGUGACAGGCUGAUCCGGGAGGGGUCCAGCCCGGGACUCUUGCCAAGACAUCCAUCUGCCCUGGGGAAUGCACUCUGGGCUUGCUUCACUCCCACAACUGACACGAGCCUGGAUCUCGGGUCAAUUCUAAGAAAAAAGUACAACAGGACUCUUUCUAUCUGAGGAGACAAGUGACAAAAGCUGUUUUGUUUUUCCAUAAAAAGUGACUUUAUUUGAUCUCAUCCCCCCCCACCCAAAACACUGUAGAUUAGGUAUCUCCAUUUUCUAGAGGAAAAAAAUGAGUGUGUACAUCUCAUGCCUAGAGACCUGGUUUUAGAAAAUGCUCAAUAAAUUUAAACGGCUGGGGCCCUGUGGGUGGGCACGUGUGUCUGGUUCGUGGAGGCGUUGCGCUAAAACCAGUCUCUCUCCCAACCCUGGCCUUUGUCUCAUCUGAGGGAGAAAUGAGGAAUGAUGGCCAGAAGGUGAGAGAAACACUAGCUGGGUGGGGCCUUACCGGGAUUAGGACCAGAGAGCAGCCAGCUGCUGGGUGGCACGAGCGUGCCUUGGGGGUCACCCAUUUGUCUUGUCCUUGGACAGUUGGGGUAAACUUGUACCUGGUCCUGGUUUUGUGAGACGCCUGCACUAUCUGCUCCCGAGAAGAAUGUCUAAACAGCAUCCAGGCAGGCCAGGCUGGCUGGAGGCUUCUGUCCCAGUCUGGGAAAGGUGGGUCACAGACAAGGGCUGACCAGGGAAGUGAGGCUGGGGUGUGACAACCAAGAACAUGGUGGCUCAGGAAGCAGCCACCAGGGCCUGUGAUGUGAUGCUAGGUCCAAGAUCCUGUCUGAGACGUGUCAAUUUUAGGGGAAGUAAAAGGCAGUUUUAUUUUAUCAGGAACUGGGCAGCUCACAAAAGGGCAUCCUGGUUAAGUGCUCUGUCUCUGCUGGAGUCAGGGUUCAAAUCCAGCCCCCACUUCUCCCACUGUGAGACCGUUAUCUUCCUCAUCUGCACAGGGGAGAAGAACAGAGUGCUGCUUCCACCUGCCUCAUACAGUAGGUGUGAAAAUUAAGAGUUAAUAUACUUAAAGUGCUCAGAACAGUGUCUGGUGUCAGACCUAUGCACAUGUUGCCGUACCUUGCUAUUCUUGAUACCUACUGUGUGUCAGAUGCUUUGCAGGCCUCCAUGUAUUGGAUUGUCACAAAUGACUUUCUCCACAGGCUGAGUGACUUGUAGCUGGGUGAGCCCUGGUUUUUUAGCCCCAAAGUCUAUACUUCCAUCUGCAUCAGGCUGUCUCCAAAUUCCUUCAGUCCCAUUGGAAAUCUCUCUCUUCCUUGAAUGUUUUCCCCUCCUCCCAUUGGAUGACAGCAUGAAGAGAUUAAUGAGAUUAUUUUCUGGGCGUCCAAACAGAGCCCAAAGUCAUCUCCUACAUUCUUUGCCAUAUGGAGUGGCCACGUGCACACGACCCCCUGGGUCAGAACUUGCGGUUGACUUCUUGUCUCCUUCUUGGCAGCUGUACAGCCAUUGGUGGGCCACGCCACCUCCGGGAGCCCCCCCCCCCACCCUCUAGAUCUGUCUUCACUGUGUUUUGGCUGAGCGGGCAGAUCACGAGGGGGAUUUUGGUAACACGGAGAGCUGCCGGCAGAUGGAGUUUGUGGAGACCGGAGGCCUUGGUCAUUGCAUGGCCAUUCCUGAGAAUGGUGCUCCAUUUAAAAAAUGGGGGAAAAAACCCCAAGCAAUAUUAUAAAGUAGAAUACGCUUUAAAGUUGAGUGACCAUCAUCUCCUUCUUUCAGUCUUGAUGGUGCGUGUCCGGGGCUACGCACUAUCACCUGGAGCCUGCAUGGAACUUCUAAUGAGGCCCAUUCUGUGGGAUGUGGGCUGGGCAAAGGUCAUAGGUUCCAGCUCUGUCACCACCUUUUGGCCAUGUGUCAUCUGAGCUCCUUGGGCAGAGCUGAAACUCAACCUUGGAGUGCCUGAGACUGCGUGCUCACGAGUCUGUCUGAAACAGAUUCACCUUCCUUCCCUUCUCCAAGAUGCUCAGAGUCUCCUAUCUCCAUACAUGACUUUUCAUAUCCCUUGACUGGCAGGACCACCCUCUCCUGCCCCCCACUUGGCCACAGGUCUCUGCAUUUGCUCAAUGCAUGGUUCAGGCUCAAGAGUGUCUGGGCAGCAUCACUCCCUCCUCUGUGAACUCUUAUUCUUUGAUGUGUACAGGCCUAGAUCCACUGAGCCUAGAGCCACAGAGGCCCAGGGGAAUAGAAGCAUAGGGCUACAGAGUUAGAGUUGUACCCAGGGUGAAUGGUGUGUCCUGGCCACGAAAGGGAUGAGAGCCCAGUGACCUGAGCUGCAAGCAGCUCAGACUCCUCUGAUCUGAUGAUGACCCAAAUAACCCAGUUCAGAGUUCAGAGCCUGGUGUGCAACAGGUACGUAUGAUGAAAGGAUCAGAGAGUAAAACGGAGCUGGGCCUGGGCUUUCAGUUUCCCCUGAGUAUACUCACAGGUAUCCAUUCUUCCCUCACUCAUUCUGUUCUCACUUCAUGUCUGAUCUCCCCUCCUUUGAUGGUGAGCAUCGGGGUUAGCUUGUGUCUAGUUUCAGGGUCUUCAGUACUAGCAAAUAAUAGGUGCUCAAUAAAUAAUGAAGGGAUGAACGAAUGACUGGGUACUACCUUUUAUUCCCUUAAGACUGCAAACAAGAGGAGCAAAGCCAUGGGGUGGAGCUCACCCUGGUGAGCUCGGUCACGCUCUCCCUACUGCACAUGGUCUGUUUUGCAACUCCAGGCUGUAUGAAAAGAGCAUUCUGGGAAGAGCGUGUUGGGAGUCAUUUGCAGACCUGUCAGCAGCGUCGGCUGCAGAUACAGCUGGCUGCAAACUCCUCACAAGACAGAACAAAAACAUAUUGGUCUGGAAUAGUCAUUUUUUUCUUGCUCAACUUACUCUGUUUGCCCACAGUAAAAUCGUCUCUUAAGCAGCCAAUAAGAUCCCUCCUCAUUGGAGGAGGAACAUUAACAGGGGCUCAUUCAAGGCUAAGUGGAGCAAAAUGUUUCCUAAAGCUUUCCUCAUUUAAGGAAGAGCACACAAAGUGUCAGAAUUCAGUAAAUUGCUCAAAGUCAUGUGACUAAUGAGCUAUUGGGCUUUUAGCUACAAUUUAUUGAGCACUUACUGUGUGGUAGACACGUAUAUAAGUGCCUUACAUCCAGUAUUAUAUUUAAUCCUGGCUAAAACAAAUUUACAGGUUUGGGUUUUAUUAUUCCCAUUCGAAAGAGGAGAAACUGAGGCUGAGAGAUAAGGUAACUUGCCCUGGGCUGCCUCAUUAGAUAUGGGCAGAGCCGGAGCCUUGUGCCAUACUCCUCAGUCAGCAGAACACGUACAUCAGGAGUGCCUCUGUUGCUGUUAAAAAGAAAAAAAAGUCUCCCCCAGAACCCUCCCCCCCUUGAGAUGCCCAGUUUGAACCUCUGUAUUCUAAAGAAGCUCCCUGAGGGAUUCUGAUGCACCUCCCUGCUCGAGAACCUCGGCAUUGACCAUACACCCUCUCUGAGCUCCAGGUUUUCUUAUUUGUAAAAUGGGGGCCACUGGGACCCAGGGCUUUUUGCAAAGAUCCAAAAGAGCUUAUGCCUGGAAAGGGCCCCCUGCGCCGUGCUGCGUGCAGGGGUGCUCAGUAAUUGCUGACUUCCUUGUCCCAGCAACCAAGGAGCGCCGGGAGGGCUUUGGGUCUCUUGUGUGUGUACAUGACCCCACUUUGCCAAAGACCCAGAACACUGUUUUCUGGGCUUUGGGGUUCAGUUUCCUGAUUGUUUGUUAUUAUUCUUAAUAGAAUUCAGGAGAAGGCCACAAGUGGGCCAGACAUCUGUGAUAAAUCUGCUGGAUUUUUACAGGAAAGACUUCCCAAGUUCACUGUAUUCUAUAUUUCUUGCUUUUCUUUCCAGCUACCACAUAGCCAGGAAAAUAUCUUGCUUGAACUGAGAGGGGGAAAAAAAAUAAAACAGCCCAUUAUCCUCUGGUGAAUGUCAACUUAGGAAAUACGAGUGUUAUGUUAUAUUGCAGAGUGCAAGGACUUUGGAUCCCUCUUUCUGAAACACUCAUCUGAAAGGCAAAGGGAAUAUUUAUCGUAUACCUUUCUUGUUACAGAUCCUGCAUCAAGUGCUUCGCAUAUGUUAUCCCACGUUGCUUGUCUCUCAUGGGGAUGGGAGGGGAGAUAUGGUUGCUCUUUUACAGAUGAGGAAACUGAGGUUCAGAGAGUGGACAUGACAUGACCAAGGCCUGCAGUCAGUGAGCUGGGGGUUAUACCAGUUGAUCUGGCUUCAAACUGUAUGGGCUUCUCUGUAUCACCACUGUCUGUCUCCACUAUUUCCCAAUAACCUUAAAUUAAUUCCAUGAUAAAAGCAAACAACAUUUAAAAGAUCAUCCUCAAGAAAGACAUCUUUCUAAAAUAUGACAUUCUCACUAGGCUCUGGAUUCCUAAGGCUUGACACCACCAAUUGUAUAUAAUGCAGGGAAUGACUGUUGAUGGAGACAUGGAUAGAUAAACCCACCUCUACUGGUUUUCUUUUUAAAAAUAUAUUUUUAUUUUUAGUGGAUGUAGAAUAGUUGUACAUAUUGAUGAGGAAUGGUGCAACAUUUCAACACGUGUAUAUAAUGUGUAAUGAUCAGAUCAGAGCAAUUGGUGUAUCUAUUGCCUGAGACGUAUCUCAUUUUUUUGUGCCGGGACAUCCUCCUUACCAGCUAUUUCAAAAUACUCAAUCAAUUACAGCUACCUUUCAUUGUCUUGCUGUGCUAUAGGGUGUCAGAAGUUAGUCUUCCUAAGCAGCUGCAACCCUGUACCCAGUAAUCAUCCUUUCUCCAUCUGCCUAGUGUUCUAAUAAGGUAGGAAAGAGGGAGAUUUGACAGUGUGAAGAUGGAAGGAGAGACUGGAGUGCUGGAUCUACAAGUCCGGGAAUGCCACAGCUUGUUAGCGGUCACCAAAAUCCCAGAGAGGCUUGGGAUGCAGCUUCUGAAAAAAGGAACCCAUGGCGCCAACACCUUGAUUUCAAACUUUUGGCUCUCAGAACUAUGAGAGAAUAAAUUUUGGUAAUUUGUUACAGCAGAAUUUGUUUUCCUAGAAGCAAACACAUCUAUAAUACAGAUUUUUUUUUAAUCCUACAGAUCAGAGAAUAGGCUGAGAAGAAGUUUAUGACUUUGUCCAAGUUUAGAGAAUUUGCAAUUGCUGCAGUUUGGUUUGUCACCAGCUCCAGGCUGGGCUUCCUGGAGAAGCAACCUGUGUGGCUGUCCAUGGCCUUGACCUCAGGAGAGCUUUUGCUUAGUUUAAUGUCCUGCUUUUGUCUCAUUGGAAUUCUCAAUAAUUUUUGAAGAAGUGGCCCUGCAUUUUCAUUUUGCAUUGAGGCCUAAAAAAUCAUGUAGCUGGCCUCUGGUUUCAGACUUCAGCUUUUCCCUUCAUAGACAGCACCACAGUUCACACACAUCCUCAGUCUCCCUCCACCCCUGCCCCUGCCACCCAGCCACAACCUCCCAAUCAGACUCUUCUUGUGGUAGGCUGAAAAAUGAUCCCCAAUAGAUGAUCACAUCUGAUCCCUGAUAUGGUAAGGGGGUUACCUGAUAUGGUAAGGGGGACUUGGCAGAUGGGAAUGAGGAUCCCGAGGUAGGGAGAUCAUGCUGGGUGCUUUGGCCGAGCAGAUGUAUUCACAUGCUCCUUAUAAAAGGACACAGGAGUCAGAGUCAAAGGAGAAGGUCACAGGAUGACAGAACUGGAGAUGGGAAUGGUAUGAUUUUUCAGAAGGAGAGAGAGGCUGCUGACCAAGAAAUACAUGCGUCCACUAGAAGUAAAUGGCAAGAAAAGAUCUGGAAAAGAUCUGGAAAGAUCUGGCCCAGCUGACAGUUCAACGUUAGCCCGCCCAGUGCAACUGAGUUUCAAGUUCUGACCUUCAGAAUAUAAAAGAAUAAAUCUGUGUUUUAAGCUACUAACUUUGUGGUAAUUGGUUAUAGCAGUCACAGGAAACUAAGGUGCUUUUGCCUCCAGGACUGUCUCUUACAUUCACCUUUAAAUCUGCUAAAGAAAAAUAAAUCAUUCAGGCGGUAUUGGAGAAGAUAAAUAGAGCUCAGGUUCAGCAGAAAAACAUUCAAAACAUUUACAUAAUAUUAUCUAAUUGUAGAAAUCACAGGUUCUUGAAAUCAUAAAAGCAAGACACCCCCACCCUUUUCCCAAUGCUCAUUUAUUAUGCAGUGGCAAAGAUUCCAGUGUGUACAGUUAAAUUACCAAAAUAAUUUAAAUGAUGCAAUAAUUACUAGUGUAGAAAUAAAUGAAAAGAGUAUUUUAAAAGUGAAGCCUCUUAAAAAAACUCUCAAUACUUCUGUUUUAAUCGUUCAUUAGUCUGAAAGGAAACAUUGUUUUGACAUUUGUGUCAUUCAGUGGUUAGAUUUCUGCCUAAUACUUUAAAACUUAAAUAUUAAAAGAUUGUUUUAAACAUGAAUUUAAUCAACAUCUUUUUUUAGGGAAAAAAAAGACGAGAGAAUAGCAAUCAUCAAAAUUUUAUAACACCAAACAAAUACAACUAUGAUAAAAACCAAAAGAGACAUCACAGUCUUCUUUCCUUGUGUGGCUCUCAAAGUUACUCCUUGUCACCUAGCCUUUGCCUGGUGUUCCUCCAACAUCUGCCAGUGGCCCAGCCCUCUGUGAAAAGGGGUGCAGCUGAGAAAGCAUGAAUUUCAGAUCAAAUUCUAUCCCAACAUUUCCUGCCUGUGUAAGGUUGGGCAAGUCACUUAAUUUGUCUCGGUCCUAUUAUGUCCGUUUCACAAAUGAGGAAAUUAGUCCUCAAGGCUGGGUCACAGAGGAAAUGAACCCUGGCAGGCAAGAUGCUCUCUGCACAUUGCAGGUGUUGGAGAUGAUGUUAUCCAGGAUUAAUUGCUGUCUCCUCUUCCUUUCAGGUAGCAGCAAACAUAUUCUGACUCACUGCCAUGUUGUUAAGGUUUUAAAAAGUUAGUUUUCGGAUUUCUGAGUAGGUAUUCAAUGCUCCUUGCAGCUAGUGGUCUGUAGAGACAAAGCCUGGGUGAACUCAGGCCAUGAAGUUUCUGCCCUCAACAACUGAGUACCCAGGAAUGAAGCCUGUUCUUGUAUGAGAAGAACUCAAACCUUUCUGCGCUGGUAGAAAGAUGGAAAAGUUGGGGAGAACUGAGUCUCUGGUUUGAGACUCACUCUGUUCCUCUUGGAGGCUUCCAGCAGUGGGCAAAAGAAUCCCCGGAUGGAUUUGAUUCUGACUUCCCAGGAAACAGGCCUGGGGGCCUCUGCCCAACAUCUGGCUCACGUUCUUACCCCACUGGAUGAGUGGAUUAAAGAUGGCAGUAUAGAACAAAUAAGAGGACAUUUGGUCAGCUUUUUAAACUGAGCCCAAAAUAACAGUGGGUUCAAAUGAAAUCAAAGGUUUGUUUCUCUCACAUGAAAGUUUGGGUUGGUAGGUGGUCCAAGAGGAAGGGCAGCUCCGUUCCCUAAGUCAUCUGAGGACCUGGUUCUUCUUUUACUUCUUGUUAUUCCCCUAUUCAUUAGGGUGUUGGUUUGGUCUGCCCAGCUUCAGUGAGCCCUCAUCUGCCUCAUCGGUACUUUGGGGAGCCUGAAGGGAAAGAGGCCAAAGGAGACCACCUGCUUCCAUUUCAGGGCAUGUCCAGAUGUUUCCCACACGACUUUUUCUCAUAGCCUAUUGGCCAGAAUAUUGUCGAACUGUUAUUCAUUUCUUCAAGCAAGAAAUUUAAUCUCUAAUCACACAGUCAUGAGAAUUGCUAUAAUGCAUGGGACCAUCAUGAACAGAAAUUGGGAUCCAAUGGACACUGGGGACAGUUAGUAACCAUGCUACAGACAGGAUUAAAGAUGGCAGUACAGAACAAAUAACAGGAUAUUUGGUCAGCUUUUUUUUUUUUACUUGGAAGAACACAUAUUUUACUGCUGUAGCAGUUAGGGCUCAAUCAAGGAGAUAGAACCAUUGACUUUUAUGGUAGAGGGGAUUUCUUUUUGAAAUGUUAAAUUGGAUUUAUGUUUUGCUUAAAGAUGUCUCCAUACCUAGUUUAAGUUUGGAUUAAAAGUUUUCUCUGUAUUAGUGAGCCUUAACCUAACUUGGUGUAUAAACAGACUAUAUCCUGGAGUAUAUAUACUCUUGCAAAAAGUAGCUAAGUUUCAACCAAUCAUAGCAUCUGGACCUGUAGCCAAUCAGAGGCCGUAAGCUGCCAGCAAACGCACGCUGUAACCAGUCAGGUUGUUUUGUAGGUUACUUCUUUCUCUCUGGUUCUAAAUAAGCCUGCACAAGUGGAGGGGUGGAACAUUCUGAACCAUUUCAGUCUAGACUGCUGCCUGGUUCAUGAAUCACUUCUUUGCUCAAAUAAACUCUACUAAAUGUACUUUGUCUCAAGUUUUACUUUAAAAAGAAGAAUUUAAAUAAUUGUGUGAGAAGCUGGGGAAAUAAUUCUGUAUAGGGCAGUUGAAGAAACAGAAAAAAAAAGAAAAAGAAAACCUUGAAUGGACCCUUCUGAGACUCCUUCAGGUGGACAAGUGAGGGAGAAAAGAACAAGUUAGAAUCUGCAGCAUGUUUGUAACUGUGCUUCACCUCAUCUAAAUAGGACAGCCUCAACGGAGCAAGCUCUAACUUCUAAACCUUGCAUAAAAUCUUUUUGGCCAACUCUAACCUGAAAUUGUACCAGAUGUUUAAUUCUGGGAAAUAUAGUUCCAGCUUAGUCAAGCAGACACAGUUACAAACUACACAUCUGUGUUGCUGAGAGUGGAAGACAUUGAAGUUGGGCAGAUGGGGGACUGUGAGGCUGGCAUAGGAACAAGAGCAAGUUCUGCAUGGACUACUUGAGUAAAAUUGCAAUGGAUGCUGCAGCCGAGGAUGACAUGUGAGACCCAGGUGUGCCUCACUGACUCUCUCCCCAGUGCCCUGCCACUUGGCAACUAUGCAACAAUAGAUCUAACUAUAACAGUCCUAGUGCAAUACUUCUCUGCUAGAAAUAAGGGGCAAUCUUGGGAACUGAAAAGCAGUCUUGGGAGAGAGAAAAUCCUGAAUUAGGGGGGAAAAAUCUCAAAUUAAUCACAUUAGGAUUUCUGCUCUUGGGUAGAACAUGUUUAGAAUAGAAAACAAAGUGCUGGGUAGAAACACAUGUUACAUUUCUUAUAUCCUUGAAUAGGUAUAGUGAGGAAUUCUCCUGUGCUAAAUAGGUACUCAAACAUCUUAUUUGCUUCUUUCUUAUGCUAGGUCUACAAGGCAUAGGUCCUCCAAAUUAAAAAAUGUGAUUGUUCCCUCCAUGGACCUGGUUCUGGACUGGAUUGAUUCUUCUCCAAGUUAUGAGAUAAUCAGAUGAUAGUCCUAUUCUGAAGGGAACACUGCUCCCCAAUUGUGUAAAGACAGAUUAUACACACAGAAUUAUCUGACUAUAAUGCUUAAUCAUGCUGAUAAAAACAUGAGCCUUCUGAAACUGUAUGGAGCAGGGAUCUUUGGGGCUUCAAGUGUUAAAGAUUACUUAGUUGUGCUUCAACUCAGUUGGUGUCUUCACCGACACUCUUUCCCGGGUCCUUCUCUUGUUUAGAUUGCAGAGAAACACCUUCCUUUAGCCCUUUGCUGCUAUCGUAGUUUCCAGUGUAACAGAGUGCCCCACACUGGGGCUUAACACAAUAUUCAUUUAUUAUCUCAUAUGUCUAGAAGCCACAUGUCCAUAAUUAAAGUGUCAGCAGGGCUGUGCUCCUUCAGAUAGCUCUGGAAGGAUCCUCCCCUGCCCUUGGUAGCUCCUGGUGCUCCUGCAGUGUUCUGUGUGCCUUGGCUUUAGACACAUCACUCCAAUCCCUACCCUCAUUGUCACAAGGCAUUAUCACAGCACAUGUCCCUGUCAUGUCCACAUCUCCUGUCACAUGGCUUCUUAUAACAAUACCUGUCAGGCGGGUGGACCAAUGGUACAGAAUAGAGGACACAGAAACCAAUCCACAAAACUACAACUACCUUAUAUUUGAUAAAGGGGCUAAAAGCAUGCAAUGGAGGAAGGAUAGCAUCUUCAACAAAUGGUGCUGGGAAAACUGGAAAUCCAUAUGCAACAAAAUGAAACUGAAUCCCUUUCUCUCGCCAUGCACAAAAGUUAAUUCAAAAUGGAUCAAGGAGCUUGAUAUCAAAUCAGAGACACGCCGUCUGAUAGAAGAAAAAGUUGGCUACGAUCUACAUACUGUGGGGUCGGGCUCCAAAUUCCUCAAUAGGACACCCAUAGCACAAAAGUUAAUAACUAGAAUCAACAAAUGGGACUUACUCAAACUAAAAAGUUUUUUCUCAGCAAAAGAUACAAUAAGAGAGGUAAAUAGAGAACCUACAUCCUGGGAACAAAUCUUUACUCCUCACACUUCAGAUAGAGCCCUAAUAUCCAGAGUAUACAAAGAACUCAAAAAAUUAGACAAUAAGAGAACAAACAACCCAAUCAACAAAUGGGCCAAGGACCUGAACAGACACUUCUCAGAGGAGGACAUACAAUCAAUCAACAAGUACAUGAAAAAAUGCUCACCAUCUCUAGCAGUCAGAGAAAUGCAAAUCAAAACCACCCUAAGAUACCAUCUCACUCCAGUUAGAUUGGCAGCCAUUAUGAAGUCAAACAACAACAAGUGCUGGCGAGGAUGUGGGGAAAAGGGUACACUUGUACAUUGCUGGUGGGACUGCAAAUUGGUGCAGCCAAUUUGGAAAGCAGUAUGGAGAUUUCUUGGAAAGCUGGGAAUGGAGCCACCAUUUGACCCAGCUAUUCCCCUUCUCGGUCUAUUCCCUAAAGACCUAAAAAGAGCAUGCUACAGGGACACUGCUACAUCGAUGUUCAUAGCAGCACAAUUCACAAUAGCUAGACUGUGGAACCAACCUAGAUGCCCUUCAAUGGAUGAAUGGAUAAAAAAAAUGUGGCAUUUAUACACAAUGGAGUAUUACUCUGCAUUAAAAAAUGACAAAAUCAUAGAAUUUACAGGGAAAUGGAUGGCAUUAGAGCAGAUUAUGCUAAGUGAAGCUAGCCAAUCCCUAAAAAACAAAUGCCAAAUGUCUUCUUUGAUAUAAGGAGAGUAACUAAGAACAGAGUAGGGUCGAAGAGCAUGAGAAGAAGAUUAACAUUAAACAGGGAUGAGAGGUGGGAGGGAAAGGGAGAGAGAAGGGAAAAUGCAUGGAAAUGGAAGGAGACCCUCAGAGUUAUACAAAAGUACAUACAAGAGGAAGUGAGGGGAAGGGGAAAAAUAAUAUAAGGGGGACAAACGAAUGUCAGUAGAGGGAGCAGAGAGAGAAGAGGGGAGGGGAGGGGAGGGGGGAUAGUAGAGGAUAGGAAAGGCAGCAGAAUACAACAGACACUAGUAUGGCAAUAUGUAAAUCAAUGGAUGUGUAACUGAUGUGAUUCUGCAAUCUGUAUAUGGGGUAAAAAUGGGAGCUCAUAACCCACUUGAAUCAAAUUGUGAAAUAUGAUAUAUCAAGAACUAUGUAAUGUUUUGAACAGCCAACAAUAAAAAAUUAAAAAAAAA